AAUUUGGAAAGUUUGUUGACAACGAAACAAUUAUUGUUUAGGGUCCGUUUGAUUGUGGUAAAAUAUUUUCCGGAAAAGGUUUUCAGCCUUUUCCAGUGUUUGAUUGGCUAAAAACAUUUUUCAUUUAGAAAAUGAAUUCCAAAACACGGGUAAAAUGCCUUACAAUUAGUGUCAAAGUCAAAUAUUACAACGAAGCAACAAAAUUUUCGGCCUCUUAAUUUUGCGUCGACUGAAGCAAAGCCGCCAUGAAAACUUAAAAGAAACUAAAGUGGACAUUGGUGUGUUUGAUUCCUUCGCAUUUGACAUGUUUACUUUGCUCAAUAUAUCAUAACAAAUAUAUUCUUGUGUUAGAGAUGAAUAAAUCUUGAGAUUCCCAUGAAAUGAUUCAACUCACUGGAAAAUCUCUCUGCCAAAGUUUGAAUAAAAUCAGAAAAGAAGCUUUAUUAUUUUUAUGAGUCAAUAAAUCCGGAUUAAGCAAUACUUAGGUCUCUAAUAAAUCUAUAUAUCAAAGCAUAAUGUCAAGUUUAGUUCUCAAAGUUUACAUUUUUUCACUAGUCAUCAUUGUCGCUAAAAAACGAUUUGACAUUUUUUCAAAGGUUAAUGACAAACUGAGUUAAAAAAGAAAAAAGAAAAAUAAGGGUUAAAUUGACAAAAUUUAAAUAUUAAAGGCUAAAUUUAACAUUAUGCCAUAAGUCAACCUUUUGAACUUAAUUCUAGAUUUAGUUAAAUUUUAAAUUGAAAAUUCAAAUUAAAUUCAGCCUUACGUUAAAUUUAAUUAAAGUUUAAUCACAAUCUUGAAAAGUUAACAAAAGUUAAACUUGACUUUCUAAUCUCCAACCGUAGGCCAAAUUUCUUUCUUUCAUAUUGAAUAAAACAUUAAUACAAAUACUCUUAAACUUAUAAGCUCAAACAUUCAACUAUAUUAUUUUUGUCUAAUGUCAUUUUCUUGUUUUGAAUAUAUCGUUUAGCAAUUGACAUUUAUACUAUUUUAAAAGAAAAUUGUUCAUGAUCUUAAACCAUUUUUUAUUUUUAUGUUUUAUGAACAAGAUUAUUUCUUUGAUAUUGUUGAGACAAGAUGUGAAGAAUAAAGUUGAGUGGUACUUGAAAGUGCCCACAGUAGGCUGCCAUUGAGGCAGUACCUUAUUUGAGUUGUCAAUCUAUUGAAUAAAAUCUUUGGCCCUGUUAAUGUGUUGUUAUAUUGAAGAUACUAUGGUUCAUCUAUAGAAAAACAAUCCUUGGCUAUUGAAGAUUGGAUUGGAUUCGAAUGAAUCAAUUCAACCCUUGGAAUGUGGAGGUCGAUCGAGAUUGUAUUGUUGAUUUUGGAGAGCAUGCCUUCGAUUAACUGUGUUCCGAUUAUUGAUGUUGUGAUAGCUGUUUUCAAGGAGUUACUUUAUAUUCACUUAGACUUGAUGCUAGCAAACCAAAUUGAGUGAAAAAAUGUAAACUUUGAGAAAUAAACUUAACAUUAUGCUUUGAUAUAUGGAUCUAUUAGAGACCUAAGUAUUGCUGAAUCCGGAUUUAUUGACUCAUAAAAAUAAUAAAGCUUCUUUUCUGAUUUCAUCCAAACUUUGGCAGAGAGAUUUUCCAGUGAUUUGAAUCGUUUCAUGGGAAUCUCAAGAUUUAUUCAUCUCUAACACAAGAAUAUAUUUGUUAUGAUAUAUUGAGCAAAGUAAACAUGUCAAAUGCGAAGGAAUCAAACACACCAAUGUCCACUUUAGUUUCUUUUAAGUUUUCAUGGUGGCUUUGCUGCAGUCGACGCCAAAUUAAGAGGCCGAAAAUUUUGUUGCUUCGUUGUAAUAUUUGACAUUGACACUAAACAAUAAUUGUUUCGUUGUCAACAAAGUUUCCAAAUUUGUGCAUAAACCAACCUCUAUUAGAGAUGAAGAUAAGUACGGAAUAGAUAUAUUUUUGUAGCUAAGGAUUUAAUAUUUAUUUCUCGUAUAAUGAUAAAGUACAAUGACCAAGUAUGAGAAUUUUAAUUUUUAAUACUACAAACCUAUAUAUUUCUCAUACAUUUAUUCUAACAAGUGGAGCAUAAUCAUAUGACUUUCACACAACCCAAGACGAUUGACUCUGUAAAUAACAUCUUAGUAAUGAAUUACAGUAACGUUAAAUUCAAUGAUGACAUUGGUGGCAUUUAUAAGGAUAGGGUUAAAUAGUGCAGUCCCUGUUGCCAUCGUGAAUUGGCCUCUUCCUCCGACCACCGCAAGCCCAGCUUCUCCCCUUGAAAACACGCUUAGAGAGCUUCCGUUGAACUUACCGGUAUUGAAUCCAAAAUCUAUGUACUGCGUGCUCGAUGCAUUUGAUCCGGCUAGGAGGGAAAUACCCUGAACAUUUCCAAUCAGCUCUGAGUCAGGCUCAGGACCAGUCCUGAGGGGAUCAUUAACGGCAACUAGGGUGGCAAAUGGCACUGAUGUAUUAUUGCUUGUGAUGUUAGCUUGGGUUAGCACGACUGCUGUAGUGCCCGUAAAUUCGUGCAUAUAGAAGUGAAGAUUGGUGACCACAACUGGCCUGGGUUGAUAUGGUAGGGUGUCCGAGUAGUAUUGGCUCCGCACUGCUACUUGGGAGAGGCAGAUGAUCAGAAUCCAACUCAACACCGAUGCUCCCCUCAUUGUCUCUGCUUUACUAUAAUUUCUGGGGUGAAGGAAAAAUGUUGAUGAAAGGUAGUGGAAUUUUUGCUUCAUGUUUAGACAUUUAUACUGAGAAAUCCUGCGGACUUUGGAAAUAAUGUAUUUGCCCAAAACAUUUGAUAUAAUAACUGGUUGAUUUUUCCCUAGUAAUAUUAAAAAGAAAACAAAUCUUGACCACGCAACGGUAGCUUGGUCUAAUUAGCAGCUUGAUUUUUGAAUAGGAAUAUACCUUUUUUAUAUACGUAUAUAUACGAAUUUCUUCCCUUAAUAAUUAGAAUGGUGAAGGUUGUAAACACCAUUUUAUCUAUAAAUAUAAUGUUUGGAAGUUUCCUGCCCUGCGUUUUUGUUUUUGUCUGAAUUUGACUUUUAAUUUAUCUGAUAUCAGAUAUUAGAUGUGAUUGAUGUGUUGGUUUUAUAAAUUAUUCUAUCUUCUGCUAAGAAAAGUCUGCUUGAUAUGAAGUCUUCUUUCUCUUUUUCUUUAAAUCUACGUACUAAAUUAUUAUAUUCCUACAAUGUUCUGUGUAUAAGAACUAAACGACAAGAAUAAAAGAAUAUAAUCGAUCAAUAUUAUAUUCCAUUAAUUCUAGAAUUCCCCAACCUUCAAAUAACUUCAUUUUCAUAGUGUCCUUGGUCAUAUGGAGCAGCAGCUACUCCUAAUCCUUUGCUCCUUCUGUACAAACCCAAAUAUGCCCGGGCCCAGACCAACAAACAAGCCCAAACAUUUAACCCCAAGCCCAAUAACUAAAUAGCCCAAUACUUAAAUAAAUGCAGAAAACCUUAGUAGCAGCAAGUAGCCGCCGCCCUCAAACGCCCCAGCAAUCUCCAGUCGCCGCAAGUUUCGGCCUCCACGCGUGCCGUUUCUCCGCAAACACCGCUCCUCAAGCACGUACCUGCAACAAGCGAAAGAGAAGAGCAAAAAAUCGGGCCAACAAACAACCGAAUAGAUUUAUUUGGAUUUAUUUUUUCUUUCCCAUUUUCGGCUAUAAAAGGCCAAUAUUUUCAGUGUAAAAAGGGGGAUGCAGUGUAAAAGAUACGAAAAUAGAGAGAAAAGAUUGAAAUACAAAGAAAAUUGAAGGUUAAUCGCGUUUAUUCUAUUUUCAUUUUUACUUUUUUUCUCUUUUCUUUUUUAUUUGUUUUGUGAAAUAAUAGAAUAAGAGGGGAAAAGGGAGACUUACCUUUCGCCGGAGUCUUCGAGCUGGUGUCCCCUCCGUCGGAAUCGAGGCGUGGGCUGAACGGCGGCCAAAGGGUUAAGGAAACCCAGAAAGAAGCAGUUUUUGCUUCAAAGGGAAAGGCAAAAUAUUACCCUGAAUUUGUUUUUUUUCUAAAACUUAAAACGGAACAAAGAUGGUGUUGUUUAGUUUGGGGGUCUGCGCAUAUCAACCUUAAGUGGGAGAAUUGCGCAAGAAGUCCUCCCCCUUUGCGCCAUGUUUUAUUGAGCCAGUUAUUUAUUUUUAAUUUGGCCCAAAUAUUUUUACCUUGUUUCAAGUCGGUCCCCAUUGCUGCGCACCGUUUGGGGAGAGGGAUUAUUUUCAUUUUAGGUCCCCCAUGUAGUGCGCGCGUCGCAAAUUGGUCCCCUUUCUUUUUUUUUUAAUUUCAUUUUUUGGUUAUUUUGUUUUUUUUUGCAUUUUUUUAAAAAUUAUUACUAUAUUAUUUAUUAUUAUUCCUAUAUUUAUACACGCAUUUUCUUUAUAUAGUAUAUAUACAUAUUUCUUUAUAUAAUAUAUAUAUUCUUAAACCUUUUUAAAUACAUGCAUUCUACAUACGUUUUAUAUAUUUAAUUAUUUUUUUGUAACUUUUAUGUACCUUAUAUUAUAUAUAUGCAUACUUAUACAUUUUCUUUUAUUCUGUGAAUAUAUACAUCUCCGCAUACUCUUAUAUUUUUUUUAUAUUAUUUUAUUUUUAUAGUUUUUGCAUUCAUAUAUGUACAUAUAUAUAUACAUAUUUUAAUACGUGCAUAAUUUAUAUAUAUAUUUUUUCCUUUUUUUGUUUUCAUAGUUUUUAUAAAUAAGUAUAUAUGUAUGUACAGUUAUAUUUUACAAUACAUAUGUAUUUUUCUUAUUUUUGUACAUAUACGUAUUUUCUUUGAAAUCUACAUACAUAUUUUUGGAGAUUACUAUAAGUUCUGUUGUACAUGUCUUUUUUACAUACGUAUACUUGUAUAUGUGUGUUAAAUAUAUGCAUACACAUAUUUUCAAAUUUACUUGUGUAUUGUGCUUGUGUUUACAUAUUUUGUAAAUACAUGUACAUAUAUAUUUUAAAUUAAAAUAUUUGUUUCAUAUUGUACAUUAAUUUUUAACGUACCCUUUGGAAAAUAAAUCUUGGUUUUUUCGAUAUAUCAAAAUCAUUUUUUCUUGAUUCAAGGGUUUUUUUUAAUAAAAGCAAUAUUCGAAGUUUGGGAUUUUCGAGGGAAAUUGAGCCCUAACGUAUUGGGUUCUAAUUUUCUUUGUUAAUCUUAAAUAACCGAGGAUAUUCUUCAUUCAAAAUGCAUGAGUAUAAAAAUCAUUUUUGGGAACUUAACUUGUUGUGCCCUAACGCAUUGGGUGUGGCAUGUUACUUUCUCAAAAUGAAGAUUUUCACAUAAAAUAAAAGUGAUAUUCAAAGUUCAGGGAUUAUGAGGAAUUGUACCCUAACGUAUUGGGACUCGAUUUCUUUACAUGACUUGAACAAUUGAUUAUCCUUUUUUCAAAUUUCAUCAUUUGAGCCGAUUUUAGAAAUCUUUUUAACCUUCGACACUAAGAUAUUAAAUGAUCAAUUUGGUACCGAUUUUGGGCGUUACGAGGGUGCUAACCCUUCCUCGUGCGUAACUGACUCCCGGACUCAUUUUCUCAAAAUUCGUAGACCAAAAUAGGGUGAGCCGAUCACACCUUAAUAAAGGAUCGGUGGCGACUCCAGUUUUAUUUUUAAAGUCGACAACUAAAAUUUUUGUUUUCAAAAAACGGUUUCGACAGCUUGGUGACUCCACUGGGGACAUUUGAGAGUCGAGUCAUGAAUUGAUUAUGCUUUGUCUUUUUGUCGAAAGUCAAUUUUUUUUAAAUCAUGAUUUCCUUUUGCAUUUAUUGAUUUUCAUCAUUUGCAUGAUUGAAUCAAGUUGGUUGAUCUGUAUUUGCAUUUUGCAUUGCAUGGUCAGUGUUACCCUUUAAGUGGGAGCGAGAAACUAGUCCUUCGUGAGGUUUUCACCUCCGUGCAGGGUAGUGGACCGCUUCCGAGAUACAUCCGUACCUAUGUCUUCGUGAGAUUUUCAUCUCCGUGCAGCCAUAGGGAAAUGUAUCCCCCUGAACUGAACUCGAUCCACAUGAGCCUAUAAUGGGUGAGGAUCGAGGAAUCUACUGGUUUGGGUACCCUUACUUUAGAAAAUAACCCUCAUAUAGUAAACAUUAGGAACUUACCCUAGGUAGAGCUAUACCAAACCCUAGAGGGGUCCUGAAUAGGUGCUUUUAUAAUUUCCUGUGUAUAUUGAAUUAUGAUUUUAUACAUAAUACUGACUUUUUUGUGUUUCACUUUGACUGCAUAGCAUUUAGACUGCAUGGCAUUUCAUUAUAGAAAAGAGGUGUUGAUUCACGUUUGGUUGUUAAUAGAGAGCUCACCAUGGAAAACGGGUUUCUUGAUAAGGUGGAAGAUAAUACGGUUGUCUGAGUACAGUCUAAGAAAACGUGACACGAAAGGUCUAACAAUUGGAGUAUACGAAUUUGCUACGUAACCUGAGAAUUCAAAUUGUCAAAGAUUAUUCAAAGUCAUCAAAGGUCCCAACCUCUUAAAGAAGCUAAUGAACGUGAAUGAGCAAGGAGUUAUGACCUAGAUCAAACAAAAAGGAGUUCGAAUUCGCGAGGUGCAUCUUAAUAUCCGAAUGGUCGAUGCCUUCGCUUGGAGUACGAAGGUGAAGCCGUAUAUAUAUAUCCGCUUUAUGUAAAGAGAUUUGUUUUUUAGUAAAACUUUCUAGUAAAGAAUUGAACAUAAAUCAACGUCUCUUUUUUGCAUUCAUUUCAUGCAUUUGCAUUUCAUUACAUUAUAUGCAUUAGACACCUUUAAAUGAUCCUAAUUAAUUAAAAUCCCUGCUCAGUUAACCUGGAAACCAACCAACCAACCAAGCACCGUUACGGCACUCGAGCAAAGAUUAAAGACAUGGAUCAGAGAUUGGAAAAGCUUGAACAAUACCAGAAGGAGAUGCAAGACUUACUUCAGCUACAAGUGCAGGAGCGGUUAGACAAGAUGCAACAGGAUAUGUCUGAGAAAAUGCAGGAAUCCCAAAAGGAUAUGAUGGCAAAGCUAACCAAACUAUUGACCGGAGGAGGUGAUAAGGGAAAGGGUCCCAUGGCUGAUGUCAAAGUGGGUAAUGAACCACUCUAUCUUCUAGGCUUUACUCCUCCACAUGUUCGAACUCAAUAUCCACAUAAACCCACUGUCACAAUCAAGCCUCAGCAGUCCCAGGCCAGUGCUUCGAACUUUUAAGUUAGAUUGGGCUCUAACCCCGAAAACUACCCUGUUAACUCUGUCAUUCCUGACUUUGAUGAAGUGGCUGAAAAGGAAAGAAUAAAAGAGGAGUUACCAAGGCAGUUAGAGGAAAGGUACAAAUGGCUAGAGGAGAAAUUUAAGGCGAUGGAAGUCACUGAAAGCUAUCGCGGGAUUGACGCCAAAGAGCUAAGCUUAGUUCCAGAUUUGGUACUCCCUCACAAGUUUAAGAUGCCAGAAUUCGAGAAGUACAAUGGGACAACUUGCCCAGAAGCUCAUAUCACCAUGUUCUGCAGGCGAAUGGCUGGAUACGUUAACAAUGACCAGCUAUUGAUACAUUGUUUCUAGGAUAGCCUUUCAGGGGCAGCAUCUAAAUGGUACAAUCAGCUAAGCCGUACCACAAUUGGUUCAUGGAAGGACUUGGCACAAGCGUUCAUGAAACAGUAUAGUCAUGUGACAGACAUAGUUCUUGACAGAAUCACCCUUCAAAAUAUAGAGAAGAAGCCGAACGAAAGUUUCAGGCAGUAUGCACAAAGGUGGAGGGAGGUCGUAGUCCAAGUUCAACCACCGCUCUUAGAGAGAGAAACAACAAUGCUCUUUGUCAAUACGCUGAAAUCUCCAUUCAUUACGCAUAUGUUAGGAAGUGCUACAAAAAGCUUUACUGACAUAGUCAUGAAUGGUGAAAUGAUCAAAAUGCUAUAAGAAGCGGGAAAAUUGAUACAGAGGAGAGUAACAAGAGGUCAGUUUCAAAUAGAAGAGAAAAUAAGGUGAACAACACAGGUUACUCUAAAUUAGUUACCGUGAGUCAGCCAAGAAAGGUGGUUGGUAAUCAACAGAAUUCAUCGAGGCAAGAUUCCGGCAUGAAGACUGAGAAGUUUCAGUUUACGCCAAUCCCAGUACCGUAUAAAGAACUGUAUCAAAAUUUGUUUGAUGCACAUGUUGUUUCCCCUUUUCAUGUGAAGCCUCUACAACCUCCGUAUCCCGAAUGGUAUAAUGCGAACACACAAUGUGAAUACCAUGCUGGGGUUACGGGACACUCGAUUGAGAAUUGUACUACCUUCAAGAAGCAAGUUGAAAGACUCAUCGACAUGGGUAUUGUCAAGUUUGAUGACCCAUCUAGUGCAGGAAAUCCGCUACCUAAUCAUGAUGGAUGAUGGAGGGAAUGCAAUGUAUGAAGAAGUGGUGAGGUUUUCAUAUCGAUGCCAUAUAUGCAGACAGAAAUAAAAGGGUCCUUGUUAGAUAUUCGCCUAGGAGGUUUUAUAAAUAAUGGGACUGUAGAGGAAACCCUGUAGUAUUUAGAGUUUGUUAGAGUAAUGUUCAGAACACACUUGUUGCUUUUAGCCUAGAAGCAAUGAGAACCUCUUUGUGAAAUAGGCUCACGUCUAAACAUUAUUAUUUUAAUGAAAUACAUUAUUACAAUCAUCUUUGAGCAAAUGUUCUUUCAUUCUUUACGAUUUUUUUCAUUCAUUCAGAUUCUUUUCUUCCAAACCAUUCAUUUAUUCAUUCAUUUAUUUGUAUAUCCUUUAGCACCCACUGUGGGUCCCCAAAUAUCAAUGACAUGAGUGACGCUGCUACAGACUCAAAAUUGCCUUCUGAGUGAGACAUGUGUUUAGAGGGAUCUCAUGACUUUGAAGAUGUCAUAAAUUGUAGUCUAUUUCUAGACUUAUUAAGGAUGGUAGAGCAGGAAGGAAAUUUUACCUCAUGAGGAGACAAUAGAAACUGUGACCUUGAGGGAACAUGCAUGAUCGAAGAAACAAAGCAAGAUGUUGUUGAGCUACUUCAAGAAUUCAAAAAUGUCUUCGUAUGGUUAUACCAGGGUAUGCCCAGGUUAAACACUGUCAUUGCAAUCUGAACAACAACACAAUAUGAGAAAUUUACAGUAUGUUUAAGAUUAAUAUCAUGAAUGAUGUAGUGGAAACUGUACCAGAGCAGUACCUCUCUCUUUAACUCAUCACGGUUUUUUCUAUUGAAGUUGAAAUUCUUUCUCUCCGGGUAUUGGCUGAGCAGGUUGGAUGAAGCAGAACAGAUCCAAUCGCAAUGUGAUCAAUUGAACUUGAUAGAAGGAAGAAGAUUAAAAGUUAUUCAUCAUGGUCAGAUGUACCAGAAAUGAAUGAUGCGAGCCUAUAACAAAAGGUUCAUCCUAGAGAAUUCCACGAGGGUGACCAAAUGUUGUAGAUCUUCCCUCUACAAAAAAUAUUUUGGAAGGAAACGGAUGCCAAAUUGGGAGGAACCUUAUGAUUAUAGAGAAUGUUUUUUUCAAAGGAGCUUUGAUUUUGAGCGAGAUGGAUGAUAAAACCUGCAAAGUCCUGUAAACUCAGAUUCAGUCAGGAAAUACUCUACUUAAAGAAGGAGAGGACCAAGGUAAAAACCCGCAAAGGGCAGCUUGAGUCCCAAAAAAAAAGAAAAAGAAGUGAUGUGAAAAAAUGAAAAGAUGAAAAUAAAAAAUGAAAAAGUGAAAUGGAGAGGCUAAGGUGAAAACCCGCAAAGGGCGCCUUAGACCAAAGGGGAUUUGAGUUGAAACCCCAAAAAGGGCGGCUUAAAUGUUGGUCAAAAUGGCGUUUGAAUUUUUCAGAGCAGCUCAAAUACUGAUCAGAAUGGGGGCAUGCAGUGGUCUUGCUAUACCUGAAUCAACAGGAAAGGGUAGGCGACAUCUUGGGGCAUCGACAAAGUACUCCUAAACACAUGUUAAACUCAGAAUGGUCUUUAAAAAUCUGUACAGAGAAGUUCAAGCUGCGAUAUCUGGGGCAUCUAAUCCUUAUAUUAUUUUUUGUUAUUCUUGGAACACUUCAUUCAUUUCCAAGAUAUGCAUUCCUAAAUCAAUUUCUUUGUUAUCCAUCUUUAUUAUCUUUGACAACUUAUUCAUUUCAAGCUAUGCUCAGAACCAACUCAAUUCUUAUCCAUGAUCUUUUUUGCAAGCAUGUUGCAUUAGAAUAAUGAUUAAUGGACUAAUAAAACUUUCACAAGGGAAGUUUUGCAUAUUACUCUAGAAGUUUCUGAAUAAUAUAGGAACCUCAAACAAGACUAUUGUUUAGAACGCACCAGGUUGGAAAUCUGAUAAAGAAGAGUCAACAUUAAGACUAUCUCUUUAGAUUUUCUUGUCUAAAGUAUUACUUGAACAAAAUGGUAAGAUGUCGUGUUGGUGACAAAGCUUCAAUGAAUAAGCAAGUAAUGAUCACCGAAUAAUAAGAAGAAGUUGUUCUUGGAGAAGAUUUCUUCAUUUGUGCAUGAGCAUUUGGUACAACACCCUGGGAAUGGUGUAAGAGACCAAAAAGUUUCACAUCCUGUAUCCUUGAAUUGUGAUAACAGAGGAUUGAGAAAAGGCCAAAUUUUUUACUCUUGGGUUACAACGGGAAAAGAUGGUACAAAUUUUGCAUCCCAGUAGAUCAAACUUGGAGGUUUACAGCGUGGGGCAAUCUGGUCAAGUGCUUAUUGGGUUCACCAGCCGAGCAUAAAGACGCUAUAGUACAUUAAGCGAUAAGACCUUAAUAAACUUGGAGUAAUGACAACUCAAGUGUUAAAAUAUCAUUUUUAUGACAUUCUACAUUCAUUCAAAUGUCAUUCAUACAUGUCUAGUUAGGAGAAUUUGAUUCAUUUGAUCAUGACAUCCUAUUCACUAGGCAUAAUUAGGUUCACAAAAUAAAUCAUACAGGUAUGUUCCACAGAGAACAGAUUGGUGAAAUCAUAAAGCCUUAUCUCCUUGAGUUGCCGUGGAGCAGGUUGAAAAGAUAGCAAAUCUUGUCUUCCCAUACUGGUGGUGAAGUAGAUCAAAGAAAGUAGAUCUUAUCUUCAUGUACUGGCGUGAAGUAGAUCAGAGAUAACAGAUCUUGCCUUCCCAUACUGGUGGUGAAGCAGAUCGAAGGAAAAAGUAGAUCUUGUCUUCAUGUACUGGCGUGAAGUAGAUCAGAAAUACCAGAUCUUGCCUUCCCAUACUGGUGGCGAAGCAGAUCGAAGAAAGCAGAUCUUGUCUUCCCAUACUGAUGGUGAAGUAGAUCGAAGAAAGCAGAUCUUGUCUUCAUGUACUGGCGUGAAGUAGAUCAGAGAUACCAGAUCUUGCCUUCCCAUACUGGUGGCAAAGCAGAUCAAAGAAAGUAGAUCUUGUCUCAAUGUACUGGCGUGAAGUAGAUCAGAGAUACCAGAUCUUGCCUUCCCAUACUGGUGGCGAAGCAGAUCAAAGAAAGUAGAUCUUGUCUUCAUGUACUGGUGUGAAGUAGAUCAGAGAUAACAGAUCUUGCCUUCCUAUACUGGUGGCGAAGCAGAUCGAAGGAAAAAACAGAUCUUGUCUUCAUGUACUGGCGUGAAGUAGAUCAGAGAUACCAGAUCUUGCCUUCCCAUACUGGUGGCGAAGCAGAUCAAAGAAAGCAGAUCUUGUUUUCAUGUACUAGCGUGAAGUAGAUCAGAGAUAACAAAUCUUGCCUUCCCAUACUGGUGGCGAAGCAGAUCGAAGGAAAAAGUAGAUCUUGUCUUCAUAUACUGGCGUGAAGUAGAUCAGAGAUACCAGAUCUUGCCUUCCCAUACUGGUGGCGAAGCAGAUCAAAGAAAGCAGAUCUUGUCUUCAUGUACUAGCGUGAAGUAGAUCAGAGAUAAUAAAUCUUGCCUUCCCAUACUGGUGGCGAAGCAGAUUGAAAGAAAAAGCAGAUCUUGUCUUCAUGUACUGGCGUGAAGUAGAUCAGAGAUACCAGAUCUUGCCUUCCCAUACUGGUGGCGAAGCAGAUCAAAGAAAGUAGAUCUUGUCUUCAUAUACUGGCGUGAAGUAGAUCAAAGAUAACAGAUCUUGUCUUCCCAUACUGGUGGUGAAACAGAUCGAAGAAAGCAGAUCUUGUCUUCAUGUACUGGCGUGAAGUAGAUCAAAGAUACCAGAUCUUGUCUUCAUGUAUUGGCGUGAAGUAGAUCGAAGAAAACAGAUCUUGUCUUCAUGUAUUGGCGUGAAGUAGAUCAAAGAUACCCGAUCUUAUCUUCCCAUACUGGUGGCGAAGUAGAUCGAAGAAAGCGGAUCUUGUCUUCCCAUACUGGUGACGAAGCAGAUCGAAGAUGGCAGAUUUUACCUCCCUGAGAUUACAGUGGAGUACAUUGAAGCCAGUUAUUCCUAUCUCAUUGAAGUUGCAAUGGAGUGGAUUAAAGUACCAGUUCCUAUACCUCUGAAGAUGCAGUAGGAAGGAACAAGGCUACUGGAAAGAGAAGCAUGGAAUAAGUUGAGAUUCAGUAGGACCGGGCACAAUUGGGCCUUGUAGUCUUUGCUCUAUUCCCGUUACACGACAAUGAGCAAAGAGGGGCAGUUGUAAUAGGCCCAAUCGAUCCAGGUCCAAACAAAAUUAAAAUCAGUCCAAGAUUUACAAGCUCAUCUAAAGCAAACACGGCCCAAAAGAAAAAAGAAAAGCUAAACCCUAGAACCUUCAGCAAAUGGCAGCAAGGAGCGCCGCAGCAAGCCGUCAGUGUCGUGCCCAACGCCCAGUCGCCGCACAACUCGGAGGUCGACCUCCCCACGCGCGUUUACACUCCAUGAACGCCUGAAAAAACGGACUCAAGGAGUCCAAAGAAAAACAAACAGGAAGCAAUAUUUUUUUCCCUUCUUUUUUGAUUUAUUUUCUUUCUCUUUUUCGGCCUAUAAAAGGCCAUUUUGUAAUCUGUAAAAUGGGGGGGAUUUUCGGUGUAAAGGAAUACACAUAGAAACACUGAAAAAUACAGAGAAAAAGAAAGAAAGAUACAAACUUUUCUUGAAUAUAAAGGUGGCUUUUUUUUUUCCAGCGUUCAUUAUUUUUUUCAUGUUUACUGUUGAUUUAUAAAGAGAAGAGAGUGAAGAGGAGUUUACCUCUGUGUUCGGGCCGCCGUUUGCUACCAUCUCCGCCGCAAUCGGGGAUCCGGUUCAAAAGGCCGACGAGCUACGGCGCAGAAGGAAAAAUUUUAAAAAAACCCUAGCAAAGGAUUCUCAAUUUUUUUCCCUUUCAGCUGUAAAUAAGUUUUUAACAAAAAAAUUUGUUUUAAAUAACAAAAGUGAAACGGCGCCAUUUUGCAAUGGGCUAGAUCCGCGCGUCGACCCGACCUGCAAGCAGGGUCCGCGCGUUCUGGCCCUGAAUGGGGAAUUUACGCAACUGGUCCCUCUGUUUUUGAGUCACCUUCAAUGCAAUUUUUUUUAUUUUCAAUUUUGACCGCACGCUUGUUUCUUGUUUCAAUUUGGUCCAACAUGAAAACGCUGCGUAUAAGGGGCUGGUACAUUUCUUGUUUGCUCCUUGAUGUUUCCAGCGCACUACAAAUUAGUCUUCAGCUUUUAUUAUUUUAAAUGUUUACCUGAAAGUUUCCUGUAGUUUCAAUUUGGGUCCCUUGUUAUUAAUUAUUUUAUUAUUAAAAUUAUUUAUUUUUAUUAUAUUAUUUAUUAUUAUUGAUUAUUAUCAUAUUUUCUAUACAUAUAUAUAUACGCAUAGUUUUUUUUAUAUAUAAUAUAUCUAUGGGCAUUUUUUUUAUAUAUAGGUAUAUAUAUAUUUUUAAGCUUUUAUAAAUACAUGCAUAUAUUUUAUACAUAUGUUUUAUUUUUGUUUUUUACUUUUUUAUAUAUACUUUUUUUUGUAAAUAUAUACACAUGUACAUAUUUUUAUAUUUUUAUCUUAUUUUCAUAAAUUUCGCAUACAUAUAUAUACAUGCAUAUUUUCUUAGGAAUUAUAAUAGGUUUUUGUUUUGUUUUAUGUAUUUCAUUUAUUUUUUUAAUUUUAUAUACGUAUACUUAUAUAUACCUGUUUUAAUAUAUGCUUAUACACGUUUUCAAAAUUUAUUUAUGUCUCAUACUUAUAUUUUGAAAAUACAUAUAUACAUAUAUUUUAAAUUAAAGUAUCUGUAUCAUAUUGUAUAUUAACUUUUUAACAUACCCUUUUGAAAAUAUAUUUUGGUUUUAACCAUUCAUCAAAGUUAUUUUCUUGAUUUAAAGGUUUUUUUUGAAUAAAAGCAUUAUUGGAAGUUUGGGAUUUUCGAGGGUAAUUGAGCCCUAACGUAUUGGGUUCUGAUUUUCUUUGUCAAUCUUAAAUGACCGAGAAUAUUCUUUAUUCAAAAUGCAUGAGCAUAAAAAUCAUUUUUGGGAACUUAACUUGUCGUGCCCUAACGUAUUGGGUGUGGCCUGUUACUUUCUCGAAAUGAAGAUUUUCGCAUAAAAUAAGAGUGAUAUUCAAAGUUCGGGGAUUAUGAGAAAUUGUACCCUAACGUAUUGGGACUCGAUUUCUUUACAUGACUUGAACAAUUGGUUAUCCUUUUGUAAAUUUCAUCAUUCAAGCUUAUUUUAAAAUCUUUUUUUCAAAUUUUCGACACCAAGGCAUUAAAUAAUUAAUUUGGUACCGAUUUUGGGCGUCACGAGGGUGCUAAUCCUUCCUUGUGCGUAACUGACUCCGGAACUCAUUUUCUCAAAUUUCAUAGACCAAAAUCAUUUUUAAGGUGAGCCGAUCACACCUUAAUCAAGAAUCGGUGGCGACUCCCAUUUUCGUUUUUAAAGUCGAAAACUAAAAUUUUUGUUUUCAAAAAACGGUUUCGACACCUUCCACUUCUUUCCUGUCAAGUUUGGUGAAAUGUAAAUUACCUACAAAAUAUAAGUAUAAAUAACUAAUUGUAUAGGUUUACAAAAUAAGAAAUUCAGUUCAACAAAAUAAUUAAUAUUUUAUAAUCUACCAAGUGAUUUUGAGGCAGUGCCAACCCUUUUGACAUCCUAAAUUUUACUCUUCCUCCGAUGAUCGCAAGCUCACGUUCUGUCUGCGUUAUAGCGUUUUCGUGAGAACUGUUUGGUAUACGUGGGGGGACGAAAUAAAAUUAAGUGGAUUGAGCAUUGAGUCAUGAUAAUAACUUCAGUCCGAUACUACUCCUAAUAUUUUCCUAUUUCGUUUAUCCUUCUACUUCUUUCCUGUCAAAUUUGGUGAAAUGUAAUUUUCCAACACAAUAUAAGUAUAAACGACUAACUGUAUCUGUUGCUACUUUAAAUUGUUUACUUGCUAAAAUACAAAAUUGAAAGGGAAGUGUUAGAUUGUAGUGGUCACUACGGCUUGGCACUUCCAAAUGCCAAUUCUGUGCAAACAAAAUUAUAAAGAACAUUAAGGUUUCUUUACAUAGUUCGGUUUCUUUAUGUCCAUAGAGUCUAACUCAGUGAGUAAUUUUACUAUCUUUAACUACACUCUAUCACUUCUCAAGAAUAGAAAUCUCACCUUUGUACCUGAAGAUUAGAACACUCAAUAAGCUCUCAUACAAAACCUAAACAAGCCUGUAUAUUCAAUUUCGGCUUGCUAACAUGGAAUCUAAGUGAACACAAUUUUACACAUUAAAACCAGCUAUUACAAUUACAACUUUCAAAGCAGAAUCAAACGAAGAUAUGAUUUCCAGAAUAGCAAUGCAGUCUUGAUCGAAUCUCGACACUUUCCAUGGGUUGAAUUGAUUCAUUCAUAUCCAAUCAAAUCCUCAAAAGCCAAAGACUAUUUUGCAUAGAUGGACCAUAGUAUCUUCAAUAACACAUCACAUUAAACAGGUCCAAAUAUUUUUUUGCCACCACCUUGACGAAUUAGUCUACAGUGACAUUAUCGAGUACCAGUUAGCAACUAUCAACUCAUCUUGCCUCAGUAGUAUCAGUUUACAAAAAUAAGAAAUUUUGGUCUACAAAGUAAAUAAUAUUUUAUAAGUUUUAGUAUUUUAUUUUCCAAGUAAAGUCCCACGACCUGGAAUUUUUUUGCACUAAAUAUUAAAUUUUUUUACACAUGCAAUGUGGUUGAGAAAAAUGUUGUAUAAAAUUGAUAUCUCGAGAAAUAAUUAUAUUCAAAAUAAAAGAUUUAAUAUUUUUUUUCUAAGGAGAUAAAUUAUGGUAUUUAAUUUAAUUUUGUUUUUUUUAAAUAUUGGUAAUUUAGUUAAGGAUACGAAGUUUGAAGUGGGUAGUUAUAGAGUAAUCGGUGCUAGAACAAAUUUUUGCCACCAUCUUGACGUUUUUAAUUAUCUAUGUAUAUAUUGAAAGUUGAUUAGUUAAUAAAAAUUGUGUCUAAAUUGGAUUGGACCGACUUAACUAAAGGCCCAACACAAUGAAAAACUAUAUUUCAUUUAAAUGGAUUUAGGAUCUAUUCAAUUUGGGUCUUAUACGAUGUACUGUCAGUCUAGUUAGUUACAUCUAUAUUCUUAUCUUUUGGGAGUAAUUUGUUCUAUAUUAAAGAUAAGAUAUGUCACCAAUUAGGCUAGAUAGAGAACAUAUUAGUAUUUUAAUCGAUUUUCUCAAUUCCGAUUAGACUAAGGACGUGUUUAGAUUAUCUACUAAUAUAAAUUGUCUUUUUAUAUUAUGAGUCGACCACAUAAUAUUGCUUACUAUUAAUUAAGCGUUGGAUAAUUAGUGAGUUAAUAUUUGUUUUCAUUUUGUUUUGCAUGCAAAAACCAUUAAGAAUAAUAUAUGAAGAUGUUAAUGAAACUGAUGAAUAUUUUAUUAAAUCAAUUUGUUCGAAAAUUACAACUACAUGUAGACGACAAUACUACACCAAGGCACUAGAUCCCAAUGCACCCAAGAGACAAUUUUCUAACCACUAAAUUCUCCUAUUGAGAACAUAGCAUGUAAAGCCACAAUACAAAAUUUGUACAAUCAUAUGCACUCUUACAAAUAAUGUUUCUCACUUGAAUGUAUUAAAUGUUAUAAAAAAUCAACACAUCAACAUUAAUCUAUACAAGUCUCUCAAUUAAAUAAAGAUUUCGAGACAUGCUAUCAUCAUAAAAAUCUGUCAGAAACCUAUUAAACAAUAGCUAUAUAAGCUAAAAUACCAUAUAAUAAUAACAACCAAGAUAAAUAAGGACUGUUGACAACUAAGUCUUCAACAUUUUAAUCUGAUCCAACCUCCUUGGUCUAACGUAUUAGAUAGACUUGCACUUCCUCAAGCAUAUUUUUAUAAUAUUUCAAGUAAUAUGAUAUUCUUUCAACAUUAAUGAGGCUUUAAGUUCAAAUACCUCUAUUUGUGGAUUUGGUCCAGAAAAGGAAAAUAAUUUGCUACAUCAAACAAUAGUAUUCUAUGCAUAAGAACUAAGCAACAAGAAUAGAAGAUUAAUACAAUCAAUCGAUAUUCUCCCGAUAUAUGAAGAUUAAUUCUAGAGUUCCCCAACCUUCAUUAACUUUUCUGUUAAUUGUAUGUACUACAAUUCCCUUUAGACCAAAUAACUUCAUUCUAGUAGUGUCCUUGAUCAUGUGGAGCAGUAGCUACUCCUAAUAUUUAACUAAUUCUUUGGUCCUUUCACUUCUUUCCUGUCAAAUAUGGUGAAAUGUAAUUACUUAGACAAUAUAAGUAUAAACUAAUUGUAUCGGUAAAUUUAGUUAUAAGUUUUAGUAUUUUAUUUACCAAGUAAACUCCUGUAAUUUUUUUUUUCAACAAAUACUAAAAUUUGUGACACCCACUAUGUGGAUGACAAAAAAUUUUAUGUAAUUAAUUCCUCAAGAAAUAUUUAUUUUAAAAUCAGAUGUCAUGUGAUUAAUAUAAUUUUGAAAUAUUAAAGAGUAGCUUCAACAUCUUUAAUUAUUUUAAAAAUAUAUAAUUAUCAUGGAUGGCCCUUCUAACAACUUUGGCCAGCCAUCAUGCUCCGAAAUGGCCCUUGGAGACAACCAUAGUUGUUAAGGUACAUGAGGAGCAAGGGCCAUUUAUCCUCUUCUCGGCAUUGCUUGACAACUUACACAAAUUUGGGUCAUCUGGCAACUUGGAGGCUGACAAUUUCUGAUGGUCUUCUAACAACUUUGGUCAACAAUUACGCUCGCAGAUGGCCGUUUGAACAACUUUGGCUGGCCAUAACGUUUAAGGUUAAAUUUGACAUUAUGUUUUGAUUUAUUGAUCAAGCUUAAGAAUUGCGAAAUCUGAAUUUAUUGAUUCAAACAAAAUAUUGUAUCACUAAAAAUAAUAAAGCUUAUCCCUUUGACUUAGUUAAAACUUUUGUGUAGAGAUUUUUCAUUAAAGAUAUUGGUGAUUUCAAUCAUUUCUUGAAUUGACGUCUCAAGAUUUAUUCAUCUCAACACAAGAAUAUAUCUGUUAUGAUAUAUUGAGCAAAGUAAACUUUCUCAUUUUUUUGGUAAACCAACCUCUAUCAGAGAUGAAAUAAAUACUGAAUAGAUAUAUUUAUGUCUCUUUUGUAGCAAACAAUUUAAUCUUUAUUUGUAAUAAAAUAAUAAAGUACAAUGAUGAAGUAUGAGAUUCUCAUACAUUUAUUGUAAUCAAGUGUAGCAGAAUCAUAUGACUUUUUCACAGUCCCAGAGAAUUGAGUCAGUAGAUAACAUCUUAGUGAUGAAUUGCAGUAACGUUAAAUUCAAUAAUGACAUUGGUGGCAUUUAUAAGGAUAGGGUUAAAUAGUGCAAUCCCCUUUGCCAUCAUGAAUCGUCCUCUUCCUCCAACCACCGCAAGCCCAGGUUCUCCCCUUGAAAAUACGCUUAGAGAGCUGCCAUUAAACUUACCGGUAUUAAAUCCAAAUUCUAUGUACUGCGUACUCGAUGCAUUUGAUCCAGCCAGGAGCGAAAUACCCUGAACAUUUCCAAUUACCUCUGAGUCAGGCUCAGGACCAGUCCUGAGGGGAUCAUUAACGGCAACUAGGGUGGCAAAUGGCACUGAUGAAUUAUUGCUUGAGAUAUUAGCUUGGGCUACCACGACUGCAGUAACACCCGUAUGUUCGUGCAUAAAGAAGUGAAGAUUGGUGACCUUAGGUGGCCUGGGAUGAUAUGGUCGGCUCUUCGAGUAGUAUUGGCUCUGCACUGCUACUUGGGAGAGGCAGAUGAUCAGAAUCCAACUCAACAUCAAUGUUCCUCUCAUUGUCUCUGCUUUACUAUAAUUUCUGGGGCGAAAUGUAGAUGAAAGCUAUAGAAUUGUUUCUUUAUUUUUAUUAAGAAAACAGAAAUAUUUAUAGUGAUAAAACCCGCAGACAUGAAAAUAAUUUAUUGUCCCAAAUAUUUUAUAUAAUAUUUCGCCGUAGUAAUAUUAAAAGGAACACAAACCUUGAUCACGCAAAAGAAACAUGGUCUCAUUGUCUAUGAUCCACUUGUAAAUUAAUUUUAUAUUGGAAGUUUCCUCUCCUACGUUUUUAAUUUCGUGUGAAUGGGGCAUUGUCCAUUGACUUUAUUUUAUUUGAUCUUAUAUAUUACUUGUGAUUGAUUUUAUAAAUUAUUUUAUCUUCUGCAAAUAAAAGAUGUUUGAUUUUAUAAAUUAUUUAUUUGAUACGUUUUUUCGGGUAUUCUAAGAUUUAUAUAUGACAAAAAAAAGAAGAUAGGAGUGAGUUAUCAUAGAAUAUUUAAGAAAUUUUUUCUUAUAUAUACAUCUUAGAAUGCCCGAAAAACCUAAAAAAAUGCAAUUUCCUGUAAUUUAGUGUACAAAUUCAUAAAAUCGACACGAACUACCACAUGGCCGUGUGGAAUGGGUCAGCCCGUGUGGCUCAUGUAGCUUACUCUGAUUUUCCAUUCUUCACACGUUUUGCUCCCAAAUGCUCUAUUAAGCAUUAAAAUAUGAAUUUAAAGGAUUAGGAUAAUAAAAUUCACCAUUAACAUUGAAAAAUCACCUAAAAACGAAUUAAGAGCGAGGUUAAAAUAUGGUUUCUUUUAGCACUCAUCAAAUAUCUCCAUACUUAAGCGUUUGCUUGUCCUCCACAAUCAAGUGCGCUUCCCUUAAUUUGUUGUUUUCACCGAUAAUGUCUCAGGAUAAUCCACAGAUAAUCAAGCAUUAGAAAUUCGAACUAAAAUGACACUAAAGAAUACAAGUAAUCUAAGCAAAAAUUUUCAAUACAUAAAAACAAAGGCAUCUCUCCUAUCUCAAUAAUUACAUGAAAUUUAAACUCAACAAGAAUUGACAUCCUCACUAAGGAUCACUCAAAGCACUCAGAGUCUUUAAUGUUCAAGGACUAUGCACUUAAUAGUCGAAUGAGAAAUGUUAUUACCAUAGGCUUGCUUGAAAAUUAGAUCUCUACCACUAAAGAAAUGAGAUGACACACCUAUUACCUCACAUAAAUACUAAGAAACCUUUAGUUUAAUAUGAUCAGUAAAAUGCAUGUUUCACUAAGUAGAAGAUCUAAAAGGACUUAAUUUGGUUUCUAAACUCAUGAAAGAUCAAGUUGCCAUGGAAUGCUUUCCGAACACUGUUAAGUAUGAUGAAAAUAAAUUAAGUUGAUUAAUGUAAUUAUCUUAACCUAUACAUGUUAUUGAUUGUUGAAGUUGUGUUUCUGUUGCUAAAAUUCAUUCAUACAUUUAGAUUAUUUUGCAUACUUAGUUUAAAAAUGCAUUAGGGACCAAAUUUUGCAUCCAGUUAAAUUAAUUUAGUUAAAUCAUCAUCACUAAAAUUAUUGUGUUUGAUAAUACUCUGGAUUGACAUAUUUUUAUGUAUUAAUUACAUAAUUAUUUUGAGUAUGAUCCUGCUAAUUUGAGCUAUUUAUGGUUUUUUUAUAUGCUAGGGAUUAAAUUGAAGGCAAAAGGAAAUUUAGGAGCAAAAAGCAUGAAUUUGAAACAAAAUGGGCCAGCAUGCGAAAUAGGAAAGAAGUUGUGCCAAAAAUGCAAAGUGUGGAAGACUUGAGAGCAACAGUUCAAAGAAAAGAUUUUAUAAACACAAUACUCUAUUUAAAUUUUAAUUAUAUUAGGAUUAUUGUUAAAAUUAUUAUUUAAAUUUCAUUUUAGCUUUUAUCUUUAUUUAUCUUUUAGAAUUUAGAUAGGAAUAAACUAGGUUUUCUGAGUACUAUAAAUAGAGGAUGGAGUGACAUAAAUUGCACUAAUCUUUUCUGUAAAAGCUCCCUCUCCCAAAAAGCUCUAGCUUUUGUUCCUUUUAUUUAUUCAAUAAAAUUCCAUUUUUAUUAAGUUUAUUUCUUUUUCCCCAAAAAGCACGAGCCACUAAAUUCAUCUAGCCAAAGGUUGUCGAAGAUUCCCCAAAAAGGGUUCAUGAGGCUUAGAAUCCACACUUAACCUUCUCAACAAAUAUUCGUCAUUUCUCUGUAUUACAGGACUGACGCUUCUAUCCAUGUCCCUUCAAAUGUGAUCUUUUCAUCUUGUACAAAGGCGGCCGCUUUAUAUGUUUUGGGAAGGUUGCACAGUCGGUUCGUUAGCCUACUGCGUCAGUGCUUGUCAAGUCCAAGAGACAAAAUAGCGUGGCAUUCGCCAUUGAGAAGUGAUGAUCUAGUGUAAAACGGUUCCAUAAAAGUGACGAUUGGUUAGAGUCAGGUUCCACUAUAUCGUGAGUCUAAAAUCUAAGUGGAGCUGGUGGUCAUAGGCGUCCUCUUCCACUAUAACUGGCUUAUUCUGUUAUGAUAAGGAUCAUCUAAAAGCCUAGGAUUGAACCUGAGGAGGAUCGAGAUAACCGAAGGCUGGAAUCUCUUUAUCAAAAACUCUAUUUUCUUAAUUCUGUUUAUUUUUACAGUUUCAAUUUCAAUUUAUGCAAUCUCAACUCAACCAAACUUUUAAUUUUGUUUUUUUAUUCUUUUCCAGGCACGCUAUUUUUAUUGGGUAAGACUUUGCUCGGGAUAUCGAGGAAGAGGAACCUGUGCAAGUCCAAUCCCUGAAGAUUUGACCCUACUUCCCUUAUACUAUUCUUUUCAUUAUUUUAUAGGGAUAUGAUACUUUUGGUUCUCUCAACGAUGCACCAAAUUUUGACACUGUUGCUGGGGACUAGUAACGUACUAAUCUUGCUCAUUUUGUUUCUUAUUACCAGAUCUGUUCCAAGUAUUCUUACAUUUGAUUCAGAGAUAGAGAAGAUUGCGUGAGCUAAUCGCAAAGAAACAAAACUACAUAAAAAGCAGUUAGGGGUGGUAAGGACUCAGACUAACCCACCGCUGGAGAUAGAAGCAGAUGACAAUGUGUCUAGGGUUAACGAAAACCCUACUCAAACACUAGAAAAUGAAAGAGUAGGAGUCGAUCCACCAGAAGAAGUGCUUAAUGUGAGGGUUAACGAAAUGCAAAAUAAAAAUCCACACAAACAUCUAAAAGAGUUUUAUAUGGUUUGUCUUAGCAUAAAACCUUAGGGCAUAACUAAGGAUCAAAUCAAAUUGGGUGCUUUCCCUUUUUCCCUAGCAGAUUCUACUAGGCAAAGGUUAUUUUAUCUACCCUCUAGAUCUAUUACAACUUGGACUGAUCUUUCUCGUUUGUUUCUCAAUAAUCUUUUCUAGCAUCGUAUGCAAUUGAGUUAAUAAGGGAGAUCGUUGGGAUAAGAAUAAAAGAAGUAAAGUCUCUUUAUGACUAUUGGGAGCGAUUUAAGAAGUUGUGUACAAGUUGCCCACAACAAGGUAUAACGAAACAGUCUUUACUCCAAUACUUCUAUGAAGGAUGGAAACCUAUAGAAAUGAACACGGAAGAUGCCGCCAGUGGAGGGGCAUUGGUCAACAUGACUCCCCAACAAGUAAGGGACUUGAUAUCCACGAUGGCUAUGAAUAAUCAACAAUUUUGAGCCAAUCCUAAACCCACUAGAAGGGUUCACUAGCUAAGUAAUUCAACCUUAGAAGAUAAAGUUGAUAGACUUACUAAUAUUAUGAAUUCUCUUAUUACAGAAAAAGCAAAACUAACUUGACUAUGCGGAAUUUGUUCCAUACCUAAACAUACAAUUGAUUUAUUUCCUAGUUUGUAUGAUGAUACUAUGGCCUAUUUGAAUGCUAUGGAGAACUUUCCUGGGCCACCACAAAGUCGAUAUGAUCCUUACGCUAAUACCUAUAACCCAGGAUGGAAAAACCAUCCUAACUUGAGUUAUAGGGUCAACCUACGAUAUAACUAGCCAUACCAAAAUUAGUUUCAACAAUAGCCGCGAGAUUGAUGUACUUCUCUAGAAACCAUGGUCAAUAAAUUAGCAACUAAUAUGCUUGAUUUUUAAUAGAAAACUGAGGUGUCUAUAAGAGAGUUGACCAUAUCAAUUGAGAAAAUGAACUCUUAAGGGAAGCUACCAUCACAAACAGAGCCAAACCCAAGACAAAAUGCAAAUGUAGUGACAUUUGGAAGAGAACUAGAACCAAUUCCUGGUAGAAAUCUUGGCAAAGAUUUUGCCCAAGAGAAGCACGAGAACGACGAACUAGUUCGAAUGAAACCUCCAUUGCCUAAAAUUCAACCUCCAUUUCCAAGAUGAUUGAACCAAAAUCGGAAAGGUAAAGAGGAUAAGGAGAUCCUCGAAACAUUCAGAAAUGUUGAGAUCAACAUACCACUAUUGGAUGCCAUCAAACAAAUUCUGUGAUAUGCCAAGUUUCAUAAGGAGCUCUACACCAACAAGUGAAAAUUAACUGGUAAUGAAAGGGUAAGCGUUGGUGAAAAUGUAUCCACAGUGUUAUAGUGGAAGAUGCCAACAAAAUGCAAAGAUAGGGGAAUGUUUACAAUACCAUGCAAAAGAGGCCACUUAGGAAUUAAAAAAGCUAUGUGUGAUUUAGGGGUCUCCAUAACUGUAAUGCAUUUUUCUAUUUAUGAAUCACUUACCACGGGUUUUUUAAUGAAAAUAGGUGCUAUCAUUCAGUUAGCAGACACGUCUAUUGUGCAUUCUGAAAGAGGAUCGAGAUAACUGGAGGCUGGAAUCUCUCCAUCAAAAACUCUCUUUUCUCAACUCUGUUUAUUUUUACAAUUUCAAUUUCAAUUUACGCAAUCUCAACUCAACCAAACUUUUAAGUCUAUUUUUUAUUUUUUUAUCCAGGUACGCCAUUUUUCUUGGGCAUGACCCUGUCCGGGAUCUUGAGGAACAAGAACUUGUACAAGUCCAGUCUUUGAGGAUUUGACCUUACUUCCCUUAUACUAUUCUUUUCAUUAUUUUAUAGGGAUAUGGUAUUUUUGGUGUUCUCAACGACGCACCAAUGUUUUUAUACCAAAUUGUGAAUUUAUAAAUUUGCAAAUAAUCAAUUAACACACACAGCCCCUGUGGAGAUGAUAACUCAUUUUACUUACUUAUUACUUGAACAACUGUGUACACUUGCACAAUAAUCCCGUUACAAAUGUUUUUCAUAUUCAAAAGGAGUAAGCUUUAUGCAUGUCAUGGAUGAGAAAAGUAUGGCACUAGGUGUAGAGAAAAGGAUAAAAUUUUUAAGAGGAUGUAGAGAUUAUAAGGUUUUCUAAAUCUUCUCAAAUAUAUUAAAAUUAUUUGACAAGAAUAUCCUUGUCCCAUAAUAAAUAUAUACCUUAAUCCUGAGUGGAUGAUGGACUAUGUAUGUGUGUAUCAUAUACUUUGAGGUAAGUAAAAGUCUGAGUUCAAAUAGAUAAGGAACCAAAAGUUGGUGCAUUGGAUAUACGACUUCUGUAGUAUAUAAGUUCGUUCACAAUAGUGGAAUUCAUUGCGCAACUAAUGGGUAAAUGAUACAAAUUCAUCUACAUUACAUGCUAGAUGAAAAUUAAACAUGAUCAUAGAUCGUUUGUCUUUGUGGUAAAUGGCUUGAUAACUAUUUGUCCUAGACAAAUGAUUCGUGGCCUUGUUACUUUUUCAUCUAUCAUUUAAUGCUAAUGAGAGAAUAUCAUUUACCCUUUAAUGGGUUAUGAAUUCCACUAUCUGAAUGAAGCUAUGUCGUGCAAAAGUAGUAUGCCUAACAUAUUAGCUUUCGGAUUUUUAGUUGUUUUGAACUCAAUCUUUCACUACAUCUAAGUGUACGAGUUAUGCACACAUAGUUAGUCACUUAGUCAAGUUUGAGGUAAGUCACUAUGAACAUCACAAAUAAAUUAAUCCACAAACAAAUCUAAGAUUAAUUUGAAUUGAGUCUUUCUUUAUGUAUUAUCAAUCCAGACAAUAACAUCUACGUCUCUAUCUUCUGGGAGUCAUCUGUUUCGAUACUAAAGACAAGAUAUCUAUCUAAUAGAACUUGAUAGACUGCAUAAUAAUCCUUUAACUGAUUUGCUCAAUUUCGAUUUAAUGGACCUUUUAAAUUAUCUACUAAUAUAAGUUAUCUUCUCGAAUUGAUCCGACCAUAUAAUACAACUUAAUAUCGGUUAAACGUUAGGUAAUCAAGGACUAAUAUUUGUUGACAUUUUACUUCUUUUGCGCUUGUUUUUAUAUUCAAAAUUUACCAUUUUCUUUUGCAAAUUCAUUUUAUUCUAUUUUAAUUAGUUUAUAGUUAACUACACUUAGACUCCCUUUGGAUAGGUGAUGAGAUUAAUCCGAUGAGAUUGAAAAUAGUGGUAGCGACAAUAUUAUCUACUAUUGAUGUACUAAAACAACUCUUCAUGACCAAAAAUAAAUUAAAAUUAAUAAAUUUUAUUUAUUAACAACAGAAUACCGCCAAACUCAAGAGGACGCCUCUAUAAAUGAAACUAUUCGUGGCAUUCAACGAGAGAAACGCCACUAAUAUAUACAAAUUAAAAUUUAAAAAAUUAAUUAUAUUUCUUAAUUGUAUAAUUUACGGUAUCUGAGACUUGGUCGCCACCAUGUGCACUAAUGUGUUAUCCGCUGAAAUGUUGAAAUUCGCUGGCUGACGUGAGUGAAUUAGCCGCGUUUUCUGGGUAACCUCCACUUAUCAUGCGCAUAAGCCACUACAGGAGUACCUAUGUGGCACUUUUCUCUGUAAACGCCGCAAGGUAUUGCCGCGGUGAGUGGUGAGAUGCAACAUGAUAUGAUCGUGGUUUUCUUCAAGUCAACUGGAUGAGGUCGCAUAUAAGCAAUCUUGCUCCUUCCUGUCUUCCGCUGUGAGUGAGCUUUGUUCAACAAAGUGAUCUGAGAGGAUAGGUGGGUUUUACUUGUUGUAAGGGUGGAGUGGCAACGUCUAGCAACUAUAAAUUUUGCAACCAUAUAAGCCAAACUGUAAAAGACAGCACAUAAUUCAUCAAAUAAAUAAUCUUAUUCAUAAUACAUAAAAAUAAAAUAAUUAAUUCAAAAUCAUGCACAAUUUUCUUUAAAAUAAUAUAAAUGUCAAAUGCUAAAUAAUAUGAUCAGAACAAGAAAGAGAUAAUACACUAAAAUAAUACAGUUGAAUGUUUGAGUUUAUAAGUUAAGAGUAUUUUUAUUAAUAUUAUAUUCCAAUUCGAGUUAAGAUUUUUUAUCAAACUAAAAGUGAAAAUUUAUAUCAAAGAAAGAAAUUGUAGUAAGUUGAGUGUCAAAUCCGUUUUUUUAUUGAAAAUGGUGGCAAAAACAUUAAUUUUUUAAUGAUGUUGACGCGACAACUUAAUUACAUAUACUUUAUACAAACAUUACAAUUCGUUUUUUUUUAUGUUACCUCACCAAAUGAUUUAAAAUUUAUAAAAUAUUCAAAUUAUAAAAAAGAGUUCAUAAAAAUUCAUAAAAUUAGCAUGGACUACAUGGAGAUUGCUAAGUGAGCUGUUAUGUUUAAAAGUUUAAUGUUUUAAUAAGUAUUUCUAUUUAAAAAAAAUAACAAUUCGAUUCUUUUUUAAAUGUUGGUGGUCAAAUUUGACCUCUUUAAAAUGGUUGAGACUAAAACCAAUAUGAGUAAAAAAUAUAAACAUUAAGGGUUAAAUUUGAUAUUAUGCAUGGACUUAUCGAUAAUUAGAGGCUUUUAAGUAUAGUUAAAUCCGAAUUUAUUGAUUCAAACAAAAUUUUGUAUCAAUAAAAAUAAUAAAAGUUUUCUUUUUUACUUUGUUCAAACUUUGGUGGAGAGAUUUUCGAGUAAAGGUGUUGGUGAUUUGAAUCAUUUCCUGGGAAUUGAAGUCAUUCUCAAGAUUUAUUCAUCUCAACUCAAGAAUAUAUCUGUUAUGAUAUAUUGAGCAAAGUAAACUUGCUGCUUCGUUGUAAUAUUUGACUUUGACACCAUUUCAUAAUUGUUUGGUUGAUAUAUUGAGCAAAGUAAACUUUUCUCAGCUUUUGCGUAAACCAACCUCUAGCAGAGAUGAAGAUAAAUACUGAAUAAAUAUAUUUGUAAUAAAAUAAUAAAGUACAAUGAUGAAGUAUGAGAAUGUCAAUCUCAUACUGUUGCGGAAAGGAUCGAUUCGAGAACUCCGAUAUGACUACAAGUAAAUUGACCGAAACGAAAAAUAAAGUGAACACAAGGAUUUACGUGGUUCGGCUUUAAUGCCUACGUCCACGGGCAGAGGCGAAAAGAAAUUUCACUAUAACAAGAUGAAGAUUACAAGUGUUUUACACUCAAGACACAACCCGAGAACCUCACAACUCUCAACCCCUAUAGAAAACCCGAAAGCUAAAAUCCUAGCUUUCAAAGAACAAGCUUUGCUCUCUCUUGGUUUGGGAUGAUGAAUAUGGCUAAUGAACCUCUCUAUUUAUAAGAGAGUUCAAGGACAUAAUUGUCCAAAACUUUGGCAAAGAUUUGUGGUUGAAAAUGGACACCAACAACCAUCCACUAAUCCACUACCACCAACAACCCACUACCAACAACAACAAUCCACUACCAAUUUUAAGCCAUUUCUUAACAAAUCUCCACCUUGGCUUGAAAUUUACCAAGCUGAACAUCAUAGUGAAUUCCUCGAACUGGAUCACCUCUUCCAAACGCCUCUCUGGCGCUUAAUCAAUCCCGAAUACCUAUCAAGUCCAAGCAAUGCUUGAACUUAUAUGCAGGGAUCACCUUAGUUAACAUAUCUGCAGGAUUCUUCUCGGUAGCAACCUUGCUGAUAACAAUGUCACCUUGCGUAACAUGUUCCCGAACAAAAUGAUAUCUGACAUCAAUGUGUUUGGUCCGUUCAUGAAACAUCUGAUUUUUAGUCAGAUGUAUGGCACUCUGGCUAUCGCAAAAUACAACAGUGAAAUCCUGUUGUAAACCCAAACUGCUUACUAGACCUUUCAUCCACAAUGCUUCUUUCACUGCUUCUGCUAACGCCAUAUAUUCCGCCUCAGUCGUAGAUAAGGCUACGGUAGACUGUAACACAGCUUUCCAACUAAUGGCUCCUCCAGAAUAAGUGAAAACAUAACCCGUCAGAGAUCUUCUUUUGUCCAGAUCUCCAGCAUAAUCAGAGUCCACAUAGCCCGUGACACUGCUAGUGCAGUCACUCUGAUCAUAUACCAAGCAUAAAUCUGCAGAACCUCUCAAGUACCUGAGAAUCCAUUUCACGGCCUGCCAGUGUUCCUUGCCAGGACAACUCAUGUAUCUGCUGACCACACUAACUGCAUGUGAAAUGUCUGGACGAGUGCAAACCAUUGCAUACAUCACGCUUCCAACUGCACUCGAGUAUGGAAUGUGAGACAUUUGCUGCUUUUCUUCAUCAGAUUGUGGUGACAACUCUGCAGAGAGUUUGAAAUGUGGUGCCAACGGAGUACUCACAGUUUUCGCUUUAUCCAUGCCGAAGCGUUGAAGAACCUUUUCAAUGUAGUUCUUCUGCGACACACGAAGCUUGCCCGCCUUGCGAUCUCUGUGAAUAUCCAUGCCCAAAAUUUUCUUGGCAGCACCCAGAUCCUUCAUCUCGAACUCACCACUCAACUGCGACUUUAACUUGUUGAUUUCCGACAUGUUUUUGGAAGCAAUUAACAUGUCAUCAACAUACAGCAACAAAUAAAUGUGCGAACCAUCUGAGAGCUUCCGAUGAUAGACACAAGCAUCAUAGUCACAUCUUGUGUAACCAUGCUGAAUCAUGAAGCUAUCAAACCGCUUGUACCACUGCCUUGGGGAUUGUUUCAAUCCAUAUAAAGACUUCUUUAAUAGACAGACAUGGUCUUCUUUACCAGGAACUGUAAAACCCUCUGGUUGACGCAUGUAGAUUGUUUCCUCGAGCUCACCAUGCAAGAACGCCGUUUUUACGUCAAGCUGCUCAAGUUCUAGAUCAGACUUGGCCACCAUGGCAAGUAAUACACGAAUGGAAGAAUGCUUUACGACUGGGGAGAAAACUUCAUUGUAGUCAAUCCCCUCUUUCUGAGUGAAGCCUUUAGCAACCAAUCGUGCCUUGAAUCUAGUUGCUUCAACCCCUAGGAUGCCUUCCUUUUUCUUGAAGACCCAUUUGCAACCAACUAUCUUCUGGUUACUUGGCGGCUUAACCAACUCCCAAGUAUGGUUCUUGUGAAGAGAUUCUAUCUCCUCACUCAUAGCAAUUGCCCACUGUGCCGACUCAUCACACGUGACAGCCUCAUUAUAACUGGAAGGUUCUAUACCAAUGGACUCCGCCACACUGAGCGCGAAAGACACCAGAUUAGCGUAACGCGGAUUUGGUUUGAUUUGUCUCUUCGUUCUUCCAGUGGCAAUGCUAUAUGGUUUUUCUUGAGGUGACUCAUCUUCAUCGGAAUCUUGCACCUCAACUUGAUCAUCCUGGACUGAAGUACCUUCCGUAGGAAUUGGAGCGUCCACCUGACACUCCACCUGCUUCUCAACACCGUGAUCUCCCAUUCUAUCUGACUCCUCCUUUUCCCGAGAAUUUGUGGUGGAUCGAAGCAUGGAUGACUCAUCAAAAGUCACAUCUCUGCUGAUGAUGAACUUGGACGAAACCGGAUCAGGACACCACAACCUGUAUCCUUUCACCCCUUGGCCGUAUCCAAGAAAUAUGCAUUUCUUCGCCCUCGGUUUGAGUUUUCCCUCAUUUACAUGAGCAUACGCAGGGCAGCCAAACACUCUUAAACCAGAGUAAUCAGCAGGAGAACCAGACCAUACUUCCUCAGGAGUCUUCAGCUCAAUAGCUGUUGACGGAGAUCUGUUAACCAAAUAACAAGCAGUAUUAACAGCUUCAGCCCAAAAUUCUUCACCGAGCCCAGCAUUUGAUCGCAUGCAACGAGCUCGCUCCAAGAGAGUUCUAUUCAUGCGUUCUGCAACUCCAUUUUGUUGUGGUGUUCGACGAACAGUGCGGUGUCUCACUAUUCCUUCAUUUUUGCAGAACUCAUUGAAUUCACCUGAGCAAAACUCCAAGCCAUUAUCCGUCCGGAAUCGCUUGAUCUUCUUUCCUGUUUGAUUUUCGAUCAAAGCUUUAAAUUGCUUGAAGUUGAUGAGAACCUCAUACUUGCUCUUCAGAAAAUACACCCAAACCUUUCUCGAGUAAUCAUCGAUAAAGGUAAGCAGAUAUCUGUAACCACCUUUAGAAAUUGUCGGAGAAGGCCCCCAAAGGUCAGAAUGGAAGUAAUCCACUGUGCCUUUUGUCUUGUGAAUCCCAGUGCUGAACUUUACCCGAGUCUGCUUACCGAAGACGCAGUGCUCACAGAAAUUCAACUUUCCUGUACACUGCCCAGACAAUAAUCCCCGUUUGCUUAGCACCGAUAAGCCUCUCUCGCUCAUAUGCCCGAGCCGCAUAUGCCAUAACUUCGUGGUGUCAGAAUCUAGAUCAUCUGAUGAUGACACUCCCGCAACACCUGUAACCGAGGAACCAUCGAGGAAGUAAAGGCCCCGCUCCAAAUUACCACGUAUCACAGUCAAAGCACCCGAGAAUACCUUGAGAACUCCACCUUCAGCAGAGUACCGAAAGCCUUUCUUGUCCAACGUACUCAAAGAGAUCAAAUUUUUCUUCAUUUCUGGAAUGUGCCGAACAUCAGUUAGAGUUCUAACAAUACCGUCAAACAUCUUUAUACGAACUGUGCCAAUCCCCAUGACUUGACAUGCGUGGUCAUUUCCCAUUAGUACUGAACCAGAAUGCUUCUCGUAUGUUGAGAAUGCAUCUUUCGAAGUACUUAUAUGAAAUGUAGCUCCCGUAUCAAGAAUCCAUCUCCCACCAGCGUAAGAGUCGGAUACUGCAAGAACGAUCUCGGCAUCACUUGAAGAAUCUGCAUCAGCUACAUUCGCACGAUCAUUUUGUUGCUCCUGUGAUUCUGAUUUCUCCUUCCUUUUCGGACAAUCUACCUUCAUGUGCCCGUACUUCUUACAGUAGUAGCACUGUAUUCUCUUCUUGGACUGCGAUCUAGGAUGGCUUUUACUUGAACUUCCACCCUUUGCCUUGGAUCUUCCUCGAGCAACCAAGCCUUCGCCUUCAUUGUUUUCGACCACCUUACCAGUGAUUUUCUUCCUCAACUCACUGGAACUUAAGGCAUUUUUCACCUCCUCUAGAGUCAGGUCAUCACGACCGUACAUCAUUGUAUCAACAAAAUUCUCAUACGAGGGAGGCAAAGAACACAAAACAAUUAUUGCUUGGUCCUCAUCAUCGAUUUUGUUAUCGAUAUUAUUCAAAUCCAUGAUAAUGGAAUUGAAUUUAUCCAGGUGCUGGGAAACAGGUGUACCUUCCUCCAUCUUCAGGGCAUAGAGUCUUUGCUUGAGGUAGAGCCGGUUCGUCAAUGACUUCGUCAUGUACUUGCUCUCUAACCGGAGCCACAAACCGGACGCGGUUUUCUCAUCCGCUACUUCUCGUAGCACUUCAUCUCCUAGACAUAGCAGAAUAGCACUAUGUGCUCUUUCUAGCAUGUCAUCCUUUUGCUCUUCCGAAAGCGUGCUUGGUAAUUUAUCUUUACCAGACAAUGCUUUUAGCAAUCCUUGUUGAACCAGCACUGCCCGCAUCUUGAUGCGCCAUAAACUGAAACUAUUUUUCCCGGUAAAUUUCUCGACAUCAUACUUAGUCGAUGAAACACUUGUAGCCAUAAUUUGGAACCUUUGAAUGAAUGAUAAUAUUUUCUUCCUGAUGUGAAAGAUCAGACAAAGCUGCAGUCACAGGGCAAUUCAGAAAAUAUUAUCACUCCUUCAACUACGCUCUGAUACCAAUUUGUUGCGGAAAGGAUCGAUUCGAGAACUCCGAUAUGACUACAAGUAAAUUGACCGAAACGAAAAAUAAAGUGAACACAAGGAUUUACGUGGUUCGGCUUUAAUGCCUACGUCCACGGGCAGAGGCGAAAAGAAAUUUCACUAUAACAAGAUGAAGAUUACAAGUGUUUUACACUCAAGACACAACCCGAGAACCUCACAACUCUCAACCCCUAUAGAAAACCCGAAAGCUAAAAUCCUAGCUUUCAAAGAACAAGCUUUGCUCUCUCUUGGUUUGGGAUGAUGAAUAUGGCUAAUGAACCUCUCUAUUUAUAAGAGAGUUCAAGGACAUAAUUGUCCAAAACUUUGGCAAAGAUUUGUGGUUGAAAAUGGACACCAACAACCAUCCACUAAUCCACUACCACCAACAACCCACUACCAACAACAACAAUCCACUACCAAUUUUAAGCCAUUUCUUAACACAUACACUUAUUCUAUCCGAGUGGAGCGGAAUCAUACGACUUUUUCACAAUCCAAGAGAAUUGAGUCUGUAAAUGACACCUUAGUAAUGAACUACAGUAAAGUUAAAUUCCAUAAUGACAUUGGUGGCAUUUAUAAGGAUAGGGUUAAAUAGUGCAGUCCCUUUUGCCAUCAUGAAUCGUCCUCUUCCUCCGACCACCGCAAGCCCUGGUUCUCCCCUUGAAAAUACGCUUAGAGAGCUGCCGUUAAACUUACCGGUAUUAAAUCCAAAUUCUAUGUACUGCGUGCUCGAUGCAUUUGAUCCGGCUAAGAGGGAAAUACCCUGAACAUUUCCAAUCACCUCUGAGUCAGGCUCAGGACCAGUCCUGAGGGGAUCAUUAACAGCAACUAGGGUGGCAAAUGUCACUGAUGAAUUAUUGCUUGUGAUGUUAGCUUGGGUUAGCACGACUGCUGUAACACCCGUAUGUUCGUGCAUAAAGAAGUGAAGAUUGGUGACCUUAGGUGGCUUGGGAUGAUAUGGUCGGGUAUCUGAGUAGUAUUGGCUCCGAACUGCUACUUGGGAGAGGCAGAUGAUCAGAAUCCAACUCAACAUCAAUGCUCCUUUCAUUGUCUCUGUUUUACUAUAAGUUCUGGGGCGAAAUGUAGAUGAAAACUAUAGAAUUGUUGCUUCAAUUUUAUUAGGAAGACAGAAAGAUUUAUAGUGAUAAAACCCGCAGACAUGAACAUAAUUUGUUGUCCCAAACAUUUUAUAUAAUACAUGAUUGAUUUCGCCGUGGCAAUAUUAUAAAGAACACAAAUCCUGAUCACGCAACAGAAACUUGGCCUAAUUAUUUUAGAUUGGAAGUUUCCUCCUCCUGCGUUUCUGUUUUCGUGUGAAUAUUGUCCAUUGACUUUAAUUUAUUUGAUAUUAUAUAUUCCAUGUGAUUGAUGUGUUGAUUUUAUAAAUUAUUUUAUCUUCUGCAAACAAAUGUUUGUUUGAUGUGAAAUCUCUUUUUUUUUUCUUUCUAAAUCUCCUUCAGAAAUUAACAGCGAAUCUAGAAAUCAGAAACAUGGUCUAAUUAGCUGCUUGCUCUAAUCAAUUUUCUUUGUUUUUUACGCAAAGCAGGUUGUGGAAUUCACUACCACCGUUCUGCCAAUUUUUCUCUUUUUUCUUGAGUAACUAAAACUUUAUUCUGGCUUGGGGACACUAAUCAAUCCGAGAGAGAACUGUGAUGCUUUCAAUUUUGCCUAAAUCUUCCACACUCUUGCAACACUUUAUUGGAAUUUGUUAAAUUUGGAACUGAAUUGUGUGCUAAUACAUGUCUCAUGGAAUUUGACAUUUUCUAUACUCGCUUAGACAAAUUGCUCAUUUGAAAAAACGAAAAAGAAAAAAAGAAGAAGUGAGAACAGAACUGACAGCUUAAAUUAUGAGUAAGAACUUGUGUAUUGUGACGGUUGUUUGAAUUGUAAUCGCACUUCGCGUCAAAAGCUCUAGUACUGUUUCAAGUCAAUAAAUUACUCUAAUCACGGUGCCAUAAGAGAGAUAUAUUGAAUUGUGUAAUCAUCUUGAGUUGUCAUUUCAUUUUAUGUUAAGAGAUUCGACAACAUCUUAAACAAAAAGAAAUAAAUAAAUGUCUGUGCGAGUCUAAUUGAAUAAGUCCAUGGAAUGAAAACAUUUUCCGGGAUAUUGUUACAUGACUCGAAUGAUUGAACAAAAGGUGUGCUUGAGAACAAGCUUUCUUCAAGUCAGCCGGAGGAGGUCUGUCAUCCGGUGUGAGUGAGCAAUAUUGUUCAACAAAGAGAUCUUAGAGGGUAAGGGUGGAGACACCAUGUCUAAAAGUUAUAAAUUUUUUAACCAUAUAAGUAAACGUGUAAGAAAAACACAUAAUACAUCAAAUAAAUAAUCUUAAUCGCGAUACAUAAAAUAAAAAAAAAAGAUUUAAGAUCAUACACACACAUUGUUUUAAAUAAUAUAAAUGUCGAUUCCCAGACAAUAUCUUCAAAACAGGAAAAAUAUAUUACACUAAAAUAAUAUAGUUGAAUGUUUGAGUGUAUGAAUUAAGAAAAAUUUUAUUAAUGUUUUAUUCCAUAUGAAAGAAAGAAAUUGUAGUAAGCUGAAAAAUUUAACACAUUUGGCCUAUAGUUGGAGACUAGAAAUUCAAAUUUAACUUCUCCUUAUUGUGAUUUAACUUUUGUUAAACUUAACUUAAGCUUCAAUUUAAUCCCAGAAAUUCAACAGAGUCUAGAUUGGAAGUUUCCUCCCCCUGCGUUUUGAUUUUCGUGUGGAUAUUGCCCAUUGACUUUAAUUUAUUUGAUAUUACAUAUAAUAUAUGAUUGAUGUAUUGAUAUUAUAAAUUAUUCUAUUUCUGCUAAGAAAAGUUUGUUUGGUAUGAUCAAGUCUCUUUCCAAUAUAAUCAACUCCGACAUAAGAAAUUCAUUAGAAAUCAGAAACAUGAUCUAAUUAACACCCAAUUGAGAAAUUUAUAUCAAUUUUCUUUGGUUUUUGCGCCAACCAGGUGGUGGCCCAUUUUUUAAAUUAUUAUUUAAUUAAUUAUAAUUAAUUAACUUAAGUAUAAUGCGAGAAAUAAAUUUAAAUAAUUAUCAUGGAUUUAUUAAAUAAGACAAUUAAAUAUAUUUUUCUUACAAAUUUAUUAAAUAACUUUAAUGGGAUUAUAAUUGGGUUGAAAUAUAAUUUAAUUAAGAAAAUAAUUUAAUUAAUUUAUAUAUUUAAGAAAUAUAAAAUAAAUAUUAGGUUAUAUAAAUUAUUAGUGUUGGAUAAAAAACCCAAAUUAGGUCUAGUUAAUGGAAGGGAUGGCAAGCCUUAGUAUUUUCUAGGCCAUGCCACCGCCCCCACCUAUUCUACUUCAAGUAGAAUUUUUAUUUUCUAUUAAAAUAUUAUCAUUCGAUUACCCUUUAUUCGAAUAGAUCUCUUGUACUGUUUCUUUAUAAUUAGGGACUACGAGCUAAACUAUUCAUACAAUUUUGAGAGUAUUGUUAUUUUGUCGAAAAAUAGUGAUAAUUUUUUUAGAAUAAAUUCUAUUUUUUGGGAAAAUCUGAUAGUUUCCAGUUUAUAGAGAGAAUUAACAUUCUCAUUGAAAGUUAAGAAAUGUUUUCAUUCUGUGCAUUUGGUUCUAUUUUGAGAGCUCAUACUCAAAGCAAUUCAGGGUUUGAGGAUAGCGAAGAAGGUCAUUCACUAGAAAGUCGGGAUUGACUUAGACUACCUCGUACAAAACAUAGGUAUAAAUUUGGUUAAAGGUUUAUUGUUAUAAAUAUCACCAGGCUUGAUUUUAAGUAAAAUUUUAAACUUCCGUUUUGCCUAAAAACUUUGUUUUCUAAACCCAUUUUUACAACAAUUGUGUGGUGUAUAGUUGGAAGAAUCGAAACAAUCCGUAAUUGUCAUAUUCAGUGUGUUGAAGAACAAACUAAUGUGACCAAUUGAGUAAAUGAUUGGAUUUGUCAAGGGAAUUAAUGAUAGAUUUUAAACGACUCACACAAUUGAGACCUUUGAUUCAAGUCAAUUCUAUCUUGUUCGCAUGGUUAAUGAGGAACUAAAUAGUGGAAGUUGAUUUUAGGUUAUUCGCUUGGUAAGGGUUACUUGUCAAAUCGUUCUCGCAUUUAAUUUACAUACAAAAAGGCAAGUCGCGGUUAGAAGUUGCUCCUCAAUCAUUAUAAUUGACUUAUCGGUUGGAGGAGAAAAUCUAUUGUCGUGCAUCAACUAAAACCAAGGCCAAAACUAUUCCUGAAGUUAGAGCGUUGUUUCAUCAGUUUACUCAAUUUUAAUCCCUCUCUUCUAUUUUUCAUAUAGUUCGACACAUGUCGUGGGCAUGAAAGUUGCCUACCACACGUUCUGGUUAAAAUGAACAUCAAUUUAUUCUGUUAUAUUAGCAUUAUGGAAAUCUCUGGGAUACCUGGUCUAUUCCGCUGUUAUACUCGUUAUUAUAUUCUCCGUUGAAUACAGCAGUCGGAAAGUUAAUUUCUCUCUAUGAAAAAUCGAAAAGCUUUGAGAUUUAUAGAAAAUAGGAUUUAUUCUUGUAAAUAUCUCUUUUUUAAAGAAAAUGAUGACAAAAAGAAUUAAUUUUUUAAUGAUGUUGGUAUGGCAAUCCACACGUAAUUUAUUGUUAAGAAAUGGCUUAAAAUUGGUAGUGGAUUGUUGUUGUUGGUAGUGGGUUGUUGGUGGUAGUGGAUUAGUGGAUGGUUGUUGGUGUCCAUUUUCAACCACAAAUCUUUGCCAAAGUUUUGGACAAUUAUGUCCUUGAACUCUCUUAUAAAUAGAGAGGUUCAUUAGCCAUAUUGAUCAUCCCAAACCAAGAGAGAGCAAAGCUUGUUCUUUGAAAGCUAGGAUUUUAGCUUUCGGGUUUUCUAUAGGGGUUGAGAGUUGUGAGGUUCUCGGGUUGUGUCUUGAGUGUAAAACACUUGUAAUCUUCAUCUUGUUAUAGUGAAAUUUCUUUUCGCCUCUGCCCGUGGACGUAGGCAUUAAAGCCGAACCACGUAAAUCCUUGUGUUCACUUUAUUUUUCGUUUCGGUCAAUUUACUUGUAGUCAUAUCGGAGUUCACGAAUCGAUCCUUUCCGCAACAAAUUGGUAUCAGAGCGUAGUUGAAGGAGUGAUAAUAUUUUCUGAAUUGCCCUGUGACUGCAGCUUUGUCUGAUCUUUCACAUCAGGAAGAAAAUAUUAUCAUUCAUUCAAAGGUUCCAAAUUAUGGCUACAAGUGUUUCAUCGACUAAGUAUGAUGUCGAGAAAUUUACCGGGAAAAAUAGUUUCAGUUUAUGGCGCAUCAAGAUGCGGGCAGUGCUGGUUCAACAAGGAUUGCUAAAAGCAUUGUCUGGUAAAGAUAAAUUACCAAGCACGCUUUCGGAAGAGCAAAAGGAUGACAUGCUAGAAAGAGCACAUAGUGCUAUUCUGCUAUGUCUAGGAGAUGAAGUGCUACGAGAAGUAGCGGAUGAGAAAACCGCGUCCGGUUUGUGGCUCCGGUUAGAGAGCAAGUACAUGACGAAGUCAUUGACGAACCGGCUCUACCUCAAGCAAAGACUCUAUGCCCUGAAGAUGGAGGAAGGUACACCUGUUUCCCAGCACCUGGAUAAAUUCAAUUCCAUUAUCAUGGAUUUGAAUAAUAUCGAUAACAAAAUCGAUGAUGAGGACCAAGCAAUAAUUGUUUUGUGUUCUUUGCCUCCCUCGUAUGAGAAUUUUGUUGAUACAAUGAUGUACGGUCGUGAUGACCUGACUCUAGAGGAGGUGAAAAAUGCCUUAAGUUCCAGUGAGUUGAGGAAGAAAAUCACUGGUAAGGUGGUCGAAAACAAUGAAGGCGAAGGCUUGGUUGCUCGAGGAAGAUCCAAGGCAAAGGGUGGAAGUUCAAGUAAAAGCCAUCCUAGAUCGCAGUCCAAGAAGAGAAUACAGUGCUACUACUGUAAGAAGUACGGGCACAUGAAGGUAGAUUGUCCGAAAAGGAAGGAGAAAUCAGAAUCACAGGAGCAACAAAAUGAUCGUGCGAAUGUAGCUGAUGCAGAUUCUUCAAGUGAUGCCGAGAUCGUUCUUGCAGUAUCCGACUCUUACGCUGGUGGGAGAUGGAUUCUUGAUACGGGAGCUACAUUUCAUAUAAGUACUUCGAAAGAUGCAUUCUCAACAUACGAGAAGCAUUCUGGUUCAGUACUAAUGGGAAAUGACCACGCAUGUCAAGUCAUGGGGAUUGGCACAGUUCGUAUAAAGAUGUUUGACGGUAUUGUUAGAACUCUAACUGAUGUUCGGCACAUUCCAGAAAUGAAGAAAAAUUUGAUCUCUUUGAGUACGUUGGACAAGAAAGGCUUUCGGUACUCUGCUGAAGGUGGAGUUCUCAAGGUAUUCUCGGGUGCUUUGACUGUGAUACGUGGUAAUUUGGAGCGGGGCCUUUACUUCCUCGAUGGUUCCUCGGUUACAGGUGUUGCGGGAGUGUCAUCAUCAGAUGAUCUAGAUUCUGACACCACGAAGUUAUGGCAUAUGCGGCUCGGGCAUAUGAGCGAGAGAGGCUUAUCGGUGCUAAGCAAACGAGGAUUAUUGUCUGGGCAGUGUACAGGAAAGUUGAAUUUCUGUGAGCACUGCGUCUUCGGUAAGCAGACUCGGGUAAAGUUCAGCACUGGGAUUCACAAGACAAAAGGCACAGUGGAUUACUUCCAUUCUGACCUUUGGGGGCCUUCUCCGACAAUUUCUAAAGGUGGUUACAGAUAUCUGCUUACCUUUAUCGAUGAUUACUCGAGAAAGGUUUGGGUGUAUUUUCUGAAGAGCAAGUAUGAGGUUCUCAUCAACUUCAAGCAAUUUAAAGCUUUGAUCGAAAAUCAAACAGGAAAGAAGAUCAAGCGAUUCCGGACGGAUAAUGGCUUGGAGUUUUGCUCAGGUGAAUUCAAUGAGUUCUGCAAAAAUGAAGGAAUAGUGAGACACCGCACUGUUCGUCGAACACCACAACAAAAUGGAGUUGCAGAACGCAUGAAUAGAACUCUCUUGGAGCGAGCUCGUUGCAUGCGAUCAAAUGCUGGGCUCGGUGAAGAAUUUUGGGCUGAAGCUGUUAAUACUGCUUGUUAUUUGGUUAACAGAUCUCCGUCAACAGCUAUUGAGCUGAAGACUCCUGAGGAAGUAUGGUCUGGUUCUCCUGCUGAUUACUCUGGUUUAAGAGUGUUUGGCUGCCCUGCGUAUGCUCAUGUAAAUGAGGGAAAACUCAAACCGAGGGCGAAGAAAUGCAUAUUUCUUGGAUACGGCCAAGGGGUGAAAGGAUACAGGUUGUGGUGUCCUGAUCCGGUUUCGUCCAAGUUCAUCAUCAGCAGAGAUGUGACUUUUGAUGAGUCAUCCAUGCUUCGAUCCACCACAAAUUCCCGGGAAAAGGAGGAGUCAGAUAGAAUGGGAGAUCACGGUGUUGAGAAGCAGGUGGAGUGUCAGGUGGACGCUCCAAUUCCUACGGAAGGUACUUCAGUCCAGGAUGAUCAAGUUGAGGUGCAAGAUUCCGAUGAAGAUGAGUCACCUCAAGAAAAACCAUAUAGCAUUGCCACUGGAAGAACGAAGAGACAAAUCAAACCAAAUCCGCGUUACGCUAAUCUGGUGUCUUUCGCGCUCAGUGUGGCGGAGUCCAUUGGUAUAGAACCUUCCAGUUAUAAUGAGGCUGUCACGUGUGAUGAGUCGGCACAGUGGGCAAUUGCUAUGAGUGAGGAGAUAGAAUCUCUUCACAAGAACCAUACUUGGGAGUUGGUUAAGCCGCCAAGUAACCAGAAGAUAGUUGGUUGCAAAUGGGUCUUCAAGAAAAAGGAAGGCAUCCUAGGGGUUGAAACAACUAGAUUCAAGGCACGAUUGGUUGCUAAAGGCUUCACUCAGAAAGAGGGGAUUGACUACAAUGAAGUUUUCUCCCCAGUCGUAAAGCAUUCUUCCAUUCGUGUAUUACUUGCCAUGGUGGCCAAGUCUGAUCUAGAACUUGAGCAGCUUGACGUAAAAACGGCGUUCUUGCAUGGUGAGCUCGAGGAAACAAUCUACAUGCGUCAACCAGAGGGUUUUACAGUUCCUGGUAAAGAAGACCAUGUCUGUCUAUUAAAGAAGUCUUUAUAUGGAUUGAAACAAUCCCCAAGGCAGUGGUACAAGCGGUUUGAUAGCUUCAUGAUUCAGCAUGGUUACACAAGAUGUGACUAUGAUGCUUGUGUCUAUCAUCGGAAGCUCUCAGAUGGUUCGCACAUUUAUUUGUUGCUGUAUGUUGAUGACAUGUUAAUUGCUUCCAAAAACAUGUCGGAAAUCAACAAGUUAAAGUCGCAGUUGAGUGGUGAGUUCGAGAUGAAGGAUCUGGGUGCUGCCAAGAAAAUUUUGGGCAUGGAUAUUCACAGAGAUCGCAAGGCGGGCAAGCUUCGUGUGUCGCAGAAGAACUACAUUGAAAAGGUUCUUCAACGCUUCGGCAUGGAUAAAGCGAAAACUGUGAGUACUCCGUUGGCACCACAUUUCAAACUCUCUGCAGAGUUGUCACCACAAUCUGAUGAAGAAAAGCAGCAAAUGUCUCACAUUCCAUACUCGAGUGCAGUUGGAAGCGUGAUGUAUGCAAUGGUUUGCACUCGUCCAGACAUUUCACAUGCAGUUAGUGUGGUCAGCAGAUACAUGAGUUGUCCUGGCAAGGAACACUGGCAGGCCGUGAAAUGGAUUCUCAGGUAUUUGAGAGGUUCUGCAGAUUUAUGCUUGGUAUAUGAUCAGAGUGACUGCACUAGCAGUGUCACGGGCUAUGUGGACUCUGAUUAUGCUGGAGAUCUGGACAAAAGAAGAUCUCUGACGGGUUAUGUUUUCACUUAUUCUGGAGGAGCCAUUAGUUGGAAAGCUGUGUUACAGUCUACCGUAGCCUUAUCUACGACUGAGGCGGAAUAUAUGGCGUUAGCAGAAGCAGUGAAAGAAGCAUUGUGGAUGAAAGGUCUAGUAAGCAGUUUGGGUUUACAACAGGAUUUCACUGUUGUAUUUUGCGAUAGCCAGAGUGCCAUACAUCUGACUAAAAAUCAGAUGUUUCAUGAAAGGACCAAACACAUUGAUGUCAGAUAUCAUUUUGUUCGGGAACAUGUUACGCAAGGUGACAUUGUUAUCAGCAAGGUUGCUACCGAGAAGAAUCCUGCAGAUAUGUUAACUAAGGUGAUCCCUGCAUAUAAGUUCAAGCAUUGCUUGGACUUGAUAGGUAUUCGGGAUUGAUUAGCGCCAGAGAGGCGUUUGGAAGAGGUGAUCCAGUUCGAGGAAUUCACUAUGAUGUUCAGCUUGGUAAAUUUCAAGCCAAGGUGGAGAUUUGUUAAGAAAUGGCUUAAAAUUGGUAGUGGAUUGUUGUUGUUGGUAGUGGGUUGUUGGUGGUAGUGGAUUAGUGGAUGGUUGUUGGUGUCCAUUUUCAACCACAAAUCUUUGCCAAAGUUUUGGACAAUUAUGUCCUUGAACUCUCUUAUAAAUAGAGAGGUUCAUUAGCCAUAUUGAUCAUCCCAAACCAAGAGAGAGCAAAGCUUGUUCUUUGAAAGCUAGGAUUUUAGCUUUCGGGUUUUCUAUAGGGGUUGAGAGUUGUGAGGUUCUCGGGUUGUGUCUUGAGUGUAAAACACUUGUAAUCUUCAUCUUGUUAUAGUGAAAUUUCUUUUCGCCUCUGCCCGUGGACGUAGGCAUUAAAGCCGAACCACGUAAAUCCUUGUGUUCACUUUAUUUUUCGUUUCGGUCAAUUUACUUGUAGUCAUAUCGGAGUUCACGAAUCGAUCCUUUCGGCAACAUUUAUAUUGUCAUGAUAUUUUUUGUUUUAUAUGCCAUGUCAACAAAUAAUUUAAAAAUUAUAAAUUAUAAAAAAAUUAAUACAAAAUAUAUGUGGAUUGCCCUGCGCGCUGUGAUGUUUAAAAAUAGUUAGUAUUUCCAUAAACAAAAAAAAAAUCGACUCUUCUUGAAAGGUUUGUGGUCAAAUUUGAUUCCUUUUAAAAGGUUGCGGCUCAAAUUUAGCUCAAAAAUGAAAUAAGAGUUAAAUUGAGUAAAACACGUCAACAUUGAGAACUAAAUUUGACAUUACGCCUUGAUUUAUCAAUCUAUUAAAGGCCUAAGUAUUGUGGAAUAUGAACUUAUCGAAUCAGACAAAAUUUGGUAUCAAUAAAAACAAUAAAGCUUUUCUCUCUAACUUUGUUCAAACUUUGGCGGAGACAUUCUCUAGUAAAGAUCUUGGUGAUCUGAAUCAUUUCUUGGAAGUUAAAGUCAUUCCAACAUAUCAAGAUUUAUUCAUCUCAACACAAGUAUAUAGAUGUUAUGAUAUAUUGAGCAAAAUCAACAAAUAAUUGUCAAGUGCCAAGGAAUCAAAUACACCAAUGUCUACUUUAGUUUGUUUAAGUUUUCAUGUUGGUCAAGUUUUGCAUAAAGCAGCCUCUAUCAGAGAUGAAGAUAAAUACUGAAUAGAUAUAUUUAUAUGCCUUUUUGUAGCUAAGAAUUUAAUCUUUAUUUGUAAUAUAACAGUAAAGUACAAUGAUCAAGUAUGAGAAUUUUAAGUUUUAAUCAAAUCAACAUAUAUAUAUCAUACACUUAUUCUAAUCAAGUGGAGCAUAAUCAUACGACUUUUUCACAUUAAUCCAAGAGAAAUGAGUCUGUAAAUAACACCUUAGUAAUGAAUUACAGUAACGUUAAAUUCAGCAAUUGUAUUGGUGGCAUUUACAAGGAUAGGAUUAAAUUGUGCAACCCCUGUUGCCAUCAUGAAUUGUCCUCUUCCUCCGACCACCGCAAGAUCAGGUUCUCCCCUUGAAAAUACGCUUAGAGAGCUACCGUUAAACUUACCAGUAUUAAAUCCAAAAUCUAGGUAUUCCGUGCUCGAUGCAUUCAUUCCAGCCACUGACGCAAUACCCUGAAUAUUUCCAAUCAACUCUGAGUCAGGCUCAGGACCAGUCCUGAGGGGAUCAUUAAUGGCAAAUAAGGAGGCAAAUGGCAGUGAUGAACUAUUGUCAUUGCUUGUGCUGUUAGCUUGGGCUACCACUACUAUUGUAACACCCGUAGUUCUGUGCAUAAAGAAGUUAAGAUUGGUGACCUUAACUGGCCUGGGAUGAUAUGGUAGGGUCUCCGAGUAGUAUUGGCUCUGCACUGCUACUUGGGAGAGGCAGAUGAUCAGAAUCCAACUCAACAUCCAUGUUCCUCUCAUUGUCUCUGCUUUACUAUAAUUUCUGGGGAAAGCUAUAGAAUUGUUGCUUCAUUUUUAUUAAGAAAACAGAAAGAUUUAUACUGAUAAAACCUGCAGAUAUGAAAAUAAUUUAUUGUCCAUAACAUUUUAUAUAAUACCUGCAUGAUUUCUCACUAGUAAUAUUAAAGACAAAACAAAUUUUGACCAGGCAACACAAACUUGGUCUAAUUGGCUGAUUGAUUUUUUAAAAAAGGAUAACUUCACGUAAACACCAUUCUGCCUAUAAAAUUAAAUGAUCCACUUGCUUUAAAUUAAUUUGUGGAUUGGAAGUCUCCUACCCUGCCUUUUUUAUUUUCGUUUGAAUGGUUUGUAUUGUCCAUACAUCUGAUUGAUGUGCUGAUGUUAUAAAUUAUUUUAUUUUAUAAUUUUGUGGAUUGGGUCCACUUAAAUAAAGGUUGAAGAUAACCAAAAAUAAUAUUAAUGUUCUUAGGUAUCAUUAAGUAAAAUAAUAUUGUGUUACUAGGAGGGCAACAACACUCCCUCUCGAGCCUUGGGUGUUGCCCAUCACACAUUGGAUGAGCUUAUUGGGCCUAUCUCAUAUAUUGUACAUAUAUCUGAAUAUUUAAUCAACCCAUAUAUUUUAGUUAACUUCCUAAAUAAUUUUUUAUUUACUUAAUUAAAAAAAUUUAAUUAAUCUAUUUAAUUAAAUUAUUUUCUCAACCCAAUUAAAUAUUUGAGGUAAAAUUUAUUAUUAUACCAAUAAAAAAUUAUCACCGUCAAUGAUUUAACGGAGUGAUGACCAAAAUAUUAAAUUUCAAUAAGGUGACUAAAAUAGAAAAUUUUAAACUUGAGUGACCAUAAUUGAAACACACUAAGAAUUAGGUGACUAUUUUUUAACUUUACCAUUGUUGUACUAUGAUAAGAACAAUCGGAUUUGGCAGGGCAUAUAGAGUUAAAAAUUGUCACAUAGCCUACAUAAUUUUUCUAUACAUUAAUGCUUAAAAUACUCAUAAACCCCCACGCUCGUAAAUUGGAGAUAAAAGCACUUAAAGUGUUUGAACCCACAUCCUACUUAUUGUUGCAACAACAAUAGUAACACUUGAGUUAAAGAUCAAUUAGCCAUGUUUCUUUUUCUUUUAAAGUUGCAUAACAAGUGGUUAAAAUCUAAACAAUGAAUCAAACCCCAAAUUUGUGGUCUAUUGAUUGACUGCCUAUUUUCUAUAAAAAUAGCCUAAAUUCGAGUCAUCUAUGCACCUAUAACAAAUGAUUAAAAUCUAAAUAAUGAACCAAACCGUAAGUUGUGAUCCAUUGAUCGAGUGUUUAUUUUCUAUAAAAAUAGCCUAGAUUCAAGUCAUCGAUGUGCCUAAAGAAAACGUCUAAACAGAGAUCCAAAGUUUUGUAUUUUUCAAAAAUAUUAGUUAAGCGCAUAUCCCUAUUAUACUCAAGGUUAAAACAUUUAAGGAGUCUAAUAAUUAAAAUUUUAAUAAGUUUUUUUUAUAAAAUAUUUAAAAAAAUUGUAUUAAUUUAUUUAUGAGGAUAGUUUAGUUCAUCAAUUUAAAUUAAUCAAUAUUUUAAAAUUAAUAUUAGAAUGAUAUUUUGGUCUAUCAAUUUUAAGAGUUAAUUUAAAGCUUACUCAAUAAACAGAUGAAAAGGUGAGUUAAAGAUGAAAUGGAUCAUACUAAGUGUUGGGUAUAGCGGUAAGAUACAUUAUAUUUUUAAGGGAAAAUACAAAAUUAAAUUUUGGAGAUGACAUUGUUAAGACGGACAACAACGAACCUUGAAUAUAUAUUCAAGUAAGUAUAUCUUACAUGCAUAAAUAUGUUUAUAUCAAAAUAUAAGUUUUAAAUUUACUAAUUAGGUUUAAUAAAUUAAUUUAAUAAUUGUAUUUUAAGUUUAAAUGUAAAAUUUAAAUUGUUUAAUAUAAAAUAAAAUAAAAUUUAGGUUUAAAGUAUUAAAAUUUUAUAUUGAUGUUCACUAAAUUAAUUAAUAAAUUUAAUAAAUUGGUUAAAAUAAUUGUAUCUAUCAAUUAAUAGUAUAAUUAUAACGAGUGAUUUGUCAUAAUUAGUGGUCUCAAGUAAAGAGUAUUCUCGGCGAGCUUGCUUUGUAGCUAAGAAUUUAAUCUUUAUUUGUAAUAUAACAAUAAAGUACAAUGAUGAAGUAUGACAAUUUUAAUUUAUUCUCGUACAUUUAUUCUAAUCAAGUGGAGCAGAACCAAGACAUUUUCACAAUCGAUCAGAAUUGAGUUUGUAAAUAGCACCUUAGUAAUGAACUACAGUAACGUUAAAUUCAAUAAUGACAUUGGUGGCAUUUAUAAGGAUAGGGUUAAAUAGUGCAACCCCUCUUGCCAUCAUGAAUCGUCCUCUUCCUCCGACCACCGCUAGCCCAGGUUCUCCUCUUGAAAAUACGCUUAGAGAGCUGCCGUUAAACUUACCGGUAUUGAAUCCAAAAUCUAUGUAUUGUGUGCUCGAUGCAUUCAUUCCAGCCAGGAGCGCAAUACCCUGAACAUUUCCAAUCACCUUCGAGUCAGGCUCAGGACCAGUCCUGAGGGGAUCAUUAACGGCAACCAGGGAGGCAAAUGGCACUGAUGAACUAUUGCUUGUGAUGUUAGCUUGGGCUACCACGACUGCUGUAACACCCGUAUGUUCAUGCAUAAAGAAAUGAAGAUUGGUUUCCUUAGCUGGCUUGCGAUCAUAGUGUCGGGUCUUCGAGUAGUAUUGGCUCUGCACGGCUACUUGGGAGAGGCAGAUGAUCAGAAUCCAAGUCAACACCAAUGUUCCUCUCAUUGUCUCUGCUUUACUAUAAUUUCUGGGGCGAAAUGUAGAUGCAAGCUAGUAGAAUUGUUGCUUGAUUCUUUAUUAAGAACACAGAAACAUUUAUACUGAAAAUACCCGGAGACAUGAAAAUCAUUUAUUGUCCAAAACAUUUGAUGCAAUACGUGCUUGAUUUCUCACUAGUAAUAUUAAAAACAAAACAAAUUUUGACCAGGCAACACAAACUUGCCCUAAUUGGCUGCUUGAUUUUUAAAUAGGAAUAUUUUUGUUUUUGGAUACAUAUAAAUACGAAUUGUCUUCACUUAACAAUUGGAAUGGCUUAAAGAGCAUUCUGCCUAUAAAAUUAAAUGAUCCACGUGCUUUAAAUUAGUUCUAGAUUGGAAUUUGGAAGUUUCCUCCCCCGCGUUUUUAUUUUCGUCGUCGGUUUUCGUCUUUUUCACAUGUUAUUGAUGUGUUGAUUUUAUAAAUUAUUUUAUCUUCCGCAAUUCCCUUUAGACCAAAUAACUUCAUUCUAAUACUGUCCUUGGUCAUAUUUUAAUCCAUGUUUAAUAAAGUAAAAAAAAAAUUAAUCCAACAAAUGUUUAUGCAUAAUUAAAUAAAACACAUGUUAAAGGAUGGUAUCUGAAUAUUUAAUCAAAACUCAUAUAUUUUAAUCAACCUAAAAAAUUUUUUUCUAUUUUUUAAAAUAUUAAUUAAUUAUUUAUUUAUUUAUUUAUUUUCUCAAUUGAAUUAAAUAUUUGAGGUCCAAAUUUGUUAUUAAAAUUUGGUAACGUGACUAAAAUAGACACCACCAUUAGUGAUUUAACGGAGGCGUGACUAAAAUAUUAAAUGUCGAUAACAUGACUAAGAUAGACGUUUUUAAACAUGGGUGGCCAAAAUUGAAAAAUGGUAAUAAUUAGACGAUCAUUUUUAGAGUUUACCCUUGUUGUAGUAUGAUAAGGACUUUUGAAUUUGGCGGGGCAUAUAGAGUUAAAAAUGGUCACAUUGUAUACGAAAUCUUUUUUAUAUAAUUUAUUCAUAAACCUCCCACACUCAUAAAAUAGAGGAUAAAAACACUUGUACGCAUGCUCAAACCCAAAUCCCGUUUAUACUUCAUGGUUAAAGUAUUUAAGGAAUAUAAUAAUUAAAAUUAAAAUUUUAAUAAAAUUUGUGUAUUUAAUAUUAAAAAUAAUUUCAAAUAUAUAUUUUGCGUGGAAAGUUUAGUUAAUCAGUAUUUAUAAAGUUAGUAUGAAAAAUAUAUUAUCAGUAGGUUGGGUAACUAAAUCCAGAAAAUCAUUUUAAUUUUAAUUAUAUUACAUAUAACCUUAAUUAUAUUACAGGAAUUAAAUUGUGAAAGUUCAAUCGCUAUUUAAUUUUAAUUUAAAAAACGUUUGAGGAUCCAGUUAGCAAUUAUGCAAAUGGCCUAAAAUAGUUAUGAAACCAUUGUUAUUAUAGGGAAGUUUAUGAUAAUAUCCACUUAAUUUCAUUAAUAAAGGUUAAUUAAUAAAGUAAGCAUGUUUAAUAGUUAAAAAUCUAAGUCAAUUAAACUUUAAUUAUAACCUUAAUUAUGUAUUAAUAGGAAGGUGAGUGGAGAGAUGAUACAUUCAUCAUCCUCACCAAAUUGUGUUGUCCAAGUAGGAAGAGAAAGUAAAGGAAAACUCUUUUGCUUCUUUUACAUUUUGGUCCAAAAUCCCUGAGGUAUUUAAGUCUUUCCUUUGAAACUUUUAUGUUUUCAUGACUAUCUAAGUUUGAUUAAGUUUACCCACGCCUUAGAUUUGUCAAUUGUUAAAUGCUUAUCAAAUAGUCAUUAAUGGGUAUUUGAUGAAAUUGAGUUUGAUUUUGAUGAUAAAUAGAAGUAUGAUUUUUUAGCAUGUUAGGACUAAGUUGAAAAUUAGAGAAACGUGCUGGAAUUGAUUAGAAAUUCAAUUAACCUAUCUAAUUGGUUUAUGACAUUUGGGAUCAAAUUGAACAAAGUGAAAAUUGUUAGGGAAUUAUGUUAUAGAUUAAAAGUACAAGGUCCCUAAUGAAAGGAUAUGAAAUUAGAUUUUGAUUCGAUAUUAAAUAUAAAAGAAUACAAGUAUUUUGGAUAUAGGAACUAAAAUGAUUAAAAUGCAAACUAUGUUUGAUUAUAUGUUUUCAUGUGAUUGGGUGAAAACUAUUAUCGUUUCUAUUCUUGAAUUAUUGUAUGUAGCUAAAGAUGAUGUCAGAUUGUCUCGAGAGAAAGGAAAGACGAGAGUUGUAGACAAGUAGCUAAUACAGUUUGUGCUUCCAUGAUUUAAAAUCAAUACAUUUACAUAUAUUUCUAUUAAUUGUAUCAAACUAUCUUGAUUGAGGUAAUGUCAUGAAAAUGGUAAGUAUUUCAUGGUUGGAAACUUGUGAGAAAUGUGGUGAUAUGCAUGUGAUAAUACGAAAUAAUAUGAAUUAAUGGAUUGGAUUAAGCAUUAUAGAAAUUGGUAUUAUAUGAAAUUAUGAAAUGUUUGAUCUGGUGUCUUAAGUGCAGUAUAUUCGUUUGGUAAACUUGUAUUUUUUUGAACAAAUUGAUUUAAUAAUAUCCAUUAAUUACUUUAACACCCUUUGUAUAUUGUCCUCAAUGGUUUUUGUACACUGUUGACACCAUUUUUUUGAUGAAAACGGGAUCGACUUGGGUUUUGAAAACAAAAACGGGAGUCGCCACCAAUCCUUUUUGAUAAGGUGUGAUCAGAUCACCUUGAAAAGUGGUUGUUUUUAAUAAACGAUUUGAUUUUAUUAAAACAACAAUUUUGUUCCACAAAAUUCAGAAAAACGAGUUCGGGAGUCGGUUACGUACGAGGAAGGAUUAGCACCCUCGUAACGCCCAAAAAUUGGUACCUAAUUGAAAACUUUGAAGAAUUUUAAAAAUACGAUCCUAAAAUUUUUGAAUAAUAUGAGUUGGAAUUUAAGAUUCUCUUGUUCCGAAAGAAUAUCACAUCCAGCACAUUAGGAUACGACAAGAUCACCUUAUGGUUUCCAAAACCUAUACUUUGAAACUUUAAAAGAGUAUUUGGCUAUUUGGCUAAAAGAGAAAUCGAAACACAGCUCAUUAGGGCACGUUUUCUCGAAUUUCCAAAUGCAAAAUAUUGCCUUACUUUGAAAUUUUAAAAAGAUAUUUGGCUAUUUGGUCGAACGAAAAAAUCGAAACCCAGCACAUUAGGGCACGUUUUCAAAUUUCCAAAUGCAAAAUAUUGCCUUUAUUAUGUUUUAGAAAAAUCCUCAUUUCGAUAAAACGACGUGUCAUAUCCAAUGCGUUAGGACACAACGUAUUGAAUUCCCGAUACGAGAAUAAAUGCCGAAAAGUUUACUUACUUAAAAGAUAUUUAACUAUCUCGGAUUUUAGAAAAAGGUGUCAUGCCCAGUAAGUUAGGACACGAUCUUUUCUUAAUUCCCGAGAUCGUUUAAAAACUUGAGUUUGAAAAGAUUCGUGUAUUUAGAUUUAUUACGAAAAUCGAAACCCAGUAAGUUAGGGUACAACCUUCUCGAAUCUAAACACGAGAUUUUGCUUAUUCAAAAAUCAUAAUUUAUGCAUCGAAUAAAAUUAAUCUAACAUGAAAUAGUAGAAAUGAAACUCGAUAUUAAUACAUGUAACAAGAUAAUGAAUACAAUAAUGUAAGCAUAAAUGAUACGAGCAACAACAACAAAAUAAUAAAUAAAUAAAUAAAAGAUGACAAAACAAUUAUACGUGAAACAAUAAACAACUAGGGCUAAAAAAUUUCAUAAGAAUAAUGAUGAAAACAUAAAUAAAAACAUAAAUAUAAGAUAAAACAAUAAUAACAAUAAAGAAAAUAGAUAAAAAUUAUAAAAUGUAAAAAAUAUAUAUGUACAUAUAAAGGAAAUAUAUAUGUAUGUAGAUAUAAAAUUAUGAAAAUACGAGAAAUAUAUAUAUCUUAAAAUUAUUGAAUAUAAAAGUUUAUGCAAGUAUGUAUAUACACGUUUAUGUAUAUAAAGUUUAUAAAAAAAAUAUAAGUAUAUAUAUAUAUUCGUAAAAAAAUGUAUAUAAAUAUAGAUAUAUAUGUAUAGAUUAUCAAAUGUAUAUAAACAUGCGUGUGUAUGUACAUAUUAAAUAAAAAAACGUGUACAUAUAUUAUGAAAAUGUAUAUAUAUAUAGAUAUAAAAAUAAAGCUAAAUAUAUAUAUUACUAAUUAAUGUAUUAAAUAUAAUAGUAACAAAUAAAUAAAAGGAAAAUAAAAUUAAUAAUAAUAAGGUUAAAUAAUAAAAAUGCUAAAAAAACACUGACUAAAUUAAAAUAAAACGAAAAUACAUGGUUGAUUUGAAAGUAAAAAAGACGAAAAGGAUCAAAUUGCGACACGCACAAAAAGGGAGGGACCAAAACAAUAAAUAGACUGAAUUCCCAAAACGCGGUGCUGCAGUGGACUAAAUUGAAACGAAAAUAAAAUUGCGCGUCUAAAUUAAAAUAAAAGAAAAGAAAGAAAAAAGGGGCAAAUUGCAACACGCUGCAAAAUCGGAGGGACUGUACGCGUAAAUAUCCCAAAAGUCAAAAACACGUGGAUCCUCUGGGUCGGGCCGGGUCGACGCGCGGAUCUCCUCACCAAAACGGUGCCCGUUUCAUUCCUUUAUAAAAGUCAGAUUUUUUUAUAUAUAUUUUUAUUUCUGCCACUUUUUUUCUCUCAACCCUUCCCUAAUCUCCCCAGAAUCCGGCCGUCGGUCCGGCCAUGGGCCACCGUGCCAAUCGCCUAUCACCGGCGCUGCCGUGUACGAUGGCAGGGAGACCAAAAGUCUCCCCUUUUUCGCUGAAUCGUCUCUCCUCGGCCUCCUGAGCGUCCCGGCGUCGAUAAAAAAGGGUAAAAAUGCCUCCUUUCUUCCUUUAUUUUGUACUUCGAAAAAAAAUAAAAAUAAAAAUAAAAACAAAACAAAAAUAAAAAGAAGAGUAACCUUUUAUUGCUUUUUUAAUCUUUGUUCUUCCUUUUUUUUGAAUAGAUUUAUCUUUUUUUUUCAAAAGAAGAACCCUUUUACAAUUUGUUUUUGGGCUAUUUAUAGCCGAUUCUGUUUUUGUUUCCUUUUUCUAUUUAUGCUUGCGUGUUCUUCUUUCUCUUGCAAGUGGAGCAGGUGCAAGUGGGGUGAUGGGACGUGCGGCGUGUCGGUGGCAGAGCUAGGGCGGCAGCAGUUGAGUCUGAAUACCCUAGGUGCGGCGCCUAGGGUUCUUUUGUUUCUGCUAGGGUUUUUUUUUCUUUUUUUUUGUUUUGGAUUUAGGCCAUUUGGGUUUUGGGCUUAGGUUAGGUUUAAUUGGGGUUUGGUCUGUUUAUUUUCUGUUUUGGUUGUAUUUGGGCUAGUUGGGCCUCAGGCAAAAAAUUGGGCUUGUACAACUGCCCCUCUUUACUCGUUGUCCUGUAACGAGAACAGAGCAAAGACCUAAAAAGACCAAUAUUUUGCCCGAUCUCGCCAAGUCUUGACUUCUCUUGGCGUUUCUCUUCUUCAAGUAGCUUAUUUUCAAUCCACUACGUCUUGUUGCUUCAAUCCACUCUACUGUAGCAAUAACUUUAGAGGGACGAGGUUUGUGGUUUUAGUCUGCUCCACUUGGGAAGAUAAGAUUCACCAUCUUUGAUCUGCUCCACUACUGCUUAGGGAGACAUAAUCUGCAAGGGAGACAGAAUCUGUAAUCUUUAACCUACUCUACUACUGCUUAGGGAGAUAGGACUAAUGGCUUAAAUCUACUUCUCCACUAUCUUGGGAAGAUAAGAUUCACCAUCUUUGAUCUGCUCCACUACUACUUAGGGAGACAGAAUCCUACUCCACUACUGCUUAGGGAGAUAGGACUGAUGGCUUAAAACUGCUUCUCCACUAUCUUGGGAAGAGAAGAUUCACCAUCUUCGAUCUGCUCCACUACUGCUUAGGGAGACAGAAUCUACAAUCUUCAACUUACUCCACUACUACUUAGGGAGAUAGGACAAAUGGCUUAAAUCUGCUUCUCCACUAUCUUAGGAAGAUAAGAUUCACCAUCUUCGAUCUACUCCACUACUGCUUAGGGAGACAGAAUCUUCAAUUUUUAACCUACUCCACUACUGCUUAGGGAGAUAAGACUAAUGGCUGAAAUCUGCUUCUCCACUAUCUUGGGAAGAUAAGAUUCACCAUCUUCGAUCUGCUUCACUACUGCUUAGGGGGACAGAAUCUGCAAUCUUCAACCUACUCCACUACUACUUAGGGAGAUAGGAUCUGCAACCUUUAAUCUGCUUUGCUGCAAACUAUGAUGUCUUCGAUCUACUUCAUUGUCAGUACAGGAAGGCAAGAUCUGCUAUCUUCAGUCUGAUGGUGUCUUCGAUCUACUUCGUCGUCAGUAUAGGAAGGCAAGGCUGGUGUCUUCGAUCUGCUUCGCCGUCAGUACAGGAAGGCAAGAUCUGCUAUCUUCAGUCUGCUCUGCUGUCAGUAUAGAGAGGCAAGGCUGAUGUCUUCGAUCUACUUCGCCGUCAAUACAGGAAGGCAAGAUCUGCUAUCUUCAGUCUGCUUCGCUGUCAGUACAGGAAGGCAAGGCUGGUGUCUUCGAUAUGCUUUGCUGUCAGUAUAGGAAGGCAAAAUUUACUAUUUUUAGUCUGCUCCACUGUCAGUACAGGAAGGCAAGACUGGUGUCUUCGAUCUGCUUCGCAGUCAGUACAGGAAGGCAAGAUCUGCUAUCUUCAGUCUGCUCCGCUGUCAGUACAGGAAGGCAAGGCUGGUGUCUUCGAUAUGCUUCGCUGUCAGUACAGGAAGGUAAAAUCUACUAUUUUAAGUCUGCUCCGCUGUCAGUACAGGAAGGCAAGGCGGGUUUCUUCGAUCUGCUUCACCGUCAGUACAGGAAGGCAAGAUCUGCUAUAUUUAGUCUGCUCCGCUGUCAGUACAAGAAGGCAAGGUUGGUGUCUCCGAUCUGCUUCGCUGCCAGUACAGGAAGGCAUGAUCUGCUAUCUUUAGUCUGCUUCACUGUUAGUACAGGAAGGCAAGACUGGUUUCUUCGAUCUGUUUCGCCGUUAGUACAAGAAGGCAUGAUCUGCUAUCUUUAGUCUGCUUCACUGUCAGUACAGGAAGGCAAGACUGGUUUCUUCGAUCUGCUUCACCGUCAGUACAGGGAGGCAUGAUCUGCUAUCCUUAUUCUGCUUCGCUGUCGGUACAGAAAAGCAAGACUGGCUUCUUCGAUCUACUUCACUGUCAGUACAGGAAGGCAUGAUCUACUAUCUUUAGUCUGCUUCGCUGUCAGUACAGGAAGGCAAGACUGGUUUCUUCGAUCUGCUUCGCCGUCAGUACAGGAAUGCAUGAUCUGCUAUCUUCAGUCUGCUCCGCUGUCAGUAUAAGAAUGCAAGACUGGUUUCUUCGAUCUGCUUCGCCAUCAGUACAGGGGGGCAAGAUCUGCAAUCUUCAUUGAUCUGUGCUCUGGGGAACACCACCUCUAUAUUCUAUAUUAUGAACCUAAUUGUGCCUAGUGAUUAGGAUGACAUGAUCAGAAUGAAUCAAACGCUCCUAACUAGACACGUAUGAAUGACGUUUGAAUGAAUGCAAUGAAAAUGAUCCCUUUUUAAUGCUUGAGUUAUCAUUACUCAAAGUUUAUUAAGGUUUUAUCACUGACGUGCUACAAUGUCUUCUUGCUCGGCUGGCGUAUCCAAAGAAACACUUAAUCUGAUUGCCCCCCAUUGUGAACGUCAGAGUUCAAUCCACUAGGACACAAAAUUUGUACCAUCAUUCUCCCACUGUGAUCCAAGGGUAGAAAAAUAUGGCUUUUCUCAAUCAUCUCCUAUUGCAAUUCAAGGAUACAGAAUGUGAAGCUCUUUGGUCUUUUACCCCAUUCCCAAGGUGUUAUACCAAAUGCUCAUGCACAAUUGCAAAAUUUUCUUCUCCGAGAAAACCUUUUCUUAUCACUCGGUGAUCAUUGCUUGUUUGUUCAUUGAAGCCUUGUCAUCAACAUAAAAUUUUGUCAUUUUGUUCAAUCAAUGUUUGGAUAACAAAAUCUGAAAGGAUAGUCUUAACUUAGACUCUUCCUUCUUAGAAAUUUCAACCUUUAAACUUGGUGUGUUCUAAACAAUAUCAUGUUUCAGGUUCCUAUAUUAUUUAGAAACUUCUAGGGUAAUAUGCAAAACUUCUCUUGUGAAAGUAUUAUUAGUCCAUUAAUAUUAUUCCAAUGCAACAUGCUUGCAAAAGAUCAUAACGAUAGAUAAAACAAAAUUGAUUUGGGAGCCUAGCUCAAAAUAAAUUAUCAAGGAUAGCAAGAAUAAAAGAGGAAUUGAUUGGAACACGUAUCUUGAAUAAGAAUAAAGUAUUCCAAGAACAAAAAAUUCAAUAUAAAGGUUAGGUGCCCCAGAUAUCGCAUCUUAAACUUCUCUAUACAAACUUUCUGAAGACCUUUCUGAGUUUGACAUGUGUUUAGGAGAUCUACAGGACUUUGUCGAUGCCCCAAGAUGUUGCCUACCCUUUCCUGUUGAUUCAGGUAUAACAAGAUCACCACAUGCCCCAAUUUGGUUAAAAUUUGAGCUGCUCUGAUCACCUCAUGCCCCAUUUAAUCCAAAACUUGAAUUGCCCUUUUCGAGUUUUCAACUCAAAUCCCCUUUGGUCUCAAGGCGCCCUUUGCGGGUUUUCACCUUGGCCUCUCCUUUUUUUUUCUUUUUCUUUUUUUCCCUCUUUUUUUCUUUUUUUAAUCUGAACUCAUUGGAUUAGGUAUGUCCUCGUUAUCCCUUCCGAUCAAGAUUGACGCUUUUCCAGAUAAGGCCUUCCCCAUAAGGUUUUUCCCAUCUUGGCAUGAAGUUCUUUUUGUAUGGAAAGGAUCUUCUUCGAUACCAAGUACCCCUCAUGGAAUUUUAUAGGGCGAACUUUUUUGUGAGCUCGCAUCAUUUGCUUUUGGCGCAUUUGACCACGAUGGACAACUUUGAACAUUCAUCUUCAAUCGGGAUUGGAUCCAAAAACUCAGAGAGAAAGAAUCUCAUCUUCAAUAGGCGAAACUGCGAUGGGCCCAAGAGAACGGCAUUGCCCCCGCAGAGUUUUUUUUAAUGCUCUGUUCACCUUUGGGCGACAUAGUGUUAAUUUUGAACAAACUGCCAACUUUUGAAAUCGUGCUCUUGUUCAAAUUUGGUGUAUUGUCAAAUAUGAUCCUUUUGGCAUUCCAUAUUGACAUGUGAUUUUUUUUGAGAAUUUGUUGACUGUCAACUUUCUGAUGUUGGCAUAUGAAGCGGCUUCUACCCGCGAAGAUAAAUCAAUGACCGCCAAAAUCUUCUGUCUAGAUCGUCCCAAUAGCCUUCAUGCCCCACAUAGGGAGGAGCCAUGGACUCCAUUGAUUUUUUGUAUGGUGGAAUCUGUUUUUCACCUUAUUUUAUCAUCCUUAACAAGUUUAGAGAUAAACUAUAAUCUAUGUCAUCUUCGAAGUCAUGAGAUCCCUCUAAACACAUGUCUCACUCAAAAGGAGAUUCUGAGUCUGUAGCAGCGUCACUCAUGUCGUUGAUAUCUGGGGACUUAUUGUAGGUACAAGAGAAUAUACAAAGAAUGUAUGAAUUUAAGAAUAAAUAUCUAUACAGUAUGAUUAUGAAUGAAUGAAAGAAUGAUUUGGAAGAAAGAAUGAAAGAAUAAUUAUUCAUAAAUGAUGAAAGAAUAUUAGCUCAAAAAUGAUCGCAAAGAUAUAUUUCAUUAAAAUAACGACGUUCAGACAUGAGCCUAUUUCACAAAGGAAUUCUUAUCGCCUCUAGGCUAAAAGCAACAAGUGUGUUUUGGACAUUACUCUAAAUAAACUCUAAAUACUACAAAGAUUUCUUCUGCAGUCUGAUUAUUUAGAACACUCCCAAGUUUAUAAUGACGGAUAUCUAACAAGGUCCCUUUUCAGUUGUCUUCAUGUAUGACAUUGAUAUGACCAUUUUUUUGACCCCUUCACAAAAAUCUAUCUUGUUGGACCUUAGCUAACCGCUCUUGUAUUUGCAGUCGUAGUUGGUCUUGCCUCCCCCUUUGGAGUCGUUCAAGUUUUCAAUCUUUGGUCCAUGUUUUUUUGUUCGGAUACCGUAAUGAUGCUAAGUCGAUAGACUUUUUUUUAGUUCCCAGGUUAACUGAAAUAAUUUUACUCAAUUACGGUCUUUUAAUGGUCCUUAAUGCGCAUGAUGCUAUGUAAUGCAAAUGCAUGAAAUGAAUGCAAAAAAGAGACAUUGAUUCUUGGUUCAAUUCUAUUAGAACAACUUUACUAGAAAACAAAUCUCUUUACAUAAAGCGGAUAUAUAUACGGCUUUGCCCUCAUAGGCGGAGACAUUCGAUCCUCUUCUUCAUUCGAGCGUUAAGAUAAAUCUCACGAACUCUUCAAAAGGGACGUCUCUUCUAUCUCUUUUUUGCUUAAUCCGGGCCGUGACUCGUUCCUCGCUCAUCCUCGUGAUGCUCAUUGGCUUCUCUUUAAGAAAGUUCAGCGGCUCUCGAAUAAUCUUUGUCUUCUUGAAUCCUCGAGCAACGGAGCAAUAGUCGUGUAGUCCUCUAUUAAACUAUCAUCAUUCUCUUAUCACGUUUUCUUGGACCAUAUUCGGAUAACUGUAUCGUCAUCCACUUUAUCAAGAAACCCAUUUUCUUAUGACAAGCUCUCUAUUUAGCAACCGAACGUGAAUCAACACCUCUUUUUAUGAUGAAAAUGCAAUGCAAUCAUAACAAAAAAGAAAACAGGUUAGUACAAAGCAAAAGCAAGCAAGAAUAAAGAGAACACCUAUUCGGGUGAAUACUAGGGGUUCGAAGUGGUUCUACCUAGGGUGGGCUCCUAAAGUUCGCCACAUGAGGUUUGGUUCUAAAGUAAAGGUACCCGAACCAACAGAUUCCUCAAUCGUCACCCAUUAUAGGCUCACAUAGACCGAGUUCGGUUCAGGGGAAUGCAUUUCCCUAUGGCUGCACAGAUAUGAAAAUCUCACGAAAACAUAGGUACAGAUGUAUCCCGAAAGCGACCCACUAUCCUGCACGGAGGCGAAAACCUCACGAAGGAGUAGCUUCUCACUCCCACUUAAAAGGGUGUGACCAACGGUCAUGCAAUGCAAUGUGCAAAGAUGUAAAAAUUUAAAAUACAAAACAUGAUGAAAACUAUAAAACAUGAUGAAAACUAUAACUCAAAAUAAAUGCAAUGAGAGGAUUGUAUAUUUAAAUCAAGUUUUUUAAUUUUUGACAAAAAGACAAAAAAUAAUCAUCUCGUGGCUUGACUCUCUUAUUUUAUGUCCCCAGUGGAGUCGCCAAGCUAUUGACACCAUUUUUUUGAUGAAAACGGGGUCGACUUGGGUUUUGAAAACAAAAACGAGAGUCGCCACCAAUCCUUUUUGAUAAGGUGUGAUCGGAUCACCUUGAAAAGUGAUUGUUUUUAAUAAACAAUUUGAUUUUAUUAAAACAAUGAUUUUGGUCCACAAAAUUCAGAAAAACGGGUUUGGGAGUCGGUUACGUACGAGGAAGGAUUAGCUCCCUCGUAACGCCCAAAAAUUGGUAAAAAUGGGUAAAAAAAGGGUAAAAAUGCCCCCUUUCUUGCUUUAUUUUGUACUUCGGAAAAAAAUAAAAUAAAAUAAAAACGAAACAAAAAUAAAAAGAAGAGUAUCCUUUUAUUACUUUUUUAAUCUUUGUUCUGCCUUCUUUUGUUUUUUUUUUAAUAGAUUUCUCUUUUUUUUUCCAAAAGAAGAACCCUUUUACAAUUUGUUUUUGGGCUAUUUAUAGCUGAUUCUAUUUUUGUUUCUUUUUUCUAUUUAUGCUUGCGUGUUCUUCUUUCUCUUCCAGGUGGAGCAGGUGCAAGUGGGGUGAUGAGACGUGCGGCGCGGCGGUGGCAGGGCUAGGGCGGCGGCAGUUGGGUUUGAAUACCCUAGGUGCGGCGCCUAGGGUUCUUUUGUUUCUGCUAGGGUUUUUUUUCUUUUUUUUUGUUUUGGAUUUGGGCCAUUUGGGUUUUGGGCUUAGGUUAGGUUUAAUUGGGGUUUGGUCUAUUUAUUUUCUGUUUUGGUUGUAUUUGGGCUAGUUGGGCCUCGGGCAAAAAAUUGGGCUUGUACAUACACAAUGCAAAAUGGAAGAAAAUAUUAGAUCACUGAUUUUCUAACGUUUAACUAAUACUAAGCAGCAUUAUGUGGUCGGGUUGUAAUGAGGAAAGACGACUUGUAUUAGUAGAUCAUAAACCUAAACAUGCCCUUAGUCUAAUCGGAAAUGAGAAAACCAAUUGAAAGGUUUAUAUGUCAUAUAUGAAGUCAAAUAAGGGCUAAUCAAUGACUAAUCAAUUUAAUUUUCACUUUGAACUUCAAUUAUUUAAUUUCAAUAAAUUAAAUAAUAAUUCAAAACAAUUAAUUCAAUUUUCUACAUGCAAUCUAUUUUGGGUUAUACUGAAUUAGCAGAGGAACCAAUUGAACAUAUAUAAUUAGGACUCAAAUAAUUUUUAAUUUAGUUUCAUCUAUUCACCUAUUAAUUACAACAUUAUUUAAUUAUAAAGUUAUUUCACUAAAGUAUCAUGAUUGAACCCUUCCUUAUUAUAUAGCAUCACGAAAGUAACUUAAUAAAUGCUUGUACAAUGACCUUAUUAUGAGUGUGUUACCCUCGUAGGUUAUCUAUUAUCUUUUUGGUUAAUUUCUUUCAAGUAAUAUGAUCCUAUUUUAUCUCAUGGUAAUUACUAUUUCAUCUUCCCUCAUGAAACAGUCAAUUAAAUCAUUUGUUCCAGAAAAAUGAUCUAAGACCAUGUUACAUUUUCAUCUAUCAUGUAAUAAUGUCAAAGAGAAGAUAUCAUUUACCUUUUGUCUGACUAUGAAUUCCACCAUAAUAAAUGAAGCUAUGUCAUGCAGAAGUCAAAUACACUACAUACCGGCUUUUGGUUCUUUAGUUGUUUUGAACUCAGACAUUCAAUACAUUAAAGCAUACAAAUCAAGCAUACAUAGUAACUUACUCAAGGUUAAGGUAAGUCACACUACGAACAUUACAAGUAAAUUAAUCCUCAAACAAAUCUACGAUUAAUUUGACUUGUAUCUUGUCUAAUGUUUUAUCAAUCCAGACAAUAACAUCUAUGUUCGUAUCUUUUCGGAGUCAUUUGCUUUGAUACGCAAGACAAUGUAUCUCUUUAAUAGGAUUUGAUAGACGACAGAAUAGUCCUUUAAUCAAUUUGCUAAAUUUCGAUACAGUAAAUGAUGGAUCUUUUAGAUCGCCUACUAAUAUAAGUUGUUUUCUCACAUUAUGACUUGAUGACGUAAUACAACUUCGUAUAAGUUAAACACUAUGUAAUUAGUGAGUCAAUAUUUACUAUAUUCAAAAUUUACCAUUUUCUUUUGGGAAAUCAUUUUAGUCUAUUUUAUGCAGUUUAUAAUUAACAUUUAAUAUCUCUCUCUCUCUUGGGCAGAACAAUAAAAUAUAUAAUACGAGCUUAAUAUAGUUUAUUAGACUAUACUUAGGCUCCUUUGGAUUGGUGGUGACAUUCGCUCGAAUGAGAUUAAAACUAGUGGUUCAUGUACUAAAAUGCCUCUUUAUAACUCAAAAUAAAUUAAAAUUAAUAAAUUUUAUUUUUAUAUAUUUAAAUUUUUAUUUAUUAACAACCAUAUGUUAAAAUUUAAAAACAUCGUGAUAUGUUGGAAUUCGCUGGUUGAUGUCAGACUCAUCAUCAACAUGAUAUGAUCGUCAAGUCCACUGGAUGAGGUCGCAUAUUGGCAACCUUGCUCCUUUCUGUCAUCCGGUGUGAGUGAGCUUUGGUCAACAAAGUGAUCUUAGAGUUAAAUAUAAAUGUCAAUUGCUAAACAACAUCUUCGAAACAAGAGUAUUUUCAUUUAUCUUUUUAUUCCAUUUCGAGUUAAGAUUUUUGAGAAAACUAAAAGUGAAAAUUUAUAUGAAAAGAAAGAAAUUGUAGUAGGCUGAAAAGUUAUAUGGUUGGAAAUUAGGAAGUUUAACUUUUCAUAAUUGUGAUUUAUCUUUUGUUAAAUUUAACCAAAGCCUCAUCUUAAUUAAUUUGAAAUAUCAGUUUAUCCCAAAUAUUUAACUGAGUCUGGAAUUAAGUUCGAAAGGUUGAUUUAAGGUAUAAUAUCAAAUUUAGUCUUCAACGUUUAAAUAUUGUCAAUUUGGCCCUUAUUCUAUUUUUUAGCUCUAUUUGACCGUUAACCUUUUAAAAAGCGUCAAAUCGUUUUUGUUUUAUAUGCUAUGUCAACUAAUAGUUUUAUUUUUUAAAAAACAAUAAUAAUAAAAUUUAUAAAAAUAUUCAUAAAAACUCAAAAAAAUAGCAUGAAGUACAUGUGAAUUACCAUGCGGGCUAUGAUAUUUAAGAAGUUCACGUUUUAAUUAAUAUUUUCAUUAAAAAUUAAUUAUUCAACUCAUUUAAAAAGGUUGGUGUUAAAUUGACUCCUUUUGAUUAAAAAGUUGAGGCUCAAUUUUAAGUAAAAAGAAGAAGAAAAACCAAAUUGAGUUUGAUAGCUAAAUUUGAUAUUAUACUUAAAUUUGUCCAAUCAGACAAAAUUUGGAAUCAAUGAAAAUAAUAAAGCUUUUCUCUCUAACUUUAUUCAAACUUUGGACGAGAGAAUUUCCAGUUUAGAUGUUGGUGAUCUAAAUCAUUUCUUGGGAAUUGAAGUCAUUCCAACAUCUCAAGUUUUAUUCAUCUGAAUAUAUUAGUUAUGAUAUAUUGAGCAAAGUAAACAUGUCGAAUACUCAAACGCGAAGGAAUCAAACACACCGGUUUCCACUUUAGUUUCUUUAAGUUUUCAUGAUGGCUUUGCUGUAGUCGAGGCCAAAGAGUCCAGAAAACUUGUUGCUUCGUUGUAAUUGUUUCCUUGUAAACAAACUUUUCAAAUUUUUGCAUAAACCAAUCUCUAUUAGAGAUGAAGAUAAAUUUUUGUAGCUAAGAAUUUAAUCUUUAUUUGUAAUAUAAUGAUAAAAUACAAUGAUCAAGUAUGAGAAUUUUAACUUUUAAUCAGAUGAAGAUAUAUAUCUCAUACAUUUAUUCUAAUCAAGCGUGACAGAAUGAUAUGACUUUUUCACAAUCUGUAGAUAACAUCUUAGUAAUGAAUUACAGUAACGUUGAAUUCAAUGAUGACAUUGGUGGCAUUUAUAAGGAUAGGGUUAAAUAGUGCAACCCCUGUUGCCAUCAUGAAUCGUCCUCUUCCUCCGACCACCGCAAGCCCAGGUUCUCCCCUUGAAAAUACGCUUAGAGAGCUGCCGUUAAACUUACCGGUAUUGAAUCCAAAAUCUAUGUAUUGCGUGCUUGAUGCAUUCGUUCCAGCCAGGAGCGCAAUACCCUGAACAUUUCCAAUCAGCUCCGAGUCAGGCUCAGGACCAGUCCUGAGGGGAUCAUUAACGGCAACUAGGGAGGCAAAUGGCACUGAUGAAUUAUUGUCGCUGCUUGUGAUGUUAACUUGGGCUACCUGGACUGCUGUAAUACCCGUAAAUUCGUGCAUAAAGAAGUGAAGAUUGGUGACCUUAACUGGCCUGGGACGAUAUGGUAGGGUCUCCGAGUAGUAUUGGCUCUGCACUGCUACUAGGGAGAGGCAGAUGAUCAGAACCCAACUCAACAUCAAUGUUCCUCUCAUUGUCUCUGCUGUACUUUAAUUUCUGGGGCGAAAUGUAGAUGAAAGCUAUAGAUUUGUUGCUUCAUCUCUAUUAACAAAACAGACACAUUUAUACUGAAAAUACCCGCAGACAUGAAAAUAAUUUAUUGUCCAAAACAUUUUAUGUAAUACCAACUUGAUUUCUGACUAGUAAUAUAAAAAACAAAGCAAAUUUUGACAAGGCAACACAAACUUGGUCUACGAAUACUUGGAUAAAUACGAAUAACUUUACGUAAUAAUUAGACUGGUCAGCGUUGUAAACACCAUUCUGUCUGUAAAAUUAAAUGAUCCAAUUGCUUUAAAUUAAUCUUAGAUUGGAUGUUUUCCUCCCCUGCGUUUUUCUUUUUCGUUUAUAUGUAUCUACCUAAGAAAAUGAAGUGAAUUGAGAAUAAGUCUUGAGUCCUGAUAACAGUAUACAUGAAUUUCAAUUUGUAUAUACUGCAAUCUCCCUAUAUAUGAAAAUCAAUAUUAUAGGGAUCUCCCUAUAUAUGAAGAUCAAUUCUAGAAUUUCCCAACCUUCAUAAACUCUUCUGCUAAUUGUAUACACUGCAAUUCCCUUCAGACCAAAUAACUUCAUUCUAAUAUUGUCCUUGAUCAAAUGGAGCAGCUACUCCUCCUAAUAUUAGCCUAAUUCUUUGGUCCUUCCACUUCUUUCCUAUCAAAUUUGGUGAAUUCUAAACUACCUACACAAUAUAAGUAUAAAUGACUAAUUGUAUCGGUUUACAAAAAGUGAGAUUUAAUUCUACAAAAUAAUUGAAUAAAUAAGAAUUUCUUCACAUAAAAAUUAGAAUGGUCAAGGUUUUAAACACCAUUCUGUCCAUAAACUAAAUGUUCCAUUUGUUGUAAAUUAAUUUUAGAUUGUAAGCUUCCUCCACUUGAGGUUUUAUUUUCUUCUGAAUGGGACAUUGUCCAUUGACUUUAAUUUAUUUGGUGUUAUAUAUGACAUCUGAUUGACGUCUUGGUUUUAUAAAUUAAUUUAUCUUCUUCUAACAAAUGUUUGUUUGAUGUGAACUUUCUUGUUACUCUUCUUGCGAUCACAACAAGCUCAAGUUCUGUCUGCAUUAUAGGAUUGUUUGGGAAUCAAGGACGAAGUUAUAAGUUUAUUUUUGAGGGAUCAAAAUUAAACUAUAAAAUUUUAAAGGGAUUAAAAUACAAUUUUAUCUUCGUAUAUGAUUGCUAGUUUAUAAUUUUAAAAAGAUGAAAUUGAAUUUUUUUCAACUUAAUUUAGGGGGCUAAAACAAAAUUUACCAUUAAAUUAACUUAUAAUUUAAAAAAAUUCAAGGAACUAAAUUGAUAAUUUAUCAUUUGAGGGGGUCAGGCCCUUGCCUAUCCCCGUUUGCUUUGUGGUUGUUGAGAACUGUUAGGUGGAUUGAGAGCUACGGUGGGUUUGGAUGGGCGAUUGGGUGCGGUGCAAUGCGUUUAGCUUAUUUUUUGUCUCACGCUACAGUAUCGCUACAGUAUCUAAUCUCACCGCCACUGCUGUUCUUACACUAACCGCAGGUAAACGCACCGCCCAUCCAAACCCACCCCUAGUAUAUAUGAAUUUCAAACGUUAUACUCAAUUUUAACCAAAAUUACUUAGAAUAAUUUUUAUUUAAUUCACAAGAUCCCACUAAUAAAAAAUAUUUAUUUUAUUAAAUUUAAUUUAUACUUUUUAUAAUUUACAUUUUUUAAAAAUAUUUUAAAUACCAUUUAAAAAAAAAGUGAGUUUUUUUGGUUUAAUUACCAUCAUAUGUGGAUUUAAUUCUGAAAAGGAAAAUAAUCCCCUACAUAAAAAAAUAGCCUAUGUAAAAUGUUCAAAUAACACCAUUUGUGAAUUUGGUUUUAUAAUUAUAUUGUAUGCAGUUGAUUUAGCCGUUGUUUAAUAGGGAUUGUGAUACAUUUUCAUAUGCUAGCAAAUAUCAAAAUUCUAAUUGAGGGACUUGUACAAGUUGAUAAAUUAAUUUUGAGAGCACUUAUUUGUUCGAGUGAGGAACAUUAUUUGUAAGAGUACACUUGAUUGUAAAAUCUUUUGUGUUGUGAUUUUAUAAACUAAGUUCUCAAGGGGAGAAGUUAAUGAUAAAAGAUAUAAUCUUCGAAAAUCCCCUAUUUGACUUUGUGUUAUCAUAGUGCUUGCCGAAGUGCCCACUACUACAAUUAUUUUUGCUCGUACUUUUCUUGUUACUUUGCAACUAUUUCAAGUCAACAAUUGGUAUCAUGGUCUCCUACUUAACAUUUCUAGUGGAGAUUCCUGGUGUCGAUAGUUGCAAGCUAUGGAAGGAUCAUCAAUCACUAGACCAUCGAUGUUGGAGAUUGGCUAUUUAUGCUUACUGAAAAGCACACAUGGAGUCUACAACAAAAGGACUAAAAAUGUAAUGGUGUAAUAUCCUUAACCCGGUCACCGAACUCGAGUUAUAGGAUGUUAGGACAGAUAACAAUGCUUGUCACAUAUAGAUUCAACUUCAAACAUUGAAUUAAACAAUAGAACAUACCAUAGUCAAAGUAUAACAUGAUUUACAAACAAAAUUGGAAUGGCUUAUGAAUAGGAAUUAUAGGCUAUGGUCGUUACAGAAAUUGUUUGGGGAUGUUGACUGUGACACUAUCUAGUUGGCUCAAUUUCAGUUCGAAGAUAUUCACAGACAAGGUAAUGGUAUAGAGGAUACUUUUGUGAAAGCUGGUAUAUCGAAAUCUUCUUCUUCUUUUUUAAGCUUGAUGGUGAAUUUUGUUUAAUGUACCAUAGCUUUAGUUUUCCGGAGGAUUUUGUCUUUGGCUACCAGUAGUAAUACUAGUGUAUUCAUGUUGUCUUUGAAAGAUGUUGUUAGUUCCAACGUCUUUCUCGGUUUUACAUUAUUUUUCUCGACUGAGAAAAAAAAUAACCAAUGGUAAUCCACAAGCAUUGUGGAAAUUUGCAUAAUGCCAAUUCAUUUUCCAUGCAAAGAAGAAAAUUUUAUAGUUUUGACUAUGCUUACUCGAGAAAAAGAUGAUGAGAUGAGCAAGAAGAUUGCUAGAAAUUUGAUCCACCAAUUAAUAAGCUAACUAAAGUAAAUAAUGACAAUUGAUUCACCAAUUGAUGUUUUAAUUCAUUAUAUUACUAUGCCCAUAUAACUAAGCUUUUACUGACAAAGUCUAGAAAGCAGAUAUUAUUGAGACUAAAAAUUGAAAUUCAUGAAGACAUAAAUAGUUACAACAUACAAAAUGUUACGUUCAAAAUAAAACCUUACAGAUGGUACGUAAUGCAAUAAAAUACAGAUUAAAUAUUGUAACAAAAAAUAAGGACAGAUGCAUGCCAGUGCAACCCUUUACCAUAGGAAAAAAACAUUUCGACAGGCUUCAAAACAAGAAAUUAUGAAGAUACAACAUAAAUGCUUGAACAUCAUUUACAUCAACUAGAUCCUUCUUUGUCCAUUGCUGCAAUUGCCAUUCUUUGACUUUCUUCUUCGCCUCUUUAUGUCAGUUUUCAACCAAAUUCACGAACCAUUUCGGCUUACCAAUUUGGAAAGCAACAUAUCCCACGGCCAUUCCGAACACUACUCCACAUCCAUAACUUCUCAACACCACUUUCCAACCAAAAGCAAUGUUUGAUUUUGAACCAUCUUUUUCGAGCACAUUUGGAGGUGGUAGCUCAAUGAUGUUGCAAUCUUUCGAGACCGGAAAUCCGCAUAGUCCCUUGUUUCCUUCAUAUGAAUCUUUUUAAUGUGUUGAAUUUGUUAAGAUCAUGUGUUUAAGAUUGCUGCCAUUUAAAUUUUUUCUGUUACUAAGUUUGAAUAAUUCUUCUUGACUUUAGGAGCUUAGUUUUUGAUUUGUUUGGUAUAUUGUUACCAAAUUUUUAGCAGAUUUUUUAGAACUUUUUUUUUAUAUUUUAAGCUUGAACUUUUGUAUUUAAAUAGUUGAGGUGCAAAUCAAUUAAUUAUUCCUGUCUUCAAUUAUUUUCUAUCUUAAAACUUCCUGUCUUUUCUUUCUGCUUCAAAUCUCUCGAUCAAUGUAACAGCCCGAUUUUGACUCUAAUUGGACAUAGUGGUUUCGGGACCACAAAUCUGAGUCUGAAAAAUAUUUUAAUAUUAUUUUGUGUGUUUAUGAUGUGUGAAUUUAAAUGUGUGAAAGUUUCGUGAAUUAAUUUUGUUGUUUAUGUGUUUAAUUGACAAAAGUAUCAAAUUGCAUAAAAUGUGAAGUUUGAUUAUUAAGGUGUAAAGUGCUUAUUUGAUGGUGGCUUUUAAAUAUGAGGUUCUUAAAGGGCAAUUAGCCCAUUUUAAAAGAUAGUGGACGGCAAUGAUAGUUAAUAUAUACUUUUUAUAUAUUAAAUAUAAAAGUUAUAAUAGUAAUAGUAUAAUAUUAUAUUAUUAUAUCAUUAAAACAUAAAAGAAAUAAGUUUUUUUUCUUUCUUCAUUGUUUGUAUCACCGAAACAAAAAGAAAGAAACUUUGUUCUUCAAGCUUUAGCAUUCGGCCAUCUUAGGGAUUUCAAUUCAAGGUUAGUUUGAUUUUAGUUUUUGAUAAUUUUUACGUUUUUGAGAUCGUUGCUUUGAAUACUUCAAAACCCAUGUCUUAAUUUUGUGAAUUGAUGAAUAUUUUGAAUUAUGCCAUUGAUGAAUAUUUGUGUUUUGGGAUGUUUGAUGAUGAAUAAUGGAAGAUAUGUCUUAGAUUAACAUGUUUUGUAUUGGUAUUUUUGAUGAAUUUGAGUAUUUAGGGCUAAAUUGUGAAAAUAAAUUUUUUUUGAGGGACUAAAAUGUGAAAUAAAUGCAAUGUGUGGACUUGUAUGAGAACCAUGAAUAUUCGGCCCUUGUGUGUUAUGGGCAAAUUUUAUGUAUUUUGUGUUUUGUGCAAAAAGGACUAAAUUGCAAAAAGUGCUAAAUGUUAGGGGCAAAAUGGUAAUUUUCCCAUUUAUGUAUUGUUGGACUCAAAUGAAUGUUUUGAUGAAUAAAAAGGUUAAAUUUGACUAUGUUUAGAUCAAGGAACGAAGAAAACGAAUUUGGAUCGGGGGAAGUCGAAGAUAAUCGAAUAGUCGAUCGUGUUUGCUGAUAUCCGAGGUAAGUCUAUUAGCAACUAAAAGUUAUUAAGUUAAUAUUUAUACAUGCAUACUAAUUUUUAUCUUAUGAUUGAGCUAUAAUUUAAAGUAUAAUAGUUGAAUAAACUUUGGACUAUAGAUAUUGUAUAUAACAUGUUCGAAUAUACAAGUAUGAUCUUGUAUAAAUUAUUGGAUUAAUCAAAGGUAUGUAUAAGAUAUAGGUAUAUAUAUAUAUGGUUUGAAUGAUUAUAUAAGUAUGUAUAUAUAUAUAUAAAGUCGAAUAAGCAUGCAAAUAUACAUGUAUGUGUUGUGUAUUGAAUUUAGUUAUGUCAUUAUAUAAGUAUGCGAGGAUUGAUUGUGCAUUUAUAUAUGUACAAGUUUUUGUUUUGAAAUUGAGUAUGAAAUUAUACAUUCAUAUGGUAGAUUCGAAUAUGUAUAAAUGCACAUGUAUAAAUUCUUGAAUCGAAAUUUGGUAUGGAAUUAUAUAUGUAUGUGAAAGUUUCGAUUUUGUAUGUAUAUUCACGUAAAAGUUUUUGAAUGGUAGUGAAGAUAUGAAAUUGUUAGUUUGAAUUAUUAUAAAGUGAUUGAAUGUAAUACGGACGUUACGUCUAGCAGGCUUAAUGCCGGUGAAGUAAUUCAGACUUUAAGUCUAGCAGGCUUAAUGCCGGUGAAGUAAUUCAGACUUUAAGUCUAGCAGGCUUAAUGCCGGUGAUACAUUUCAGACUUUAAGUCUAGCAGGCUUAAUGCCGGUGAUACAUUUCAGACUAUAUGCCUAGCAGGCUUAAUGCCGGUGAUACAUUUCAGACUAUAUGUCUAGCAGGCUAAGUGUCGGUGUACUGAAUCAGGCUUUAAGCCUAGCAGGCAAAAUGCCGGUGAAUCUGUUUAAAUUGUGUUAGAAUAUGCAAUGGAUAUAUCUAUGAUUUGUGAUUAUAUGAAAUCGAUGAAUACAUAUGUACAUUAGAUAUAUGUGAUUGCUGAAUUUAUAAAUGCAUAUGGUGAUAUGUGGUAGUUAAACAUAUAUAUGUUGAGCCUAUGUGUUUGAUAAUUAAUCAUGUAUGCAUUUGAGAUAUAUAUAUAUAUGUGUGUAUUUCGAAUGUAUGUGUUACCUAGGUAUUCAGGUAUAAAUUCAUAAUGAGUAUAUUUAUAUACAAACAAAUAUAAGGUGUGAUUGAUGAAUAUAUAUUUGUGUUAGAUUUGAAUUGAUUUAGAACUUACCAUGAGUGUAUAUAUACAAUCGGUUUGAUAUGUAUAUAAUAUGUAUAUAUAUAUGCUCGAUGGUAUACAUUCAAUUGUAAUGUUGUUUUGUAUAAUAUAUAUAUUAAACUGAAUUCAUCCGACAGGUAUACAUAUCUGACUUUAAAUGAAAUGGUCUGAGUAGAAUAAUGUAUGAAUGUUAGUUGGUUGUGUUAGUUGAAAUUUCAGUAGAAUAGAUUAAAAAGGUUAUAAUAAUUAUGUGUUUAUAAUUAUACAUUUAGUUAUGCUGGAGACUUACUAAGCUAUAAAAGCUUACUUCGUUUGCUUUCGUUCUUUCGUUUUUAUAGAUUUGGAGAUGCGUUACGAGCUCGGGGAUCAUCAGCACAGUCCAUCACACUAUCGAUUUCUUUUGGUAUUUUGUUAAAUAUUUGAACUCGAUCUUAUGGCAUGUAUAGGCUUGAUAAUGUUUUGGUUAGUUUUGAAUCCUAUUGUGUAAAUAGCAAUGUGAAAAGAGUUUAGUUUCCAUGCUUGAAUUUGAUUAUAUAUGUUCAUGAAUUGGACUUGUUUUUGGAAUUAGAUAUUAAAGUUAUGUUUAUGUGAGCUUGGUUUCGUAAUGCCUUGUAACCCUGAUUCAGCGACGGAGAUGGGUUAGGGGUGUUACAAUCAACCAUCAAAGUUCGAGUUCUAAACACCAACAAAUUGGUACCGGAGCUGUUUUCUUGAGGGAUCUGUGAGGUUAUUUGCGUGUUAAAAUGGAAGGAGGGUCUAGUUUUUCAGUUGCUGCACCACCAGUCUUCGAUGGAGACAAUUACCAGAUGUGGGCAGUUCGCAUGGAGACUUACUUGGAGGCUUUGGAUCUUUGGGAACCUGUAGAAGAGGAUUACAAGGUCCCACCUCUUCCAGCAAAUCCUACUGUAGCACAGAUUAAAACACAAAAGGAAAAGAAGACAAGGAAAUCAAAGGCAAAAGCUUACUUAUUUGCAGCUGUGUCUCAAAUGAUUUUCACAUGAGUAAUGUCUCUGAAAUCAGUAAAGGAAAUCUGGGAUUACCUCAAGGCUGAGUAUGAAGGAGAUGAGAGGAUUCGUGGAAUGAAAGUCCUGAAUCUAAUCAGGGAUUUCGAGUUGCAGAAGAUGAAGGAGUCUGAGUCAGUGAAAGAAUAGUCUGACAGACUUCUCAGCAUUGCCAACAAGGUGAGAUUGCUUGGUUUUGAGUUGAACGACUCUAAAAUCGUAGAAAAGCUACUGGUCACUGUUCCAGAGAAGUUUGAAGCCACCAUUACUACUCUGGAGAACACUAAGGACCUGUCAAAAAUCUCUCUUACAGAGCUCUUGAAUGCUUUACAAGCACAAGACCAAAGAAGAUCCAUGAGGCAAGAGGGAGUGAUAAAAGGUGCCUUACCUGUCAAGCAUCAAGACAACAACAGAUAUAAAAAGAAGAAAAAUUUUAAGAACCAGUCGACGAAUGGAGAAAAUUCAUCAGGCAAUUAUCAGAAGAGCAAAAUAGGAGGUGUCAAGAAAUCCUACCCACCUUGUCACCAUUGUGAGAAGAAAGGUCAUCCACCAUUCAAAUGUUGGAAAAGACCUGACGCCAAAUGCUCCAAAUGCAAUCAACUUGGACAUGAAGCAGUGAUUUGUAAGGUCAAAGGCCAGGUGCAAGAAGUAGAUGCACAGGUAGCUGAUCAAGAAGAAUAAGAUCAAUUGUUCAUGGUUACUUGUUUCUCAGGCAAAGAAUCAAGUGAGAGCUGGUUGAUUGAUAGUGGGUACACAAAUCACAUGACGUAUGACAAGGAGCUCUUCGAGGAAUUAAGAAACACUGAAGUCAAAAGAGUGAGGAUUGGAAAUGGUGAGUACUUGGAAGUCAAGGGAAAAGGCACAGUAGCUAUUACAAGCUAUGAAGGUACAAAAUUCGUUUCAGAUGUUUUGUUUGUACCUAAAAUUGAUCAAAAUCUCUUAAUUGUUGGUCAGUUGCUGGAUAAAAGCUAUAAAGUGCUAUUUGAGAAUAAGCAGUGCUUGAUCAGAGAUGUUAAUGGCAGAGACUUGUUCAAUGUCAAAAUGAAGGGAAAAUUUUUUGCUCUUAAUCCAAUGGAAAAGGAGCAAAUGGCUUUUAAAUCCAGAGUUAGUGCUACUGAGACUUGGCACAAGAGACUUGGGUACUUUCACCAUCGGGGAUUGCUUCAAAUGUAGUCGAAGAAGCUAGUGGAAGGACUUACAGAUAUUGAUGAUGAUCUACCUCAUUGUUGAGCUUGCAAAUUUGGGAAAUAACAUAGACAACCCUUUCCUAAACAAGCCUGGAGAGCCUCGAAGAAGUUACAGCUUGUUCAUACUGAUCUUUGUGGUCCUCAGAGAACGCCUUCGUUAAAUGGUAACCUCUAUUACUUAGCCUUUAUCGAUGAUCUAACAAGAAUAUGUUGGAUUUUUUUGUUGAAGCAAAAAUCAGAAGUUGCUAGUGUGUUCUAGAAAUUUAAAGGUAGAGUUGAGAAUGAAAGUGGAUGCAUGAUUCAGAUUUUAAGAUCUGAUAAUGGCAAGGAGUACACUUCAGAAGCCUUUAAUAGGUUUUGUGAAAAGGCUGGAAUUAAGCAUCAGUUGACGGUGCCAUACACUCCACAACAAAAUGGGGUCAGUGAAAGGAGGAACAGAUUCAUAAUGGAGAUGACUCGAUGUAUGCUUCAUGAGAAGAAUCUUUCCAAAAGCUUUUGGGGAGAAGCUGCAAACACUGCUGUGUUCUUGCAAAAUCGGAUUUCAACAAAAGCUGUGAAGGAUCAGACGCCAUUUGAAGCUUGGUAUGGUUACAAACCUUCUUUAAAGUUUCUUAGAGUGUUUGGCUGCUUGUGUUUCACUUACAUUCCACAGGUCAAGCAUGAUAAGCUUGACAAAAAGGCAAAAGCUGGCAUUUUUGUUGGGUAUAGCACUGUAUCUAAAGCUUACAGAGUCUUUCAACCACACACUGGACGUGUUAUUGUAAGCAGAGAUGUUUAUUUUGUUGAAAAUGAGCAAUGGAAUUGGGAAGACUCGAUCAAGACGAACCAAACUUCUAGUGCACCAAAUUGUUUUACCAUUGGCAGCACGUUAGAAGAGCUUGAAGAUGAAGGGUAAGAUGUUUUGGCUGAUGAUGCACCUGUUAGAGGUACAAGGCUGCUCUCCGACAUUUACCAAAGAUGUAACAUGGCUAUUUGUGAGCCUGCAGGGUAUCAUGAUGCAAAAAAAUAGUCAACAUUGGAUGGCUGCAGUGAAGGACGAGCUUGCGAUGAUCGAGAAAAACAAAAUAGUUGAGGUGCAAAUCAAUUAAUUAUUCCUGUCUUCAAUUAUUUUCUAUCUUAAAACUUCUUGUCUUUUCUUUCUGCUUCAAAUCUCUCGAUCAACCAUUAAAGUUCGAGUUCUAAACACCAACAGAAUUGUUUGCCUUGAGGAAUCUGACCAUGAAGUUGAUUUUCAGAAACACUUAAGGACGAAAGAAAUGCCAGAUCUACCAAUCUAUUUGGAAUUGUCCUAGACAACCUGUUUGAAGAUAGGUCCAGCUAUUCAAGAUUUGUCAAAUUCCCUAUUCAAGUGGGGAUACCACCAUUAAGGUUAUUGUGAGAAAGGUUGAGCCCUUUCAGUAAGUUAAGCUUCCUAGUAACCUUUGGAAUCUCUCCUUCAAACUGAUUGUUUGAUAGAUCAAUGAUCAUCCACAUGGUGAAAAUUUUCACCAAUUCCAUAUAUUGUCCUUCCAUAAUAAUUCCAAUGGAAUAGGCAUAGAAGCCACUAGUAUAAUCUUGCACACCCAUGUAUGGCCUUGCAAUACCUUUUUUCUCUAGAUUUAUGAUAGCCUUGAAGCUGUUGAUGUAUGUCACUGGUAGGGGUCCAGAAAAAUAAUUACUUGAGAGGUCAAAAAUUUGGAUUUUAGAGAAAAAAGGGCUAGACUUGGAGCUAUUGACACGCAAGGAACCAUGCAUAUGAUUUGACUUCAAUACAAGAACUUGCAAAAAUGAAAGACUUCCCAACCAAUGAAGAAAUGUAUCAUUGAUCUUGUUGUUACCAAGAUCCAGCACUUCCAUACCUCUACAAUUAAGGAUGGAUGGUGUCAAAGGCUCUUUUAACAGAUUUCCAUUUAAGUUUAAAUUACUCAAUUGGCAUCCCUUCGCAAAUGUUGGAGGAAUCGUCCCAUAAAACUUGUUCUUCUUCAGAUUCAAGAAUUCAAGGCUGUUGCUCAAAUUUCCAAAACAUUGCGGAAUUGUUACACUCAAGUUAUUGUGGGAGAAAUCAAGAAUUCGAAGAGCACUGGCAUUGCAUAUUAAAGUAGAGACCUCUCCAUUGAAAUUAUUAUUUGAGACAAAAAAGACAUUGAUCGUCGAAGCUGGAAUUAAAAGAUUUCCAACUAUCAAAUUGAAGCUUAAGUCAAGAGUUCCAAUAUUCUUCCAUGGAAAUUGCUCAACUUUUGUCAAAGAGUUGUGAGAUACAUUUAAGUAUCUCAAAGAGUCAUUCCUCACCUCUUGCAUCCACCGUGGAAUCUUGCAUUCAAUUCUAUUGUAAGAAAGGUCUAGACCUCUUAAACUUUUAAGCUCUUUUAGAAAUUGGGGGAAUUCACUAAGAUUGCAAGAUGACAAAGAUAAGUCUGUAAGAUUAGGCAAUAUUAUAUGAUUAACACUAGAUGUACUAUUAGAUGUUAAGGAUAGGCUGUUAUAUGAAAGGUCAAGAAGUUCGAGAUUUGGAAGGUUUGAGAACAUGCUAAACUCUCUGACACCAGUAAGAUUAUUUGAGGAUAAGCUGAGGGAGGUAAGAUUGAGAAGUUGGAAUAUUGAAGAUGGAAGAGGACCUUGGAGUUUAUUAUUUUUUAGAUAUAAAUAUUCUAGUGAUUUGGAUUGGAAUUCUUUGAUAUGCCCACUGAAUUGAUUUUGAGAGAGAUAUAUUGUCUUUAAGGAGGGAGCAAAAUACUACCAUGAUGGAAGUGUUUCAUUGAGUAAAUUGUUUGUUAAGUCUAAAGAUAUUAGAUUAGGAAAAGUGGUUACCUCGUCUGGAAUGGAACCUUCUAAUGAAUUUCCAGCUAUUUUCAAUUAUUCCAGCUGCGUUAGGUUUAGAAUUGACAAUAGAAUUUGUCCACUCAAUUUGUUCCAUCCCAAAUCUAAAUGAGUGAGUUGCAAAAGGUUUCCCAAAGAUCUUGGAAUUGGUCCUGAUAAGUUGGAAUGGGAGAGAUCCAAAAACUUCAAGGAUACAAGAUUCCCUAUCGAGCAGGCAAUCCUCCAAAAAAAUAUGCAUCUGAAAUAAUCAAGUCCUCCAAAGAUGAUCAAAUUGUGAUUGAGACUGUUAAGAAAUGGCUUAAAAUUGGUAGUGGAUUGUUGUUGUUGGUAGUGGGUUGUUGGUGGUAGUGGAUUAGUGGAUGGUUGUUGGUGUCCAUUUUCAACCACAAAUCUUUGCCAAAGUUUUGGACAAUUAUGUCCUUGAACUCUCUUAUAAAUAGAGAGGUUCAUUAGCCAUAUUCAUCAUCCCAAACCAAGAGAGAGCAAAGCUUGUUCUUUGAAAGCUAGGAUUUUAGCUUUCGGGUUUUCUAUAGGGGUUGAGAGUUGUGAGGUUCUCGGGUUGUGUCUUGAGUGUAAAACACUUGUAAUCUUCAUCUUGUUAUAGUGAAAUUUCUUUUCGCCUCUGCCCGUGGACGUAGGCAUUAAAGCCGAACCACGUAAAUCCUUGUGUUCACUUUAUUUUUCGUUUCGGUCAAUUUACUUGUAGUCAUAUCGGAGUUCUCGAAUCGAUCCUUUCCGCAACAAAUUGGUAUCAGAGCGUAGUUGAAGGAGUGAUAAUAUUUUCUGAAUUGCCCUGUGACUGCAGCUUUGUCUGAUCUUUCACAUCAGGAAGAAAAUAUUAUCAUUCAUUCAAAGGUUCCAAAUUAUGGCUACAAGUGUUUCAUCGACUAAGUAUGAUGUCGAGAAAUUUACCGGGAAAAAUAGUUUCAGUUUAUGGCGCAUCAAGAUGCGGGCAGUGCUGGUUCAACAAGGAUUGCUAAAAGCAUUGUCUGGUAAAGAUAAAUUACCAAGCACGCUUUCGGAAGAGCAAAAGGAUGACAUGCUAGAAAGAGCACAUAGUGCUAUUCUGCUAUGUCUAGGAGAUGAAGUGCUACGAGAAGUAGCGGAUGAGAAAACCGCGUCCGGUUUGUGGCUCCGGUUAGAGAGCAAGUACAUGACGAAGUCAUUGACGAACCGGCUCUACCUCAAGCAAAGACUCUAUGCCCUGAAGAUGGAGGAAGGUACACCUGUUUCCCAGCACCUGGAUAAAUUCAAUUCCAUUAUCAUGGAUUUGAAUAAUAUCGAUAACAAAAUCGAUGAUGAGGACCAAGCAAUAAUUGUUUUGUGUUCUUUGCCUCCCUCGUAUGAGAAUUUUGUUGAUACAAUGAUGUACGGUCGUGAUGACCUGACUCUAGAGGAGGUGAAAAAUGCCUUAAGUUCCAGUGAGUUGAGGAAGAAAAUCACUGGUAAGGUGGUCGAAAACAAUGAAGGCGAAGGCUUGGUUGCUCGAGGAAGAUCCAAGGCAAAGGGUGGAAGUUCAAGUAAAAGCCAUCCUAGAUCGCAGUCCAAGAAGAGAAUACAGUGCUACUACUGUAAGAAGUACGGGCACAUGAAGGUAGAUUGUCCGAAAAGGAAGGAGAAAUCAGAAUCACAGGAGCAACAAAAUGAUCGUGCGAAUGUAGCUGAUGCAGAUUCUUCAAGUGAUGCCGAGAUCGUUCUUGCAGUAUCCGACUCUUACGCUGGUGGGAGAUGGAUUCUUGAUACGGGAGCUACAUUUCAUAUAAGUACUUCGAAAGAUGCAUUCUCAACAUACGAGAAGCAUUCUGGUUCAGUACUAAUGGGAAAUGACCACGCAUGUCAAGUCAUGGGGAUUGGCACAGUUCGUAUAAAGAUGUUUGACGGUAUUGUUAGAACUCUAACUGAUGUUCGGCACAUUCCAGAAAUGAAGAAAAAUUUGAUCUCUUUGAGUACGUUGGACAAGAAAGGCUUUCGGUACUCUGCUGAAGGUGGAGUUCUCAAGGUAUUCUCGGGUGCUUUGACUGUGAUACGUGGUAAUUUGGAGCGGGGCCUUUACUUCCUCGAUGGUUCCUCGGUUACAGGUGUUGCGGGAGUGUCAUCAUCAGAUGAUCUAGAUUCUGACACCACGAAGUUAUGGCAUAUGCGGCUCGGGCAUAUGAGCGAGAGAGGCUUAUCGGUGCUAAGCAAACGAGGAUUAUUGUCUGGGCAGUGUACAGGAAAGUUGAAUUUCUGUGAGCACUGCGUCUUCGGUAAGCAGACUCGGGUAAAGUUCAGCACUGGGAUUCACAAGACAAAAGGCACAGUGGAUUACUUCCAUUCUGACCUUUGGGGGCCUUCUCCGACAAUUUCUAAAGGUGGUUACAGAUAUCUGCUUACCUUUAUCGAUGAUUACUCGAGAAAGGUUUGGGUGUAUUUUCUGAAGAGCAAGUAUGAGGUUCUCAUCAACUUCAAGCAAUUUAAAGCUUUGAUCGAAAAUCAAACAGGAAAGAAGAUCAAGCGAUUCCGGACGGAUAAUGGCUUGGAGUUUUGCUCAGGUGAAUUCAAUGAGUUCUGCAAAAAUGAAGGAAUAGUGAGACACCGCACUGUUCGUCGAACACCACAACAAAAUGGAGUUGCAGAACGCAUGAAUAGAACUCUCUUGGAGCGAGCUCGUUGCAUGCGAUCAAAUGCUGGGCUCGGUGAAGAAUUUUGGGCUGAAGCUGUUAAUACUGCUUGUUAUUUGGUUAACAGAUCUCCGUCAACAGCUAUUGAGCUGAAGACUCCUGAGGAAGUAUGGUCUGGUUCUCCUGCUGAUUACUCUGGUUUAAGAGUGUUUGGCUGCCCUGCGUAUGCUCAUGUAAAUGAGGGAAAACUCAAACCGAGGGCGAAGAAAUGCAUAUUUCUUGGAUACGGCCAAGGGGUGAAAGGAUACAGGUUGUGGUGUCCUGAUCCGGUUUCGUCCAAGUUCAUCAUCAGCAGAGAUGUGACUUUUGAUGAGUCAUCCAUGCUUCGAUCCACCACAAAUUCCCGGGAAAAGGAGGAGUCAGAUAGAAUGGGAGAUCACGGUGUUGAGAAGCAGGUGGAGUGUCAGGUGGACGCUCCAAUUCCUACGGAAGGUACUUCAGUCCAGGAUGAUCAAGUUGAGGUGCAAGAUUCCGAUGAAGAUGAGUCACCUCAAGAAAAACCAUAUAGCAUUGCCACUGGAAGAACGAAGAGACAAAUCAAACCAAAUCCGCGUUACGCUAAUCUGGUGUCUUUCGCGCUCAGUGUGGCGGAGUCCAUUGGUAUAGAACCUUCCAGUUAUAAUGAGGCUGUCACGUGUGAUGAGUCGGCACAGUGGGCAAUUGCUAUGAGUGAGGAGAUAGAAUCUCUUCACAAGAACCAUACUUGGGAGUUGGUUAAGCCGCCAAGUAACCAGAAGAUAGUUGGUUGCAAAUGGGUCUUCAAGAAAAAGGAAGGCAUCCUAGGGGUUGAAGCAACUAGAUUCAAGGCACGAUUGGUUGCUAAAGGCUUCACUCAGAAAGAGGGGAUUGACUACAAUGAAGUUUUCUCCCCAGUCGUAAAGCAUUCUUCCAUUCGUGUAUUACUUGCCAUGGUGGCCAAGUCUGAUCUAGAACUUGAGCAGCUUGACGUAAAAACGGCGUUCUUGCAUGGUGAGCUCGAGGAAACAAUCUACAUGCGUCAACCAGAGGGUUUUACAGUUCCUGGUAAAGAAGACCAUGUCUGUCUAUUAAAGAAGUCUUUAUAUGGAUUGAAACAAUCCCCAAGGCAGUGGUACAAGCGGUUUGAUAGCUUCAUGAUUCAGCAUGGUUACACAAGAUGUGACUAUGAUGCUUGUGUCUAUCAUCGGAAGCUCUCAGAUGGUUCGCACAUUUAUUUGUUGCUGUAUGUUGAUGACAUGUUAAUUGCUUCCAAAAACAUGUCGGAAAUCAACAAGUUAAAGUCGCAGUUGAGUGGUGAGUUCGAGAUGAAGGAUCUGGGUGCUGCCAAGAAAAUUUUGGGCAUGGAUAUUCACAGAGAUCGCAAGGCGGGCAAGCUUCGUGUGUCGCAGAAGAACUACAUUGAAAAGGUUCUUCAACGCUUUGGCAUGGAUAAAGCGAAAACUGUGAGUACUCCGUUGGCACCACAUUUCAAACUCUCUGCAGAGUUGUCACCACAAUCUGAUGAAGAAAAGCAGCAAAUGUCUCACAUUCCAUACUCGAGUGCAGUUGGAAGCGUGAUGUAUGCAAUGGUUUGCACUCGUCCAGACAUUUCACAUGCAGUUAGUGUGGUCAGCAGAUACAUGAGUUGUCCUGGCAAGGAACACUGGCAGGCCGUGAAAUGGAUUCUCAGGUACUUGAGAGGUUCUGCAGAUUUAUGCUUGGUAUAUGAUCAGAGUGACUGCACUAGCAGUGUCACGGGCUAUGUGGACUCUGAUUAUGCUGGAGAUCUGGACAAAAGAAGAUCUCUGACGGGUUAUGUUUUCACUUAUUCUGGAGGAGCCAUUAGUUGGAAAGCUGUGUUACAGUCUACCGUAGCCUUAUCUACGACUGAGGCGGAAUAUAUGGCGUUAGCAGAAGCAGUGAAAGAAGCAUUGUGGAUGAAAGGUCUAGUAAGCAGUUUGGGUUUACAACAGGAUUUCACUGUUGUAUUUUGCGAUAGCCAGAGUGCCAUACAUCUGACUAAAAAUCAGAUGUUUCAUGAACGGACCAAACACAUUGAUGUCAGAUAUCAUUUUGUUCGGGAACAUGUUACGCAAGGUGACAUUGUUAUCAGCAAGGUUGCUACCGAGAAGAAUCCUGCAGAUAUGUUAACUAAGGUGAUCCCUGCAUAUAAGUUCAAGCAUUGCUUGGACUUGAUAGGUAUUCGGGAUUGAUUAGCGCCAGAGAGGCGUUUGGAAGAGGUGAUCCAGUUCGAGGAAUUCACUAUGAUGUUCAGCUUGGUAAAUUUCAAGCCAAGGUGGAGAUUUGUUAAGAAAUGGCUUAAAAUUGGUAGUGGAUUGUUGUUGUUGGUAGUGGGUUGUUGGUGGUAGUGGAUUAGUGGAUGGUUGUUGGUGUCCAUUUUCAACCACAAAUCUUUGCCAAAGUUUUGGACAAUUAUGUCCUUGAACUCUCUUAUAAAUAGAGAGGUUCAUUAGCCAUAUUCAUCAUCCCAAACCAAGAGAGAGCAAAGCUUGUUCUUUGAAAGCUAGGAUUUUAGCUUUCGGGUUUUCUAUAGGGGUUGAGAGUUGUGAGGUUCUCGGGUUGUGUCUUGAGUGUAAAACACUUGUAAUCUUCAUCUUGUUAUAGUGAAAUUUCUUUUCGCCUCUGCCCGUGGACGUAGGCAUUAAAGCCGAACCACGUAAAUCCUUGUGUUCACUUUAUUUUUCGUUUCGGUCAAUUUACUUGUAGUCAUAUCGGAGUUCUCGAAUCGAUCCUUUCCGCAACAGAGACAAACAAUCCUUGAAAGAAAGAACUUCCUGAUAGACCUAAGUACUUUAAGGCCUAGAUUAUCAAUUGAAUUAAUCCAUUCUGUAGAGAAGGACAUCCUCGACAGAUCUAAAUGUUCAAGAUUGCUGCCCCGGUCGAACUUCAAAAGAUCAAGAUUGAGGUUUCGGUUGCCUCGCAAGUUGAGCAAAUUGAGGUUUGGGAAAUCAAAAAUGUUUUUUGGGAAUUUUCCUUGCAAAUCACAACUAUCAAGACUGAGAGACCUUAGAGAAGAUGAUAGAUUCAUGAAGACAUGAGGAUUAAUAGAAAACAUGUCGAUUCCAUCCAAGAAAAGAUGUCUUAGCUCGGUUAGGUUGUGAACAAGUCCCUCCAGAGCAUAUUUGUCAAUUGUUAAUUGUUCAUCAAUCCAAGAGAGAUCAAGCGAGACCAAUUUUGACAGGUGGGAGACCUGCGAUGGGACUACUCCUACAAACCCUGUAUGAGAAAGGUUGAGGUAGUGUAGGCCUGUAAAUCGACCAAACUCAGAUGGAAUUUUGGAAUGAUUAAAAUUAUUGAAGGCAAGAUUGAGUUUUUGAAGGUGAGGAAGAAGGAAGAGACUGGUAUUGGAAGGGAAGUUGCCAAAAAGCCAACUGCAGCUCAAGUCAAGGGUGUUGGAAUUUUCGAUUAACAGCAAGGAACAAAACAAAGUUUUUUGUGUUUGAAAAAUGAAAAACAGAAGCAAAAACAAAAGCUUGAUGAUGAAGAGCAAAACUUAACUUCAUUACUUAAAAUUGAGUAAAAACAAAUACAUAAGUAGUUCAAAAAUUACAUUGAAAGAAAACAAAGCUUGCUUGUGCAAGUAUCUAAGCUAUUACAUCAGCUUAAUGACAACCUAAGUCACUACCAAAUCAGCUAAGCACACAAUUAAACCUUAGCUGAUCAAAUAAAAAUGAUUACAACAUAAGCUAGCAAAAAGUCAACUGUGCAAAAACUCUACAGUCGAAUUACACCAUGGAUAUUAGCAUGCUUCAGCUGUGUUCCUGGUUACUUGCAUGCUGCAGCUCUGUUGCAUGGUUUCUUGCAUGUUGCUGCUGUGUUGCCACCUUUGAACAAAGGGCAAUAACAUGAGCAUUAAGGUGAUCACAACUGACCCCAUCCCAUGAGCAGCAAUCUGUACCCUCCUUCCAUGAAUUUGUCUUGGGAUAAGAUUUAAGGCCAGCAAUCUCAUCGCAAUACAAAGCAGGAAGCAUUGUCUGAGUGAUGGAAAAAGAAUUCUUUAACUGGAUAGGGAAGCAGCUUCAGGGUGAGAGCAGGAGUGAGAUCCUGAAGAAGAAGCAUAAAGAUGGGGAAAGAAGAGAAAUAGGCAGAGAAAGAGUAUAAGGAGGCCAUGUUAUGUUUUUAGAGUAAGAUGAUGGAGAAUGAUAUUUAUAGGCAACAACAACAGCAGUUGAAAAGUGAAACAAAUUAUAAUAUCCAAUACUAAACAAAAGAUUUGUUUAAAUAAUUUUAGAUGUAUAUUUUCAUAUUUUAAAUAAUUUAUUUAUCAUUUAAAUAGUAAUCUGUGAUUUUAUAAUAGAAUAUGCGUUAAAGGAUUCUGGAAAGUUAAGGAUCUGCACGCACACAGACAUGUUGUGAAGAUUAGGUGAAAUACUAGCUGUCCGGUUGUCUUUUUAUGUGUUUUUGACCUUCAUUUAAAUAUAAAAAAUGUCUUUGUUUUUCUGUUGGUAAUGAACAGGAGCCAAAUGUUGAAGGGGCUGGAACUUGUCUUGUAUUGCUUGCCUGCAGAUUUUGGUAUGUUUGAAAUGUAUGGAAAUGUGCCAAGUGGAACUAUUUUGGGGCUUAUCACUACCUCUGUCACACAACAGAACACAAAAUAAAAUAAUCAAAUCAGAUCUUUGAAUAUUGAAAUACCAAAAGUUAAAAGAGUACAUGCACUAAAAUACAGUAGAAUAAAAUAGAAAUAUUUUUUUUUAGAUUGUAAAUAAGUAUAUAUUAUUGUUGUAAAAUAUAGUCGAAAAUAUUUUUUUGAUAAAAUUGGAAUAAACACAUUGUGGAUGAAAAUUUUUAAUACAAUACAAAUUGAUCAUUAACAAAUUAAAUGACGAUUUACAUGAGAAAAAUUUAAAAUAAAAAAAAUAUCGGUGUUGUUUGCCCAAAUGUGUGCCACAACCCAGUGGGUGUUAGUUACGAGUAGGAUUUCAUCGUAGUUAGGGUUCUAGCUCUUUCUUUUCUUCACCUCCACCUCCAAUUGAUCUCCAUCUUCAUUUCGUUCCUUCGUGCUAGUAUGGAUUAAAUUCUUGCAAUACAGGGGAGAGAAACCUAGUUUUCCCGUAAGCUUAUUAUCAAAAAAGUUGAACAAUUUCAAGUUCCAGCAAAUGGAAAGGGGCUUAGCGAUCUUACUCACACUAGACUUAGCACCUAGGUGGUUUGGCUAAUAGUGGGCUAAGAAAUCUUGAAUGGCGAUAUGAGUUGGGGUUUCCGAGGAAUACAAAUAACCUCUGGAUUUUUUUUUCCAAAUUUGACGAGCAUCUAGAAUAACUAGUGAAUUACAAUUCUAUUGUACGACAAUUGGUGCAUUGGUCUUUGCGGACUUAAUGUGUUUUGCUUGUUGGUUCUAUUAUCACAAAGCGAACCCAAAAUUGGCUUGGUUCCAAGAUGUAGAAUUUAUGUUAGAAUCACCAUUUAGCAAGGUUACCGGGGCUUAUUUCCCUUUCUUGGGCAGGGCAUCAAGUACAUGUCUCUUUACCAAUAAAAUAAUUUUUAAAUGCUUUAGUAGACUCUAAAGAGAUCCCACUUCCCCAUGAAUUUAUAUUGAAUCAUGAUCUUUUGGCUCAACUUUAUCCUAGUUUUGAUGAGGGAACAACCCCAUUUUUUUCCUUGAAUUGGUCAAAAUAUGCAAAAUUAUUUCUUACUUUUCGUGGAUGAUUAAAUCCAAUGAUUGGGGGUCCAUGGUUGACUGGUAUUGCACACCAUCAUUUAGCUAUUACAAUUCUUUUCCUAAUAGUACGUCACAUGUAUAAGACCAAUUGGGGCAAUGGGCAUAGCCUAAAAGAUAUUUUAGAGGCUCAUAAAAGUCCAUUCAUAGGCCAAGGACAUAAAGAACUAUAUGAAAUCGUAACAACACCAUGGCAUGCUCAAUGAUCUCUUAACUUAGUUAUGUUAGGCUCUUUAACCAUUGUUGUAGCUCACCUUACGUAUUCCAUGCCCCCUUAUCCAUAUCUAACUAUUGACUACGGUACACAACUAUCAUUGUUCACACAUCACAUGUGGAUUGGUGGAUUUCUGAUAAUGGGUGUUGUAUGGUAAAAAUUAGUUGUAUUCAUUCUUCACAUAGUUGAUCUUUUGUUGUGGAAGUAUUGUAUUUCUGGUAAUCCAAUAAGUAUUCAGUUUUUGGUACAAUUGAUUUGCAUUUUAUUAUUGUAUUUUGUGGAAGGAUCCUUUUUCUAUUUUGUUUUUUGCAUUUCUGUUAAGUUUACAUUUUUCAGCAAUUAAUUUAUGUAGUUUUAGCCAAACUAUGUAGCGUUUCACUUUUGGUAAAAUUCCAUCCUUGGUCCCUUUAAACUCCUUUUUGCUUUAAUUUGAUUGCUUUCUAGCUUUGCAAAUUACAUAACACUCUUCAAAUGUCUAAUUAAAUUCUCACUUUUACGAGUGCUAUGUUAAUCAAUUUUAAGUUCCAUAUAACACUUACAUGGCUACAAAAUGUGUGUGUGUGUGUGUAAGUGUCCUCAACCACAAACAAUCCAAAUUUGCUGAGAAACCACCCACUGUACAUAGGUUUGCCAAUGAGAUGGCAAGCAGACUGCUAGCUAGAAAUUCAUGCAUCUUUGAAUCAUCAAUUCAAUUAAUAAGCUUAACUAGAGGAAAUAAGGACUUUACACCACCAAUUAAAGCAACCUAUAUGUACCCUUUUACAGUCUGCAUUGUUCCAUGUUUCCAUUCAUUACAUCAUUCCUUCAACUCUGCUAUAUAUUAUUACCGUCUCCAUAUAACCAAACCUUUUACUGCUAACUUGUAAAGAAAUUAUGAAAAUACAACAGAUAUGAUUGAGACAUUUUGUUCUCCUUUCUCCUUUACUGAGCAGUAGCAAAGAUUAUGGAGACUAAAUUGAAAAUCAUGAAAGAAGACAUAAACAACACCACCAUACAAAAUGUUCCACUCAAACAAACCAUUACAGAUAGUACGAAAUCCAAUGAAAGACAGAGGAAUUGGUACAAUAAUAAAGACAGACACAUACCAAUGCAACCCUUCACCAUAGGCAAAACGGUCUACAGAACAAGAAAUUAUGAAAAUACAACACUAAUUCUUAAACAUCAUUUGCAGUAAUUAGAUCCUUCUUCGUCUAUUGCUUCGAUUGCCUUUCUUUGACUUUCUUCUUCGCCUCUUCUCUUGUUGGUUUUCAACCAAAUUCACCAACCAUUUCGGCUUACCAGUUUGGAAAACAACAUAUCCCACGGACAUUCCGAACACCACUCCGCAUCCAUAGCCUAUCAACACCACUUUCCAACCAAAAGCGAUGUUUGAUUUUGAGCCAUCAUUUUCAAGCACAUUUGGAGGUGCUGGCUCAAUGAUGUUGCAACCUUUCGAGACCGGAAAUCCACAUAGUCCCUUAUUUCCAUCAUAUGAAUCAUUUCCAAAUGUGUUGAACUGUUUGCCUUGAGGAAUCUGACCAUGGAGUUGAUUUUCAGAAACAUUGAAGGACGAAAGAAAUGGCAGAUCUGCCAAUCUAUUUGGAAUCGUCCCAGACAACCUGUUUGAAGAUAGGUCCAGCCAUUCAAGACUUGUCAAAUUCCCUAUUGAGGUGGGGAUACCUCCAUUAAGGUUAUUAUGAGAAAGGUUGAGCCCUUUCAGUAAGUUAAGCUUCCCAAAAACCUCUGGAAUACCCCCUUCAAACUGAUUGUCUGAUAGAUCAAUGAUCAUCCACAUGGUGAAAAUUUUCACCAAUUCCAUAUAUUGCCCUUUCAUAACAAUUCCAAUGGAAUAGGUAUAGAAGCCACUACCUCUCUGAACAUACACCCCCAUGUACGACAUUGUACUCCCAAUCUUCUCUAGAUUUAUCAUAGCCUUGAAGCUGUUGAUGUAUCUCACUGGUAGGGCUCCAGAAAAAUGAUUACUUGAGAGGUCAAAAAUUUGGAUUUUAGAGAAAAAAGGGUUAGACUUGGAGCUAUUGACACGCAAGGAACCAUGCAUAUGAUUUGACUUCAAUACAAGAACUUGCAAAAAUGGAAGACUGCCCAACCAAUGAGGAAAUGUAUCAUUGAUCUUGUUGUUACCAAGAUCUAGCACUUCCAGACCUCUACAAUUAAGGAUGGAUGGUAUCAAUGGCCCUUCUAACAGAUUUCCAUUUAAGUUGAAAUUAGUCAAUCGGCAUCCCAGUGCAAAUUUUGGAGGAAUCGUCCCAUAGAACUUGUUCUUCUUCAGAUUCAAGAAUUCAAGGCUGUUGCUCAAAUUUCCAAAACAUCGCGGAAUUGUUCCACUCAAGUUAUUGUGGGACAAAUCAAGAACUCGAAGAGAAGUGGCAUUGCAGAUUAAAGAAGAGACCUCUCCAUUGAAACUAUUAUUUGAGAUCAAAAAGAAAUUGAUGGUCGAAGCUGGAAUCGGAAGAUUUCCGCUGAUCAAAUUGGAGCUUAAGUCAAGAACUUCAAUAUUCUUCCAUAGAAAGUGCUCAACUUCUGUCAAAGAGUUGUGAGAUACGUUUAAGUAAGUCAAAGAGCCAUUCCCCACCUCUUGCAUCCACUGUGGAAUCUUGCCUUCAAUUUUGUUGCAAGAGAGGUCUAAGCUUUCCAAACUUUUAAGCCCUUUUAAAAAUUGGGGGAAUUCACUAAGAUUGCAAGAUGACAAAAGUAAGUCUGUAACAUUAGGCAAUAUAUGAUUAACACUAGAUGUAGUAUUAGAUGUUAAGGAUAGGCUGUUAUAUGAAAGGUCGAGAUGUUUUAGAUUUGGAAGGUUUGAGAACAUGCGAAACUCUAUGACACCACUAAGAUUAUUUGAGGAUAAAAGGAGCCAGGUAAGAUUGAGAAGUUGGAAUAUUGAAGAUGGAAGGGGACCUUGGAGUUUAUUAUUUUCUAGAUCUAAAUAUUCUAGUGAUUUGGUUUGGAAUUCUUUGAUAUGCCCACUGAAUUGAUUUUGAGAGAGAAUUAUACCCUUUAAGGAGGGAGCAGUAUACAACCAUGACGGAAGUGUUCCAUUGAGUAAAUUGUCAUAUAAGACUAAAUAUAUUAGAUUCGGAACAGCGGUUACCUCAUCUGGAAUAGAACCUUCUAAAGAAUUUUCAGAUAUUUCCAAGUAUUCCAACUGCGUUAGGUUUAGAAUUGACAAUGGAAUUUGUCCACUCAAUUUAUUUGAUCCCAAGUCUAAAUGAGUGAGUUGCAAGAGGUUUCCAAGUGAUCUUGGAACCGGUCCUGAUAAGUUGGAAUAGGAGAGAUCUAAAAACUUCAAGGACACAAGAUUCCCCAUCGAGUCAGGCAAUCCUCCAAAAAAAUUUGCGCCUCUAAGAAUCAAGUACUCCAAAGAUGAUAAAUUUGUGAUUGAGACAGACAAUCCUUGAAAGAAAGAAAUUCCUGAUAGAUCUAAGUACUUUAAGGCCCGUAGAUUAUCAACCGAAUCAAUGAAUUCUGUAGAGAAGGACAUCCUCGACAGAUCCAAAUGUUCGAGAUUGCUGCUCCGGUUCAACUUCAAAGGAUCAAGAUUGAGGUUUUGGUUGCCUCCCAAGUUGAGGAGAUUGAGGUUUGGCAAAUCAAAAAUGUUUUUUGGGAAUUUUCCUUGCAAAUCACAACCAGCAAGACUGAGAGACCUUAGAGAAGAGGAUAGAUUCAUGAAGACAUGAGCAUUAACAUAAGACAUGUCCAUUCCACCCAAAAAUAGAUGUCUGACAUCGGUUAGGUUGUGAACAAGUCCCUCCAGAGCAUGUUUGUCAAUUGUUUGUUCACCAAACACAGAGGAGGAGAGAUCAAGUGAAACCAAUUUUGACAGGUGGGAGACUUGGGAUGGGACUUCUCCUGCAAACCCUGUAUAAGAAAGGUUGAGGUAGAAUAGGCUAGUAAACCGACCGAACUCGGAUGGAAUUUUGGAAAGAUUAAAAUCAUUGUAGGCAAGGUUGAGUUUUUGAAGGUGAGGAAGAAGGAAGAGAGUGGUAUUGGAAGGGAAGUUGCCAUAUAGCCAACUGCAGCUCAAGUCAAGGGCAAUAACAUGAGCAUUUAGGUGGUCACAAGUGACCCCAUCCCAUGAGCAGCAAUCUGUACCCUCCUUCCAUGAAUUUGUCUUGGGAUAAGAUUUAAGGCCAGCAUAAUCAUUGCAAUAAGAAGAAACAUCCUCUGUUACGGAAAAAGAGUCCUUAAACUGGAUUAGGGAAGAGCAGGAGUGAGAUCCUGAAGAAGAAAAAGAAGCAUAAAGAUGGGGAAAGAAGAGGAAUAGGCAGAGAAAGAGAUAGGGGGCCAUGUUAUGUUUGUAGAGAAAGAAGAAGGAUAGGAAUGGUAUUUGUAGGCAACAAAUAGUACCACAACAUUGGUGUUACAGUAUUUUUUUUUUCUUUUACAUUGAAAAGCUAUGGAUAUUAGAUUUUCAAAAAUUUUGUAUUUUUCACCAUCAUCAACAACCACUUAGUCUUCUUUUUACCAUAUAUUUUUCAUUCUAUUUUUUUAACAAAAUCUUGUAUUUCAUUUCAGCUUUCAAAACAACUAAAAAAUUUAAAAUUGAUGAAAUUACAAAGUAGAUUGACUUAGUCUUCUUUCCUAUAACAUUUAAAAGAAUAUCUUGUCAACCAAAGUUAAUUAAUGUGAAAAUUCUUUUUCACACAAAAGAACAAAAUUGUGCUCUAUUCACUAAGUUAGAGGAAAAAGACUGCUAGAUUUUUUAAUUAUUUUUUCUUUGAAAAAUUUGAAAGUUUUUUACUGCCUUUAAGCCAAUAAAAAAAACAUGUAUUAAUUUUGUUUUUAAAAAUAGUGUGUUUGAUUGUGAAAUGAUUCAUCAUCCUCCACCACAAACUAUCCAUAUUUGCAGUGUGAAAGCAGCUACUUUCAUAAAGAAAUUACUUAGGAGAUGGGAUCCACCAAUUUUACCUAAACUCGCAUCAACAUUGUUUAGCAAUUUCAAAAUAGACUAAUUAGUCUGGUUCAAAUACCAAGACUACAAUAUCUAUUCACUUCACUUGGUCUUGCUUCCUAUCGCUGUCAGCCAAACUUGAUCGACUAGCAGUAAGGAAAUUUCAGUCAUUUGCAGCAUAAUGUACAAGAAUUCCACUCCCGCAAAAUAAUUUACAAUAUGGACUAACACACUAAAAAUGAUUUUUAAAAAAUGAUUUUUAGAAAGUAAUUUUUGAAAAAUGGUUAGAAGAUAAUUUUUGUUUCUGAAAUAGUUAAUUUUUUUUGGUGUUUAGAUAAAUUUUGUUAUGUUUUCAUUGUUUACUUGAGUUUAUUUCAUAAAGCUUAUGUAUAUAUUUUAAUUAAUCAUGUUUUAGUUUUAAUUAAUCUUAAUUUACUUAAUUAAGCUUAAUUGUUAACUUCGUACAUUAGAAUAUAAAUUUAUGUUUAAUUAAGUUGAAAGUGAUAAAUAUUUAUUUUGAAUAUUAUUUGGAUAAGUUGAAAAAUGAUUUAAUUUGAUAAAAUUGAAGUCAGGGUCAUAGAACUAUGCUUUUUACUGACAAAAUCUUAGAUGCAGUGAUUAUUGAGACUAAAAAAUGAAAGUCAUGAAAGAAGACAUAAAUAGUUGAACCAUACAAAAUGUUACAUUUUGUAAUGCAAUGAAAUAUAGAUGAAUUGUUACAAAUAUAAAGACAGAUGCAUUGCAAUGCAACCUUUCUCCAUAGGAAAAAAAAUUUGACAGACUUCAAAACAAGAAAUUAUGAAGAUACAACAUACACACUUGAACAUCAUUUCCACUAACUAGAUCCUUCUUCGUCCAUUGCUGCGACUGCCAUCCUUUGACUUUCUUCUUCGCUACUUCUCAUGUUGGAUUCAACCAAAUUCACCAACCAUUUUGGCUUACUAAUUUGGAAAACAACAUAUCCCACGACCAUUCCAAACACUACUCCGCAUCCAUAACCUAUCAACACCAAUUUCCAACCAAAAGAGAUGUUUGAUUUUGAACCAUCUUUUCCAAGCACAUUUGGAGGUGGUGGCUCAAUGAUGUUGCAACCUUUUGAGACCGGAAAUCCACAUAAUCCCUUGUUUCCUUCAUAUGAAUCAUUUCCAUAUGUGUUGAACUGUUUGCCUUGAGGAAUCUGACCAUGGAGUUGAUUUUCAGAAACAUUGAAGGACGAAAGAAAUGCCAGAUCUGCAAAUCUAUUUCGAAUUGUCCCUGACAACCUGUUUGAAUAUAGGUCCAACCAUUCAAGACUCGUCAAAUUCCCUAUUGAAGUGGGGAUACCACCGUUAUAAACACUGUCAUAUGGCAUGAAUAACAUACUCAUAUAUUUACUGUCACAUGGCAUGAAAAACACACCCUCAUAUUCACUUUCACAUUAGUCAUCAUAAGCUUAUAACAUAUGUCAUAGCAAUCUCAUAUAUAUUCAUAAUUUCACAAUUUCACAAGCGUACAUAUAUCACAUUUAAUCAUAUGCGCGAGAAAACUUACUCUCACUUACUCUUGGAAUUUAGAGUAGGAAUUUAGGCUACCACUAAAUUCUCAUCAAUUAAACAAUGAAUCAUCUACGAGCAACAAUUUCAAACCACAAUGAAUCGAGAGCUCAAACUAGCUCUUCCUCUAACUCGUAGAAGGCUUUAAUGAAUCCGAGGCUUCACACAUGACAAUCACACAAUACUCACAGUCAAAUGACAGCCAAGGACCCACUUAAACUAACCAAAAUAAAAGCCUAAGCUACCUUCUAAUGUAACCAAACCCUUUAGCAUGACGAACUUAAAAUGCAAAUAUAUCAAUCUACACUUAAACAUUUUCACAUGAAACAAGUUUCAGUCAUCCCCCAUAUUCAUUUAUAGCUAAACUCCAAUCUUUAAACCACACAAAACUACAAGUUUCAAGGUAUAACAUUUUUCCACAAAUUUUGACCAUAAUAAUGAAAAUUCAUUAAAACACGGGAAAUCUAUAAUGAAACUUAGAAGUAAUUUUAAAAAACUUCUAAUUAAGUUAAAACAAGUUGAAAAACACUUUUAAAUCACUUUUUCAUCCACAAUCUCGAAUUCCACCAUUAAUGACCCAAUUUUUAGGUUUAAAUUAAAACAUGCAAUUUCAUAACUAAAAUCUCAAUUUUAAAGUCUAGAUAACAUUAAAAACUAAUGAGAAAGUAAAUGGUUACCUUUGAUGAAAGAUUAAACGAGUUUUGAAGUAAAUUUGAAAAACCCACAAUUGAAGAAGAAGAUGAAAUCUAUGGCGUUUUUGAGUGUUUUUCUUGGAAUUAUAAGAAAUCAAAGUACUAUUGUUUGGGAAUAAAAAUUAAUUGAAAGAUCAAGGGAAUAGCAAAGGACGGCAAUAGCAAACUUUGGAGAGUAACUAUUGUGAAAUAGAACAGGGAAUGGGGUUUAUUAGGUUCAAUUUAAAACAUUGGUAAAACUUCAAUCUAAGUGCUCACUAUUUUAACUUUGUUACAAAUUAGUUCUUUUUCUAAAUUUUAGGUAUUUAAAACUCAUUUUCAGAAAUCGGCUCAAUUCCCUAAUAGCCAUUGUCGAAAACAUUAUUGAAUACUAACCUUACGAAAUUUUGAUUACAUAUAGGCUAAAAUUCCUAAAAAAAAAUUGAAACUCUUAGAUCCUAUUUUGGGGUGUUCACGUAUGGUCAUGAUUCAUGUUGAAUUAAUACAUCAUUCACCGUAAUAAGGCUUAUCGUUGUAAUAAUUAGUUAAAUCACCUAAUAUCUAAAAAAUUAUUAUUAUUUUCAUAAAAUCAUUGAUCAAAUUAUUGUUUUCAAAUUUCAUACAUAAAAUUAACAAAUAAAGAUAGCUCUAAAUAGCAAAACCCAAUAUGUGUAACAAGUAUUUUUAUUAAUCCAUUUGGAAUGUUAAGGUUUGCUGGAGCAAAUAAAUUGAUUAAUGCUUUGAACUUUCCAAACACUUUUUAUAGUUUUGUUAUAUGCAUUUUGUAUAAUUAGUAUAUUUGAAUAUAUUAGAUACAUCGUCUAAAACAAUGCCAAUUGUAAUUUUUUUAUAUUUUGUUGAUCAUAAGCGUAUUAUAUAAAUAAUUUAAAAAAAAAAAGAUGGAGUGAUACAUUUAUGUAGUGCUUAUGAAUAUAAUGUUGGAUUAAAAUCCUUAAUUAUGAGUACAUAUGUAUAUGCUUGAUAUUACAAUUAUCUUAAUAAUUUUGUUUCUGUUCUUGUUGAUUGAUGAUUAUAGAAAUCAUUAUUCUUCUGAAGGCAUACUUUGUUGUCAAUGACAGUACCUGCACCCUAAAAAAGUCACCAGCUUUAACGACUACAAAAGUUGUCCUGCCUGAUAUUUAUUAAAAAAUCACCAGGAAGCACAUUGUCAGGACAUCCUUGCUGGAAAAAAACUUGGUAGGAUGGUUUUUCUGUGCAAACUUAGUAAUUAAUUUAUGUUGUUUUUACCAAACUUUGUAGCGUUUCACUUUUGGUAAAAUUUCAUCCUUGGUCCCUUUAAACUCCUUUUUGCUUUAAUUUGAUUGCUUUCUAGCGUUGCAAAUUACAUAACACUCUUCAAAUGUCUUAUUAAAUUCUCACUUUUACGAGUGCUAUGUUAAUCAAUUUUAAGUUCCAUAUAACACUUACAUGGCUACAAAAUGUGUGUGUGUGUAAGUGUCCUCAACCACAAACAAUCCAAAUUUGCUGAGAAACCACCCAUUAUAUAUAGGUUUGCCAAUGAGAUGGCAAGCAGACUGCUAGCUAGAAAUUCAUGCAUCUUUGAAUCACCAAUUCAAUUAAUAAGCUUAACUAGAGGAAAUAAGGACUUUACACCACCAAUUAAAGCAACCUAUAUGUACCCUUUUACAGUCUGCAUUGUUCCAUGUUUCCAUUCAUUACAUCAUUCCUUCAACUCUGCUAUAUAUUAUUACCGUCUCCAGAAAACCAAACCUUUUACUGCUAACUUGUAAAAAAAUUAUGAAAAUACAACAGAGAUCAUUGAGACAUUGUUGAAGUUGGCUUGCAUGCAGACCAAGAAGCACACCAAGCUGUCCGAGAUAUGCAAGUUGCAGCUGAAGCUUAUGCUGCUGUUUUGUUACUUUCAAAUAGAUAUUUUAUUAUUUACUUAGAUAUGAACUAAGUUGCUGAUAUGCUUGAUGUAAUUAGGAGCUGAUAGAUUGAUAAAUCAGCUUUACCAAGUGUACAAGCAAUGUUUAUCAAGUUACUAAGCCACUUAGUGGAGUUAGGUAUGUGUUUAGGUAACAUUUUCUUAUUUUUGACCAGCUGAUUGCUUGCUAUAUGUAAUGGCAUUGUGCCUUCAUUCAAAUGUAAAGAAAUCUUUCAGAAAAUUCUUCUUCAUUUGGUCUUUACCUAAGCAUUUUUUUUCACGAAGCUCUUGCUGUUUUUGUUUUGUUUGUUGAGCAAGAUAACAAUGCUUUAUGCUUAAGUUUCUGUCAAAAUUUCUCAUUCUGUUUUCUUAGUUCCUACAGACAUUUUGUUCUCCUUUCUCCUUUACUGAGCAGUAGCAAAGAUUAUCGAGACUAAAUUGAAAUCCAUGAAAGAAGACAUAAACAACACCACCAUACAAAAUGUCACACUCAAACAAACCAUUACAGAUACGAAAUGCAAUGAAAGACAGAGGAAUUGGUACAAUAAUAAAGACAGCCAGAUACCAAUGCAACCCUUCACCAUAGGCAAAACGGUCUACAAACAAGAAAUUAUGAAAAAUACAACACUAAUUCUUGAACAUCAUUUGCAGUAAUUAAAUCCUUCUUCGUCUACUGCUGUGAUUGCCUUUCUUUGACUUUCUUCUUCGCCUCUUCUCAUGUUGGUUUUCAACCAAAUUCACCAACCAUUUUGGCUUACCAGUUUGGAAAACAACAUAUCCCACGGACAUUCCGAACACUACUCCGCAUCCAUAACCUAUCAACACCACUUUCCAACCAAAAGCAAUGUUUGAUUUUGAGCCAUCUUUUUCAAGCACAUUUGGAGGUGCUGGAUCAAUGAUGUUGCAACCUUUCGAGACCGGAAACCCACACAGUCCCUUAUUUCCUUCAUAUGAAUCAUUUCCAAAUGUGUUGAAUUGUUUGCCUUGAGGAAUCUGACCAUGGAGUUGAUUUUCAGAAACAUUGAAGGACGAAAGAAAUGGCAGAUCUGCCAAUCUAUUUGGAAUCGUCCCAGACAACCUGUUUGAAGAUAGGUCCAACCAUUCAAGACUUGUCAAAUUCCCUAUUGAGGUGGGGAUAUCACCAAUAAGGUUAUUAUGAGAAAGGUUGAGCCCUUUCAGUAAGUUAAGCUUCCCAAUAACCUUUGGAAUACCCCUUUCAAACUGAUUGUUUGAUAGAUCAAUGAUCAUCCACAUGGUGAAAAUUUUCACCAAUUCCCUAUCUUGUCCUUUCAUAACAAUUCCAAUGGAAUAGGUAUAGAAGCCAACUCCAUAAUCAUGCACCCCCAUGUAUGACACUGUACUACCAAUCUUCUCUAGAUUUAUGAUAGCCUUGAAGCUGUUGAUGUAUCUCACUGGUAGGGGUCCAGAAAAAUAAUUACUUGAGAGAUCAAAAAUUUGGAUUUUAGAGAAAAAAGGGAUAGACUUGGAGCUAUUGACACAUAAGGAACCAUGCAGUUGAUUUGACUUCAAUACAAGAACUUGUAGCUGUGGAAGACUUCCCAACCAGUGAGGAAAUGUAUCAUUGAUCUUGUUGUUACCAAGAUCUAGCACUUCCAGACCUCUACAAUUAAGGAUGGAUGGUGUCAAAGGCCCUUCUAACAGAUUUCCAUUUAAGUUGAAAUUACUCAAUCGGCAUCCCUUUGCAAAUGCUGGAGGAAUCGUCCCAUAAUACUUGUUCUUCUUCAGAUUCAAGAAUAGAAGGCUGUUGCUCAAAUUUCCAAAACAUUGUGGAAUUGUUCCACUCAAGUUAUUGUGGGACAAAUCAAGAAUUUCAAGAAAAGCGGCAUUGCAUAUUAAAGAAGAGACCUCUCCAUUGAAACUAUUAUUUGAGAUCAAAAAGACUCUUAUGGUCGAAGCUGGAAUCGGAAGAUUUCCACUGAUCAAAUUGGAGCUUAAGUCAAGAACAUCAAUAUUCUUCCAUGGAAAGUGCUCAACUUCUGUCAAAGUGUUGUGAGAUACAUUUAAGUGAGUCAAAGAGCCAUUCCCCACCUCUCGCAUCCACUGUGGAAUCUUGCCUUCAAUUUUGUUGCAAGAGAGGUGUUGAAGUAAUGGUCAGCAUGCAGCAACCAAGACUGUCAAAGGCACUACAUGCAGAAGCUGCUGGUUCACCUAGUCAGCAAGCUGUUUAUGUUUCAUUUUGUAAUUUUAAGUUAGAGUAAUGUAACUUAGUUGCUUUAUAACUAUGUUAGGUUUAUGUUUGAUGUAAUUUUGAUGUUGACUGAGCUGAUAAAUCAGCUUUGUUUGUUUAUUCAAGCUAAUUAGCACAAGUUACUAUGUGUAUUAGUGGUAGUAGGUGAAGUUUAGGUCAACCUACUGUUUUGUCAAGAUUGUAAACUUGUUUUAUGUAUUGGCUUUGUGCCAUAUUUAGUUUGAUGAAUGAAUUCAAGAAGUUAUCAUCCAUAUGCUCUCCAUUUUUAGUUUUGCUUAAAAAUCCAUUUGAGUUUUCUGCUUUGUUUCUCCUACAAGUCACGAGACUUGCCAUACAAGCAUUCUGCUGAAGCUUGCUGCUGCUGCCUCUUGCACCAACAAUUGGUAUCUAGAGCCACAUUCUUAGAGGACCUGUUGUAGUUCAGUAUCAAAACGAUGGCAUCAUCAGGUUUUUCACCAGCUUCACCACCUGUCUUCAAUGGAGAGGGCUUCAACAUUUGGGCAGUUAAGAUGAGGACUUACCUGCAGGCAUUCGACCUAUGGGAAGUUGUUAACUCAGAUGCUGAGCCAGCACCUCUUCGAGCUAAUCCAACAGUUGCUCAAAUAAGGCAACACACUGAUGAAAGGACAAAAAGGCACAAGGCCAUGUCAUGCAUACAGAAUUGUGUGACAGAUGUGAUCUUUAUGAGGAUCAUGGCCUGUGAGACACCAAAGGAGGCUUGGGACAAGCUGAAAGAAGAAUUUCAGGGGACUGAGAAAACAAGGCAACAACAGCUGCUCAAUUUGAGAAGAGAUUUCGAAAAUCUCAAAAUGAAAGAGGAAGAAACAGUUAAGCAGUACUCAGACCGGAUUAUGGCUGUUGUAAACAGCAUAAGGCUCCUAGGAGAGCAAUUCAGUGAAGCUAGAAUGGUUGAGAAAGUCAUGUCCACUCUACCAGAGAGGUAUGAAGCUAAAAUUUCAUCCCUCGAAGACUCAAGGGACUUGACAACUAUCUCCUUAACUGAGCUAAUCAAUGCCUUGUAUGCAUAAGAGCAAAGAAGAGCUAGCAGACAAGAGGAGCACCAGGAAGGGGCUUUUCAAGCCAAAGAAGCCUCGAGCAUCAAAACUCAUAAAGGCAAAAAGUUCUGGAAAAACAAGCCUAAGCCUGAUGCUGCUAGGAGCAGUGACCAACUCUGCAGACAUUGUAAAAGAGCUGGUCAUCCAGAAGAUAGAUGCUGGUUUAGACCAGAUGCAGUAUGCCAAAACUGCAAGAAAAAAGGCCAUGUUGAAAAAGUUUGCAAGAAUAGAAGCAAACCAAGACAGAAUCAAUUUCAGCAACAAAAGGUGGAAGCUCGAGUAGCUGAAGAAAGUAGUGAUCAAGAAGAACAUGUUUUUGCUGUGUCAUGUGCAGCAAAUCAGAAGAAGGGUUCAAAGGGCUGGCUUCUAGACAGUGGGUGCACAAACCACAUGUCACCAGAUGCAACUAUCUUCAAAACCCUGGACAGAACCUGCAAAACCAAAGUAAAAAUUGGAAAUGGUCAGUUAAUCAAUGCUGAAGGAAGAGGAGAUGUGCUGAUUCAUACUUCUACAGGUGGCAAAAUCAUUUCAAAUGUACUUUUGGUACCUGAAAUCGAUAGGAACCUUCUCAGUAUAACUCAACUACUUGAGAAAGGUUACUCAGUUGUUUUCAAGGAGAAAGAAUGUCAAAUUUUUGAUCCAAGUGGAUCAAAUCUUAUAACAGUCACCAUGACUGAUAAAUGUUUUGAAGUAGACUGGCCAAAUGACUCACAUUCAGCCUGCAUAGCCUCCACUAAUGACUCGAGACUCUGGCAUCAGAGGCUUGGACAUGCAAACUACAAAUCCAUAGCCCGCAUGGUCAAUGAAGGUCUGGCAGAAAAUUUCAUUGAUUCAGUGAAGAAUGAUGAGCUUUGUGAGAUAUGUCAGCAAGGAAAAUUGGCAAGAUUGCCAUUUCCAACAAGCACAACAUGGAGAGCAUCAGAGAAGCUCCAGCUUGUGCAUACAGAUGUGUGUGGACCAAUGAAGACUGAGUCUCUCAAAGGAAGCAGGUACUUUAUUUUAUUUAUUGAUGACUUAACAAGAUACUGCUGGAUUUAUUUUCUAAAACAGAAAUCAGAAGUACCAUCUAUGUUCCUGAAGUAUAAGGCUGCUGUUGAAACUGAGUCUGGUUGCAAACUUAGAGCAAUGAGGUCAGAUAAUGGAACUGAGUACACCUCAGCUCAGUUCCAAGUCUACUGUGAAGAAGCAGGUAUCAAACACCAGUUGACUAAUGUGUAUACACCCCAACAGAAUGGGGUCAGUGAAAGGAAAAACAGAAGCUUGAUGAACAUGGCAAGAUGUCUUCUGUUUGAGAAGAAUUUGCCCAAAAGUCUGUGGGCUGAAGCUGUUAACACAGCAGUUUAUCUCUAAAAUAGGCUCCCAACCAAGGCUCUGGCUGAGAAGACUCCAUUUGAAGCCUGGUUUGGGUUUAAGCCAUCACUGGCUCAUCUCAGAACCUUUGGUUGUCUGUGCUAUACUCAAGUUCCAGCUGAGAAGAGAAGCAAGCUAGACAAAAGAGCUCAAGCAGGGAUCCUGAUCGGCUACAGCUUGGUUAAGAAGGGCUACAGAAUUCUAGAACCUGCUACAAACAAGAUAUUGGUUAGCAGGGAUGUUGUUUUCAAUGAAAAAGGACACUGGAAUUGGGAGAAGGCUGAACCAGAGGCAGUGGCUGAAGAUCUGGCAGUGGACCAAGUUGAAAAUGGUGAAAACACACCUGAAAUGGAUGUAGAUGAUGUUCCAAUCAGAGGCACUCGAUCACUGGCUGAUGUUUAUGAAAGAGCACAAGUGGCUACUGUUGAACCAAAUUGCUUUGAAGAAGCAGAAAACCAGGAGGACUGGAAGCAAGCAAUGAUUGAAGAAAUCAGAAUGAUUGAAAAGAAUCAGACCUGGAGUCUGGUUGAUAAACCAACAAACAGGAAGAUUAUUGGUGUCAAAUGGGUUUAUCGAGUAAAGAACAAUGCUGAUGGUAGCCUAAACAAGUUAAAGGCUAGAUUGGUUGUGAAAGGCUUCAGUCAAAGGUAUGGAUCAGACUACCUGGAAACCUUUGCACCAGUGGCCAGGUUAGACACUAUUAGACUGCUAGUUGCCUUAGCAGCACAAAAACAGUGGCUGAUACACCAACUUGAUGUAAAAUCAGCAUUUCUGAAUGGAUUCCUUGAAGAGGAGAUUUAUGUGGAGCAACCUCAAGGUUUCAAGGUGUCUGGCAAAGAAGAUAUGGUGUACAAGCUCAACAAAGCCUUGUAUGGCUUGAAACAGGCUCCAAGGGCCUGGUAUAGCAGAAUAGAUGGCUAUCUGACCAGUCAAGGAUUUGAAAGAAGUCUUAGCGAGCCAACUCUGUAUGUUAAAUCAACUAGUGCUGAAACUCAGCUCAUUGUCUCAAUAUAUGUCGAUGACCUACUGGUGACAGGAGGAGAUCAUGAGAUGCUAAGCAGUUUUAAAGUCAAAAUGCAACAGCACUUUGAAAUGUCAGACUUGGGAUUGAUGUCUUACUUCUUAGGCAUGGAAGUAACUCAAGCUAAGAAUGGGAUUUGGCUAAGUCAAAAGACCUUUGCUAUGAAGGUUCUCAACAAAUUCUCAAUGGAGAAUUGCAAAGCAACCAGCACACCAGUUGCUGUUGGAGAAAAACUCUCGAGCCAAGACAAGCAUGAAAAGGUUUGUGAAACAACCUAUCGAAGUCUAGUUAGAUGUUUGUUGUAUUUGACUGCUACUAGACCUGACAUAAUGUAUGCUGUGAGUCUACUCUCGAGGUUUAUGCAUUCUUCAAAUGAAAGUCAUUUUAGAGCUGCAAAAAGGGUUCUAAGAUACAUCAAAGGAACUUUGUCCUAUGGAAUGCAGUUUACCAAGGCUGAGAACUUGAGGCUAGUUGGAUAUUGUGACAGUGAUUGGGCUGGUUCUUUGGAUGACAUGAAGAGCACUACAGGUUAUGCAUUCAACAUAGGCUCUGCUAUGAUAUGCUGGAGCUCAAAGAAGCAAGGAGUAGUGGCUCAGUCGACUGCAGAAGCAGAAUAUGUGGCUGCUGCUGCAGCAGUCAAUCAAGCCAUAUGGCUUAGAAAAAUUUUGAAAGAUAUCAAUCAUGAGCAAAAGGAAGCAACUGAGAUAAUGUCUGACAACCAAUCAGCAGUUGCUAUUGCAAAGAAUCCUGUUUUUCAUGGAAGGACCAAGCACUUCAACAUCAAACUUCAUGCAGUUCGGGAAAUGGAACAAGCUCAUGUUGUUAAGCUGAUACAUUGCAGUUCUGAAGAGCAAAUUACUGAUAUUUUAACAAAAGCACUAAGUGUUUCCAAGUUUCAACACCUGAGAGCUAAUAUGGGAGUUUGCAACAUGCUAACCAAGGAGGAGUGUUGAAGUAAUGGUCAGCAUGCAGCAACCAAGACUGUCAAAGGCACUACAUGCAGAAGCUGCUGGUUCACCUAGUCAGCAAGCUGUUUAUGUUUCAUUUUGUAAUUUUAAGUUAGAGUAAUGUAACUUAGUUGCUUUAUAACUAUGUUAGGUUUAUGUUUGAUGUAAUUUUGAUGUUGACUGAGCUGAUAAAUCAGCUUUGUUUGUUUAUUCAAGCUAAUUAGCACAAGUUACUAUGUGUAUUAGUGGUAGUAGGUGAAGUUUAGGUCAACCUACUGUUUUGUCAAGAUUGUAAACUUGUUUUAUGUAUUGGCUUUGUGCCAUAUUUAGUUUGAUGAAUGAAUUCAAGAAGUUAUCAUCCAUAUGCUCUCCAUUUUUAGUUUUGCUUAAAAAUCCAUUUGAGUUUUCUGCUUUGUUUCUCCUACAAGUCACGAGACUUGCCAUACAAGCAUUCUGCUGAAGCUUGCUGCUGCUGCCUCUUGCACCAACAAGAGGUCUAAGCUUUCCAAACUUUUAAGCCCUUUUAAAAAUUGGGGGAAUUCACUAAGAUUGCAAGAUGACAAAAAUAAGCUUGUAAGAUUAACAGUAGAAGUUGUAUUAGAUGUUAAGGAUAGGCUGUUAUAUGAAAGGUCAAGAUAUUCGAGAUUUGGAAGGUUUGAGAACAUGCGAAACUCUAUGACACCACUAAGAUAAUUUGAGGAUAAGCUAAGUUGGGUAAGAUUGAGAAGUUGGAAUAUUGAAGAUGGAAGAGGACCUUGGAGUUUAUUAUUCUCUAACCAUAUCCAUUCUAGUGAUUUGGAUUGGAAUUCUUUGAUAUGCCCACUGAAUUGAUUUUGAGAGAGAUAUAUUGUCUUUAAGGAGGGAGCAAUAUACAACCAUGACGGAAGUGUUCCAUUGAGUAAAUUGUCAGAUAAGUCUAAAUAUAUUAGAUUAUGAAAAGCGGUUACCUCAUCUGGAAUGGAACCUUCUAAAGAAUUGUUAGAUAUUGUCAAGUAUUCCAGCUGCGUUAGGUUUAGAAUUGACAAUGGAAUUUGUCCACUCAAUUUGUUCCAUCCCAAGUCUAAAACAGUGAGUUGCAAGAGGUUCCCCAAUGAUCUUGGAAUCUGUCCACUCAAUUGGUUCAGCCACAAGUCUAAAUGAGUGAGUUGCAAGAGGUUCCCUAAUGAUCUUGGAAUUUGUCCACUCAAUUGGUUCUUCGACAAGUCUAAAUGAGUGAGUUGCAAGAGGUUCCCCAAUUUUCUUGGAAUUUGUCCACUCAAUUGGUUCUCCGACAAGUCUAAAUGAGUGAGUUUCAAGAGAUUCCCCAGUGAUCUUGGAACCAGUCCUGAUAAGUUGGAAUGGGAGAGAACUAAAAACUUCAAGGACACAAGAUUCCCCAUCGAGUCAGGCAAUCCUCCACAAAUAUUUGCGUCUGAAAUUAUCAAUUGUUCAAGAUUGCUGCUCCGAUUGAACUUCAAAGGAUCAAGAUUGAGGUUUUGGUUGCCUCCCAAGUUGAGGAGAUUGAGGUUUGGCAAAUCAAAAAUGUUUUUUGGGAAUUUUCCUUGCAAAUCACAACCAACAAGACUGAGAGACCUUAGAGAAGAGGAUAGAUUCAUGAAGACAUGAGCAUUAACUGAAGACAUGUCCAUUUCAUCCAAAAACAGACGUCUGACCUCGGUUAGGUUGUGAACAAGACCCUCCAGAGCAUAUUUGUCAAUUGUUAAUAGUUCAUCAAACCCAGAAAGAUCAAGUGAAACCAAUUUUGACAGGUGGGAGACUUGGGAUGGGACUUCUGAAAACCAUGUAUUGGAAAGGUUGAGGUAGAAUAGGCUUGUAAACCGACCGAACUCGGAUGGAAUUUUGGAAGAAUUAAAAUCAUUGUAGGCAAGGUUGAGUUUUUGAAGGUGAGGAAGAAGGAAGAGAGUGGUAUUGGAAGGGAAGGUGCCAUAUAGCCAACUGCAGCUCAAGUCAAGGGCAAUAACAUGAGCAUUUAGGUGGUCACAAGUGACCCCAUCCCAUGAGCAGCAAUCUGUACCCUCCUUCCAUGAAUUUGUCUUGGGAUAAGAUUUAAGGCCAGCAAAAUAAUCGCAAUGAUCAAAAGAAGCAUCCUCUCUUAUGGAAAAGGAGUCCUUAAACUGGAUUAGUGAAGAGCAGGAGUGAGAUCCUGAAGAAGAAAAAGAAGCAUAAAGAUGGAGAAAGAAGAGGAAUAGGGAGAGAAAGAGAUAG
rnacentral:lncRNA from 1 species